rnacentral:lncRNA from 1 species
UUUUUUUUUUUUUUUUUUUGUCGACACAGGGGUGUCCGGGUCAAUCCUUACGGGGCCCGACUAAUCCCCUGCGGCCCGGGCCUGGCGCCCCAACCUGACCCUAGCACGUUAAGUGUGCGGAGGAAUCCAGCAGAGCUGAGACUCGAACUCGGGACCUCUCGGUCCCUGUGGGAGGAGGCUACCGCUGGACCAUUCACGCGGGGGCUUAUAUGCCUGAUAGUAGUAUGCUGUGAAACUGCACUUCCUACGUAGCUGAUCUUAUAAAUGUUCAGUUAUAGCUCUGCUAUAACUCCUAAUGCAAGGUCACAGUUCAUGGAUUCUUGCUACCAUUGUUAUGACUUCAUUCAGUAUAGUACUAAUAACAAGAAUGAUCAGAGUUUUCCAAAUUGUUCCAUCUCUUAUAUUCCUAUGUGUAUGAUCUGUGAAAUUCUACAGUGUUUGACUAAUUAAUGCUGGAUCUAUAAUACAGUAUUUGAGUACAAAUACACAGCAUGGCGUCUUCUUUAUGUAUGUAAUUUCUGAGGUAUUGGAUGAUGCAAAGGUGGUAUAACAUUGGGCGUGCCAGACAUAAAUACAGCAGUUGGAACUGUUAUGAGGUCUCAGAAAUUUGGGUUAAUAGCAUGACUACUAUGACGAGUUUAAGGACCCCAGUUCCUAACUUUCGGGCUAUGGGUUUUGUUCACUGGGUUAGGAAACAUACCCCCAAUCACAAUUUCCCAUUUCCCUUUUCACUCAAAGCUAUUUUACUAGCUAUGUUCCUCACACGUACCGCUCACAAAAAUUUCACAAAAUCACCUCUUGAUUCUCUUCCAGUCCCACUGUCACAGAAAAUACAACAUUACAUUUGCCUUUCUCAGCCUAUUACGAACCCAUACAUACCCACAAUCCAAUCCCACUAAAGCCCUUUAUCUUGUACAAGAAAAUGUUGAUAAAAAAUUAAUAAGGGUAAAACCCACAAGUAAGCAGAAUCCAAAAGUAGGAGAUGACUCCAUCCAUAAAUCAAAUGAAACCCAAAAAAACUGGACUGAAAUUUUUGGCAAAAAAAACAAUUAGGGCAAAACAUUUGGGGGAAAAUUAGGGAGAAAAAAGAGAAUCGGCAUACCUUUUUUUGUAGAGAGUUGCUGCUAAAUGUAGUCUUCUAUUUGCUCAUUGCCGAGCCAAGAUCAAUUAGGAGGUGGCGAGGAGAUGUUUCGGCAGAGAUGAGGAGUAGUGUUAUUUGGUUCUAAGUGUUGGCUAUUGGCUGGUAGUGAUGUUUCGGUAGAGUGAAUGAAUAAACAAGACCACCGAUGGUUGGUUUCACCAAGUGUUCAAUAUCAAUUCCGGCCUCUCCUCAGACUAUUGACUUUGAAUAAAAUUUCAAUUCUUUAGAUUUCCCCCUUACUUGUUCAGUACCAAAAUUUCAAACAAAGUUUUUUAGUUUCCAACAUUUUAGUACAUAUAAUAUUUUACUAAUAUAUUAUUAUUUGCUACUUUUAAAUAUUUUUGUGAAAAUAUUCAUAAUGGGUGAGAAAAUUAUGUUGCAAUACUACAAGUGGUAAAUGCACCUUGGUCCUGCUUCAAAUAGUUAAUUUUUUUAUGACAUCAAAUAGUUGAUCCGAUAUUAAUAUUGAUAUCAUUUUCUCAAAAUUAUGAACUAAAUUACAACUUAUUUAUCUUUCUUUCCAUUAUUUUUGCCCAAUACUCCAGAAUUUUGUUUUGUUAUUUUAUAAUAAGGAGAGAUGAUUUGUUUCAAAUGGUUAAUUUCACUUUAAAUUAUUGCACUAAUAUUAAUUUACAUGACAAAAUUUGAGUUCCUAACAAUUAAAAAAUUCAUUAGAGAGCAAAUACAGAAUAACAAUUGCUAUAGUAUAUAAAUAUUUUAAAUCAGAUCGUGACAAGAGAAAGUUGUCACUAACUAGUUCCAUUAUUAUCAGUGACAACAACAACCAAGUUGUCAAAGAAAGGGGAAUUAUUACUGACAAUAUUUAGAUAGUCGUCGCUGAUGUAGUUUGGCGCGAUGUGGCGGGAGUUCAACUGUAAUGACAAUCCUGAUGCCUUUGCUCCUUUCAGUCAAUUGUGACAACUUUUCCUGUUGUGGCUAAUGGGCCCCAUUUUGUGACGACUAAUUUUCGUCACUAGGAAAUGUUGUCACUAAUAACCAAAUUUCUUGUAGUGACUAUUACAAUUUGGCAUUUAAAUGCCUCUUAAAUAAUUAAAAAUAAAUAUACAAAAUUAAACAAAUAAAGCAAAUAAAUAAUUAAAUGAAAUAAAAACAUUCAAAAAAAAACAUGCAAAAACGCACAUAAAGUCACAUAGGGGCACAUAGGGUCAAAUAAAAUCAAAAUAAAGGAUUAGAGUGUACUUCCCUUGAAUUGGUGACUUAGUGAAACGAAAUUACUUAUUUGCCCUCCAAAACAAUAAAAUGGUCAAGGCAUCGCUUUAAUUAAUAAAUAAUUACAAGAAAUAAAAAUAAAUAUGAAAUUGAAUCAAUCAAAGCAUUCAAAUAAAAGUAAGGUGGCGUUUGGUUCGCACAUCGGAAUCGGAUUCAGAUUCGGAAUUGGAUAUCAUGGGUUUGGAAUGAGGUUAUUCAUUCUAAUACAUUUGUUUGGUUCAAGCACCUGGAAUGUGUAUCAUUACUAUAGUUGAUAUUUGGUUUGUCGACUCUUUCGGAAUGGAAUAUAAGAAAUUUUCACUAAUUAAAUAUAUUAGUAUAAAUGUAUUAGUAAAUUUAGUCUAACUGAUUAAUAAUUUCUAUUAGUAAACAUGUAUAAUUAUUAGUAUAAUUGAUAAUAUUAAUUAUAAUACAUAAAUUAAUAUACAUUAUAUAAUACAUAUAACUAAUAAUAAUAUUAUUAUAAGUUUGUAACUAAUUAAUAUGUGGAAAAUCAACUGGUUUUAUAUGUAUGUUGAUUACAAUUAACUCCCUUGGCCUCUUUAUUAUUUUAAUUUGUAUUAAUCCCUUCUUAUUAGUAAAUACAAGUGUUAUAGAUAAGUCAAACGUGAACUAUACACGAAAACUAACUAGUGUUUUUUGUGCUCUCUAUUAGAAAGAAAAAAGAAGAAAAUUAAAUUUAUUUCUAUAUAUUUGACUAUUCCUUAGACUAUAGUACAAACUCCCCAGCUUCACUUUUUCCCUUAUGCUCAUGUCUUCGUCAUUAUAAUCUUGUCACUUGAGAUUACUUGCCGCUACAUUACUUGAGCCAUCAUUUAUGUUUGCCCCACAACCAAAGAAAUUUUUUUUUUCUCUUCUAAAUGUUUAAAACACAUCAUUUUAGUAUUUUACCUAACAGUAAAAUACAAUAAAUACUAACCCCUCGUUUGGUAGAUGGGACUGCCAGAAUGGAAAGACCUUUCCACCCAAAAUACAUUUCAACCAAAAUAGAGUGGCAGGGGAAAAAAUUUAUUAUUCUAGGAUUUGGUAGAUAAGUCAGAAUGGAAUGUUUACCCAGUUUCCAAUAUGUGAUAUAAUUGAUAUUUAAAUGUUAGAAUGGGAUAUACUAAAUACAAUUUUGACUUAAUUGCCCUAGGUUGGUUUAUAAGAUGUAAUAUGUCUUAUUACUUUUAUUUUAUUUGUUCUAUAAUAGUAUUUGUCUAUUUAUGUGAAAUUUUGAUAUUUUUACUUUAAAAAUUAAUGAGGAUUGAUAUUAAAAUUCUUCAAUUAUAAGACUUAAUUCGUUCUAAUAUAUGGGUUUCUAAGUUAAAAUUUUGCAUUUACUAGCAAUAAAUUAGCAACAUAAAAUAUAAAUUACAUGAAGUCAAACAAUUAUAAUUUAUUUUCAAUUUUGAUAAGAUCCAAAAACAAUUCUUGCACAAUGCUCAAAAGUCAAAGAAUAAAGUAUUUUAAAAUAUUUUUUUCUAGUGAAAGAAAAUAACUAUUUUAAAUACGAGGAAAAUUAAUGAUUAUAAAAAAAUUACAUUCAAAUAUUAAUUGAGCUUACAAAUUGCCUAAGAUAUCACGAUGCAGUGUAAAGAUUUAUAAGGAUAAAUUUGACAUUCUACCAUUUAGGCAUGUUAUGAUGAAGGUGGAAAAGCUUUUCCUAAAUUUUUUUAAGGAAUGGAAUUCCAGUAAAAAGUUGGAAUAAGCAUUCCAAGAGGAAAAGUUUUUCCCACUUAAAUGUACCAUACCAAACGCUGUAAUGGAAUGGACAAGUUGGAAAACAUUUCUUUUCCAGGCCAUUCCUACAUACCAAAUAAGCGGAAAGUGCUUAUUGAAUUAGAUAAUAUAUAAUAACAAAAUUUUGAAAUAUAAUUAUCUAUUUAUUUGGUUCAUAAUUCGUGAUAAAAGUGUCAUCAUUUGUAUUCAUGUCUUCCAUGAUUUUUUGUAGAGAAAUUUUUAUAUUUUUUAAUCAUUUUUUACCUUAUAUACAUCAAAUCAUUACAGUAAUUUUUUUUUUUUUACGAAAACUCUUAAAAAUUGCAAUCCAAACCAAACCUUAAUCCGUACUCCUUACCAACAGAUUGGUACAAACUGCUGUACCAUCUCGUAGAAUUUUUUGGUGUAAAAAUGGAUGACAAAACCAACCACAACUCUACAGUGGCAAGCCCCAAGACUUUGAAGUCUUGAAUUCAAAUAUGUCUUCUUCACUCCCAUUGCUUAAGUUCUAUUUUUCCUUACUAGAAAAAGAUUUUUUUAAAAACUUUGCCGCAACAAAAUCUACAAAAUACAUUAUCAAAUUGAUGAGCUUAUCAUAGAUUAUAUUUCUUGUUCUAGCAGGGGAGGGUUUGUUAAUGAAUUUAUCAUAUUGUUUGAUUUAUGUCAAAAGAACUCGAAUACAUCAAAAGGACCGGAAUAUAUUUCCAAUAAAUAUUACAUCAAGUAAGAAAGAAGGAAAAUAUUUCAUAAUUGAUACUAAAUCUAUAUAUUUGACUUAAAGAAAGCUUAUAUUUGACUUAAAUUGGAUGCCGUGUUGGCGGAGUCUCAAAGAAAGCUUAAUCUUAUGCUCGAGUCACUCUAUGAACGUAUUGAUAAUCUAGAAACUUCAAGGAAUUCCUCUAAGAAAUCUCGAGGAAAACUACCUUUGGAUGAAUCUUGUGAUUCCAUGCAAUCUACCUCUUUAAAGCCGAUUUAUACAAGAGGUGACAAGAAGGCUCAUUCAACAUCUUCUGGGCCUAAACCUAGAGUUGAACCAUCUCAUGAGAAGUUAUUUUGGAAGACAUAUCAACGUCUUUUACACCAAAAACAAAUAGAGUCAAAUAGAUGCCAUCAAAGCGAGUCUUCUAAUGAGGAGGUAGCCGAGUCUUAUCCUAACAAAGGGGUAUCUCAUCCUAUUGAACCAUUUGUUGAAGAGGUUCGUAAUGAGGAAAUAAUCGAAGGCAUUGAGCUAGAAAAGGAAAUGGAAAUAUCUGAUGAGAUGAGUAGUAAAACGGAAGAAAAGAGAGAAAGUGACUUGAUUUUGAGCAAAAAUGUGAGGGCUUAUUGUUUCCCUAAUGAACUUACCUUUACAUUAUUUAGUGUUUCUUCUUUUAUGGAGAUCAAGCAAAGUCAAGUAGGGUUGAUCUUGACAUGUUUCAUUCCAAAGUCAAUUGUACAUUUUGCAAGUUUCCAUAGAGUUUGUCUUUUAAGAGUUAAAUCCCUUUGGUAUCAAUUCAAGGAACAAUGUCAAUUCAAAUCUGUCCACACCAAUGGAGAGUUAAUUCGAACUCAUGUUGAAGGGAACAUUCCAAAUUUUGGGGCUGGUUGUGUACCAAGGGUUCAUUUGAUCAUCUUGGCCUUAGUCCACGUGAAGCUCCAACUUCACCAAAGUUGCCUUGGUGUCUUGCAAGUGUAUUCGAGCAUGAGUUUGGUUUUAUGGGAUACACGUCACACCACUUUGAGGAUCCUUACCUCAUGACCAGAAGCGAUCAAGUUGAGCAUACAUUGAAACUGGUUCGUGAGAUUCAAGGGUCAAUAAGGGUUGUUUUCCAACUUAGCAAGUGGUUUUUGCAUUGGAUGACAUUUGCAGCCAUCAUAACAAGAUUGACUCAAAGGCAUGUAACUUUUCUUGUCAUCAUUCAUGCUUCAAUUUGUGGGCAAAUUGCUUUCAAGACAAAAGGAAUGAUGAGAACGUGAAGAUUGUCCAAGCAAAUCGGUUUAGUUAGUGAGGAUGCUCACCUCGGCAACCCCCGCUUGUCCGAGGUGAACCCACCUCGUCCCUCAUCGGAGCUCAUCCGUGUCUUGGGCAUAUCCCCUAAGCUCGGACCGGAUCCCAAAUCUACCGUGUUGGUGAUCUCGGCACAUCCACCUCAGCUGUACGCUGAUGAUGUCAAGCCACCUGACAUCACCCGGGACCAGUGCUUUAUCUGAAAAGCACUGUCACACUUAAUGACUACUGUGUAAGACUCCUCGUCACCCUGCCCAGGCGACUACAGCGUCAGAGUCAGACCGCCUGACAGAGAGCAGAGCCGUAAUGGUAGGACAUGGGUCCCACCGGCAUAAGACCUCCAUCCUACCCUCCACUCUCGCUCUAUAAAUACCCCUCAUGUACUCCUAACAAGUAAGCAUACUGUUCAUUUGACAAUACUAUUAUUUCUCUCGUUCUCAUAUUAACUUGAGCGUCGGAGUGAUCCCAGGGGAGAAGCCCCGCCAUUCACUUCGGACACACAGAUACACCUCACCUCAGAAGAGGCUGAUUUCGGCUGGUUCAACCGCCCCCCAAAAAUCACCUCCUCAAUUGGCGCCGUCUGUGGGAACGAGAUUACUGUUAAAAUGAGAUCCACUCGCUCCAGAAGUGGAAGAGUCCCCUCGACCGGGGCUGGGCAGACAUCCGGAGCCCAGCAAGAUCGUAUUUCUGAAGAACAAGGGUCCCCAAGGACCCAACCCCACAAUGAAGACGCCAUCGCCAAGAUGGCCGAAUUCGUGACUGAUAACCCGAACAUCUUCGAGGAACUGGGGAGGUACUUCAAGAGGCAGGGGAAGAAAAAAACUGAAUCCUCCAAGAGGAGACCGACGAAAUCCCCUGAAGUACCUUCCGGCGAAGACUCCGAUGAGGGGCACCUCUCUCGGAGCACUUCCAGGCGCGCCUCUUCCAAGGCGACGUCUAAAAUCAUUUCCAUUUUCCGGGCGUUUUCCCGGGGUCUUCUGGGAAAACGAGCUGAGGACCCACCUCGGCGUCCCGGAGGUUUAGCCGCCGAAUAUCUGAGGGCUCCGCCCUUCACGGAUGACAUCAAUGGGGAGAUGGUCCCCCCAAACUUUAAACUUCCCGCCCUCCGUUCCUACGAUGGCCGAGGUGACCCCGAGGAUCACCUCCGCGCCUUCCUCUCCGCUUUUCGGCUCUAUUGCGUCCCCGACGCAGUAAUUUGCCGAGCUUUCCCCAUCUUCCUGCAGGGCACGGCCCGAAAGUGGUUAUGGGGUUUAGAACCGAGGAGCAUUUCCUCACUGGAUGAGUUGAUAGAUCGGUUCAUUCACCGCUUUGUAUCAUCUCGUCCGAUUACGAAGACUUCAGCCUACCUCUUGAACCUGCAGCAAGCCCCCGGCGAGUCACUGCGCUCCUACGUGCAGAGGUUCAAUGAGGAGAACGUGCAGAUACCUGAUCAGCAUGAGCAGGUAACUAUAGCUGCCUUCACCAAUGGGCUGAUCGCGGGAAUCUUCAAUACUGAGAUACACCGGGAUUACCCCCGCACAUUUCGGGAACUCUGGGAUCGAGUAGAUCAGGGAAUCCGAAGUGAAGAUCUAAACCGCAUGAAGCGAGAGGUUCAAGCCUCUCGUACCGGGCAAGAUUUCCGGAGGAAAAAAGACGCCGGCCGAGUCGAACAAGACCCCAGUGGCUCGUCAACUCAGUUCCGAGACCGCCGAAGUGUCUUCGACCGGAUUGUUAAAGGCAGGUCGUCCACCUCGGACGCCGAGCUGACACCUCUCAAUUCCAGCUGGACCCAUGUCCUGGCUGUGAUGAGGCAGAAUCACCUCGGCCGAAAUCCUCCUGAAAUUCUAGGGAAGAGAGAUAAGAGGAACUCGAACCUCUAUUGUGCCUACCACCGGGACGUUGGGCACGAGACUGAAGAUUGCAAUGAUCUGACGCGGGAGAUCGAGAAUUUGAUCCGGCAGGGGUACCUGAAGCAAUUCGUCCGCAAGGAUGGAGGCUUCAACAGAAACGUCUCCCACCGGGAGAACCGGGGCCCCCGCCGAGAAGACAGGCGGGACACGAACAUGCAUUGCCGAGGACCCGAAGACCGUAGGGAGGACAAGCAGCCUCCACGCGAUGGAUCACCGGGCUACGGCCCCAACAUCGCCGGGGUGAUCAAUACCAUCGCGGGAGGACCAACGGGAGGAGACAGGCAGAACUCCCGGAAGCGGACCUACCGCCAGGCCGGGAUGGAGGUGGUUGAGCCGAGCUCUCGGUUGUCCGAGGUCAUCACCUAUGGUCCCACUGACCCCGUCCCCGCCGCUUCCAGCAACCACGAGGCCCUCGUGAUCGAAGUCCUCACCAACAACUACAUAGUCAAAAAGGUCUAUGUUGACCCCGGAAGCUCGGUAGACGUCUUGUACUAUCGAACCUUCGAGAAUUUGAAACUGACCAGGGAGCAGCUCACUCCGGUCAGGACUCCCCUCGUUGGAUUCGGGGGACACGUGGUCCACCCCGAGGGUAUGGUGUCCCUGAUGGUGACCAUCGGGCGUCAUCCCCGCUGCCGAACUGUGCCGGUCAGCUUUGCGGUGGUCAAAGCAGACUCUCCCUACAACAUGCUAAUAGGCCGGCCCACGCUCAAUGCAUUGAGAGCCGUAUACUCCACGUACCACCUGAGUUUUAAAUUUCCAACAUCUGAGGGGGUGGCCGAGGUGAGCAGCGAUGUGGGCGCCGCCCGGAAAUGCUACCUCGCCACCAUUCAAGCAGCAGUCACACCCCGGCCCUCGCCGAGGUCAGAAGAAAAGAGGCCAGAGGUCCUCUCCAUAGACUGCAUCGACCCUCAGAAGGCAGGAGAGGCCAACAGGCUUGAGCCCGGGGAUGAGGUGGAACAAGUGGUCUUGGAUGAAGCGAAACCUGAUCAAGUGGUCCAAGUAGGGGCUGGACUCCCCCCACCCCUGAAAGAAGAAAUGAUCUCCCUGAUCAAGGACCACCGAGACGUUUUCGCGUGGUCCGCAGAUGAAGUGGUUGGAGUGCCACCCGAGUUCAUGAUUCAUCAACUCAACGUUAACCCACAGGCCCGACCUGUGCGACAGAAACGAAGGCACUUCGGCCCCGAACGUAGCAAUGCCAUAUCGGAUGAGGUCGACAAGCUCUUGCCCGUCAAGAUGAUCCAUGAGGUCCAGUACCCCACCUGACUCUCCAACCCUGUCAUGGUCAAAAAGGAUGCCGGUGGAUGGAGGAUGUGUGUCGACUUCACCGACCUUAACAAGGCAUGCCCCAAAGAUUGCUACCCUCUACCGAGGAUCGACGCCCUCGUCGACUCGGCAAUGGGACACGAGAUCCUCUGCUUCCUAGAUGCCUUCAAAGGCUAUCACCAAAUAGGAAUGAGUGAGGAAGACCAAGAAAAAACGGCAUUUUACACCGACCAAGGUGUCUACUGCUAUACCACCAUGCCAUUCGGGUUAAAAAACGCCGGGGCGACCUAUCAAAGGCUGAUCAACCGCCUUUUCAAAAAUCAGAUCGGCCGAAAUGUGGAGGCCUACGUGGACGAUAUUCUCGUCAAAAGCUUAACCACCUCGGCCUUCUUGUCGGAUGUGAAGGAGGUCUUCGGCGUCCUCCGCGACUCAAGGAUGAAGUUAAACCCCAAGAAGUGCGUCUUUGGUGUCACCUCAGGAAAGUUCCUGGGGUAUUUAGUUUCCCACCGGGGAAUCGAGGCCAACCCCGACAAGGUCAAGGCCAUUCAAGAUAUGUCCCCACCUCGGAACCUCCGAGAAGUCCAGAGGCUGAAUGGACGCCUGGCUGCACUGAACCGCUUCCUAUCCCAGUCCGCAGAAAAAGCUUUGCCCUUUUUUAAGGUGUUUAAGAAGGCCGAUCAGUUCACCUGGACUGAGGAGUGUCAGGCUGCCUUCGACAAGCUGAAGCUGUACCUGCACCACCUACCCACCCUCGCUUCACCUCGGCCCGAGGAGAAGCUGUACCUCUACCUCUCUGCAGCGGACGAAACUGUCAGCGCUGUGCUCAUCAGGGAUGAGGGCACUCAAGUGCCGGUCUACUAUGUCAGCUGAGCCCUCCGUGGGCCGGAGACUCGAUACACUAAAGUGGAAAAACUUGUGCUAGGACUAGUCCACGCCGCCCGACGGCUGAAACCCUAUUUCUUAGCUCAUCCCAUCUCUGUCAGGACCAACCAACCACUCCGACAGAUACUGGUGCGGCCCGAGGCCUCCGGACGCCUCACUAAGUGGGCCGUUGAGUUGGGGGAAUACGACCUGUCGUAUGAGCCGCGCACCGCCAUAAAGGCUCAAGCCUUAGCCGACUUCUUGGCCGAGCUCACCUUCACGGAAGGUCGGGAGUCCACCUUCGCCCUAACCGAAGUGUCCACCCCACACCUGUGGAUGUUGUAUGUGGACGGGUCCUCUAAUGGGGAUGGGAGUGGAGCAGGACUGCUCCUGGAGGGCCCCCAAGGAGAAGUGUGCUCGUAUGCCCUCCGCUUUGACUUCCCGGCCACCAACAAUGAAGCCGAAUAUGAGGCCUUAAUCGCGGGACUCCAACUAGCCCGCAGGCUCGGUGCACAGCGGAUUCACGUCCGCAGCGACUCCCAACUCGUAGUAUGCCAAGUCCUUGGUGAGUAUGAGCCCAAGGAUGAAACCAUGCAACGGUAUCUAUCCAAAGUCCACCAACUCAUUGCGUAUUUUGAGUCUUUCGACAUCCAAAGAAUCCCCCGCUCCCAAAAUAGGCGCGCCGACGCUCUGUCCCGGCUGGCCUCCACAUCAUUCUCCGAUCUCAACAAAACUGUUUUAGUGGAAGUGUUGGACGAGCCGGGAUACAUGGAAGAGGUGGCCUGCCCCGUGCACUCGGAAGAUAUUUGGAUGAAUCCGUUCAUCCACUUCUUAGGGCAGGGAGUCCUCCCCGAGGACAGAGCCGAGGCGAGAAAGAUUCAACGCAAAUCUGCUCGGUACGCGCUCCGCGAUGGAGAGCUGUAUAAACGCCCAUACCUUGGCCCAUGGCUAAGGUGCAUUACCCCCGAGGUAGGACGCCAGGUCCUCCAUGAGAUACACGAAGGCCUGUGCGGGGCUCACGUCGGCCACAGGAUGUUAGCCAGGAAGACCUUACUUCUUGGGUAUUUCUGGCCUUCUCUUCGACAAGAUGCCCAAAAUCUUGUUCUCAGUUGCCCAUCCUGCCAAGUCCAAGCCCCUGAUCUUCACCAACCCUCGAACUUCAUGAUUCCAAUCACCUCACCCUGGUCGUUUGAGCAAUGGGGGACAGACAUCAUCGGUCCUUUCCCUAAAGCGGUCGGGGGCUAUACCUUCCUGGUAACCGCUGUGGAUUAUUUCACUAAGUGGGUUGAAGCCGAGCCUCUACGUACCAUCACAGGGCUGACCAUUCAAAAAUUCUUCUGGAAAUGCAUUAUCUGCCGCUUCGGCAUACCUUAGGUAAUCAUCUCGGACAAUGGGAGACAGUUUGCCGAGAACCCAUUUAAGACUUGGUGCGAGAACCUUGGCAUCAAGCAACACUUCACUUCGGUAGGCCACCCUCAGGCCAAUGGUCAAGCAGAAAAUUUUAACCGAACUCUCUUGCAUGGCCUCAAGAUUCGACUACACCGAGCUGGGUCAUCUUGGGUGGAGGAACUCCCCAGUGUUCUGUGGUCAUAUCGGACCACGCCGAAGUCAUCCACGCAAGAGACUCCCUUCUCCUUGACCUAUGGAGCCGAGGCUGUCAUUCCUGCUGAGCUCCUCACACCCAGUCCUCGGCUGACAGCCUAUGUAGCCGAGGUGAAUGGAGAAGAGAGGCAGUUUGAUCUCGACCUCAUCGACGAGAAAAGAGACCUUGCCUCAGCUCGGAUAGCUUCCUACAAGAACACCCUGGCCCACUACUACAAUGCCCGCGUCAAGCAUCGGCGAUUCCUGCCAUGAGACUUGGUGCUUAGAAAAAACUCGGUCACCCGAGCUGAACCGCAAGGGAAAUUAGGCCCGAAAUGGGAAGGCCCUUACCGAGUUGUGGAAUCUAGUCUAAGUGGGUAUUAUAAAUUGAGCAACCGAGAUGGCUCUCUAGUGCCGAGGACUUGGCAUGCUGAGAACCUCAGACUGUAUUAUGUUUGAAGAUUUUACUAAGUUAUCACUUCAGCUGCUUAGUUAUUUUUCAAUACUGAGAUGCAUACAUCUGCUAUUAAAAAAUAAGGGGGACAAAUAGGGGACGAAGCAAGACACUAAAGGAGCCGAAGUAAGAAGAAAUAGAUCUUUCAUUCAAAUAAGAAGAGGCAUUACAAAAUGAAGACAAAGACCGAGGUCAGGAGUACUGCUAAGCAUCUCCCACCUCGGUUUUAAAUUUAAAGCCCUAUAAGCUAAGCCUCCGUCUCGGUUCCCUCUUGGCCAGUUGCCUCCUCGGCUUCUUCCCCGCCGGGGUGAGCCUCUUCUCCUACUCCUUGCUCUUCCUCGCCGACGUCACCCCCAGUCUCUUCUCCUCCUUCCUCCUCAAAGACCUCGUCGAGCUCAGCUAGCCAUUUGUUGAACUCAUCUUGGACUUCGGCCAAGUUCCUUCCGGCUUGGAUGCCCUCGGCCAUCCAAUCACACAGCUCCUUGGAGUCAUCGUUAUAGUUGGCACUGUUCCUCAAGGACUCCAAAGCCUCAGAGGGUAGAUGAGUCGCGGCCUCAUCAAUAGCCGACGUGAAGCCAAGCAUGAAGCUCGGCCUCGUCAGUUGGCCGAGAUCCCCAAGGAAGGUCUCGGACCUCCGGAAAUCCUCUACAGCCGAGGUCCUCGCACUCUCGAGGGCCUGCUCAUGGGUCUUCUUCGCCUCCUCUGACCUCUUCUGCUCUUCCUCCAGAGCCGACCUCAGACUAUUGAUAGUGGCCUCGGACUCUUCCUCCUUAGUCUCGGCCUCUUGAAGCCGUCUCUGAAGUUCGGACUUCUCGGAUUCAGACACAACCUGUUUCUUCUUCAGCUUGGCAAUCUGAUCUUGCAGUUUGCCGGUGUCCUGCUCCUCAAGCAGCUCACAGUACCGAUGUGCCAUCUCGGCCACAAAGGCUGUGUUGGAGGCCGUGGUCACCAUGACGCUUUGGAGCAUCUCGGCCGGAGUCAACUUCCUUGUGAACUCCAAGUCCCUCGGCAAGGUGGACUGCAUCACCAGGUCUUGGGCAACCCGGGGGUGGCUGCAUCGGUCGUUGACCUUGAGCGACCAGUCCGGACACCAAUGCUUGCCAGGGUGAGAUUUUUCUUUCCCAGAAAACACUGGGGGGCUUUGGUAACGGUUCCACAGCGAAGACGCCGUCACCGCGUUGACUGGAGACUUCAACUGUUUGCCUCGACCAUGUGGAGGUGGAAGUGCCGUGGUCACCCCUAAUGGCACCCCUUCUGGCACCGAAGAGGCGGACCCUGUGGCCGCAGCAACCGAGCUGCUCUGGGCUGCCGUGAUCGGGGUGGUCUUCUCUACCGAGAUCUUGGAAGACUGCCCUUUGGACUUCUUUUUGGGCGGAGGCGCCGAAGUCUCCCCCGAGUUCUUUCUCUUCGACCUCUUGGCCACCUCGGCCGAGCCCGAUGUGAUGAUGUCGGACAGUUUAGUCACUGCACAAGAAACAAAUAUUAUUAUUUGCCAUAGCCGAGGUAAAAGGAAAGCUAUGAAAGAAAAAUUACAGGGUUUCUUAAGUUUAAUGGAAAAGAGGGGAGUCUUGUUGGGAGGCAGUAAAGCUCGGCUAAUUCCCCCAUCGACCAGCACGGCCUCGGGGUGGUCCCAGCUGAAGAUCCGAAGUCCGGACCCCAUCAAUUUCUGGAAGGACUCCUCUUCGAGAUCCCCCGCGGAGGCGUCGGCCUUCGAUUUGAUGGGCCUCCACCAAAAACCCCGUGGGAAGUCCACGGCCAAGACGAAGAUGAAGUCACGCUUCCAAUUUUUUAUUGAAGAGGGGGCGCCGAUGACUAGCUUCGGGAUGGUUUUGUUCCGGUUGCAGACGUAGAACCACUCCUUGUCUGUCCCAUGCGCCUUGAAGGUGUAGCAUCGGCGGAAUAGAUCCACAGUUGGAGUCACUUUUUGAUGUCGGCACAGCAUCUUGAAACCUACUAGAAUGCAGACCGCGUUUGGGACGAGCUGAGUAAUCCUCAUGCCGAAGUGGCGAAGUGUGUCCCUGAAGAACCUCGACGUCGGCAUCCUCAGCUCGACUUCCAGCUGCUGGAUGUAGACUGCCACAGUCCCCAUGGGGGGCUUCUCGGCUGAGUCAUCUGGUCCGGGCGAGGUGAUGAUGUACCCCGGCCUGAAAGGGUACUUUCUUAUCACCUUCCGAGCCCUGUCUUCCCCCACUCGACUUCUGAACUUCGGCAUCUUGCCGAAGUCAAUUUUGGCCGCGUCUUUCGGAGCUACUGGCUCCAGUACUCCUUCGUCAUGGGGUAUCUGAGCUCCGAGCUCGUUAUUGAAGACAAUCUCGGAACCAGCUUCACUCAUCUCGGAUGACUCUGACGCCGAGGCUGCCUCGACGAUCUCCACCUCGGCUGAACUCUCCGCAGCACCGGACGUCGAUCCCCCAGAGCUGGACGAAGCCGUUUCUUCCGAAGUGUCGGGCACCUCCUCGGCCUGAUAGCUCGGUUUCACGGUCUCUUUGUGGGUUUUAGCCGUUCUGGCCAUGUGUGAAUGAUGAGAUGAAAAGAAAAGUACUUACUGUUGACUAUGGAAUCUGACGAAGUGGAUGACUUCGGCUGGCAGGAUUGAUCUCGGCAACACUCGCGAAUUUUACAAGUCGAAGGCUGAGAGAUAAAGUGAGGGGCCAUGCGGUGAAAAGGACCCCCUAUUUAUAGGGAUUCGGCGAGAAUCCGAAGAGGCGGCAAGAAUGCGAAAAGACGGCCACGUUUGAAUUCAAAACGUCGUGCCUCCCUCUCUCCUCAUUAAUGCCCCGUCCUUUCGACUGACACCCUCUGCACGAAACGUCCCACUACUUCACGACGCGACGGUUACCAGUGACCACGUCCCGUCAACUGACUCGCCCACGUGUCUCGUCCCCGCAUCUUCCGGAGCAGUUUCGGGACCCCGACUCUUACGACUUCGGCACAAGGAAGCCUCAGCACCUCCCUAGCCCGGAGCUCCCGAGGCUUGGGGGGCUUAUUGAGGAUGCUCACCUCGGCAACCCCCGCUUGUCCGAGGUGAACCCACCUCGUCCCUCAUCGGAGCUCAUCCGUGUCUUGGGCAUAUCCCCUAAGCUCGGACCGGAUCCCAAAUCUACCGUGUUGGUGAUCUCGGCACAUCCACCUCAGUUGUACGCUGAUGAUGUCAAGCCACCUGACAUCACCCGGGACCAGUGCUUUUAUCUGAAAAGCACUGUCACACUUAAUGACUACUGUGUAAGACUCCUCGUCACCCUGCCCAGGCGGCUACAGCGUCAGAGUCAGACCGCCUGACAGAGAGCAGAGCCGUAAUGGCAGGACAUGGGUCCCACCGGCAUAAGACCUCCAUCCUGCCCUCCACUCUCGCUCUAUAAAUACCCCUCAUGUACUCCUAACAAGUAAGCAUACUGUUCAUUUGACAAUACUAUUAUUUCUCUCGUUCUCAUACUAACUUGAGCGUCGGAGUGAUCCCAGGGGAGAAGCCCCGCCAUUCACUUCGGACACACAGAUACACCUCACCUCAGAAGAGGCUGAUUUCGGCUGGUUCAACCGCCCCCCAAAAAUCACCUCCUCAGUUAGCUAAUUAGUCCAAGUUGUGUCAUUUAUUUGGUGUUGUUAAGCAAUGGUUUAAUCGUCUAUUUUCCUUGCUAAUUUAGUCUAAAUAAUUUGGCUAGAGUUUUGUCCUUAAGUGGCUGAAAUUUCUAGUGCUAAUUUUAGGAAAAUAAGUGAUUCCAAAUUACAUUAGGAUUUCUAGACAAUUCUAUAGUACUUUAGGGAUUUGAAUCCAUGUAAGGCUUUAAAUAAGCCUAAGUCUUGAACCUUUUUUUGAUCAAUCAGAAAUUACAACAAAAACUUGUGAGUUUUAUACACUUCUCUUGUCCAAGAGAGUUUUUCUUGAAUACUUGAGAGUUUUCUUAAGUUAUUCAACUUGAAUUUAUCAAUAAAGUAUAUACCUUGGGUGUGGCGUUCUUCUAUCUACACUUUGGUUCAUAGAAUUGUUUAGUCAUGGGAGAAAUUCUCUUAGUUCACAACUUGGUGGUUCUAGAAGGGUCAUCAAGGUUCCUCAAUCAACUAGAUUUUCUUCGUCUAGAUCUGGGCCGUGUGGGAUAUGAGUUCAUACCUUCAAGCAGGUUCGUAUCAAGAUAUCUUCAUCUACUCCGUGGAUCGUCGAAACAAGUGAGGGAGUGAGCUUGUGGUGAAGUUAUUUGAAGAAGAAAGCUCUUGUCUUGCAUCUUAUCUUGGGAUUUUGAGGUAUAUUAUUAAGAAACCUCUCUUUUCUUCUUAUCUUGCGACUUAAUCGACAUAUGACUUGAUUAUAGUAGAUUUCAUGGAAGAAUUCAUGGUUUUGUUAUGGUAGCUUGAAUUUUCCAGCUUUGAUGAGAUUUUUUCAACUUUGAUUUGAGGUUUUCUAGCUUUGAGUUGAAUUUCCAACUUUAAUAGGAGAUGCUCUAGUUUUGAUAUGAAAUUUCUAGUUUUUUUUAUGUGAUUUUCAGCUUUGGUAUGCAAAUUCCAGUUUUGAGGUGCAAAUUUUCAAUUUUGAUGUAGUUUGGCUAGAGCUUUAUAUAUGUCCAAAGUUGAUAGCUUUCUUGACCUAGAAUAGAGACCAUAUAUCCCAUAACAUAUGAUCUUGAUUGUUAGUGAUUUUGUCAUGAAAUUUGGGUUGGAAAUGAGAGAGUUAACUUGAAGAAAUUAGGGGAUAUGCUGCUAGAAUUUCCCCCUUAUUGGCCAAGUGAGAGAGAGUGAGAGUUGAGGUGUAAAUUUAGGAUAUUUUUGCUUUCCUUUUGCAUAUGAUCUUACUCAAGACACUUGUUACAAUCUUUUUCUUUGUAUGUGUGUUAGGUUUGAGCCAAAACAAGAGGUUUAAACGAAAGGAAAUGAGUUUUUUUUUUCAAACUAUUUUUUAAUUAGAAUUUCCAACUCGUACAUCAAAAGUCUUGUCCUGUUUUCUUUAAAUUUUUUACUAUAAUCACUAUCUUUGUACUUCAUAUUCUCCUUGAAGUAUUGGUUUAGCAUGCAUAUGGGUUUUUCUCUAGAUUUGAACAAGAAAACUUGGCACUUUUGAAAGUUAAAUAGGGGUUAAACCUGCAAAUCACUUUAUUGGCUAAGUGAAGUUUUGAAACUCAUAGUUUUACAUUUAUAUUAGCCUCAAAUAGUUAGAUUCUUGAUAUAUUAUAUGACCACAGGAUUUGAGCAUGUCCAUGAGGACAAACCAAGGUUUGAAGUGAAACGAUUAUGAUCCAUUGGUGAGUGUUCCUUGUGUUUUCUGAAUUAAAUGCCUUUCUUGUGUUGUUAUUGGCUUGUUUGACUGUUAAAUGUAUUUCAGUGAUCAUUUUACUAUUGUUAGGCGAGUGUGUAGUUUACCGCACUCGACCUAAGUGGAUGUGAAUUUUCAAUGGUCAAAUGAUUGAAUAUUAUUUGUGCAUGAAUAUAAACCAUGUGUACUUUAUCGCAUUGGCUGAAUUGGGUCCUUGACUUUCGUCGCUAGCCUAUUCGAGCUAGAAGCGGAUUUGGUCGGGUAGGUUGGUAACCCUGGACCACUAUUUCGGUAUACUCGAGUAUUACUAUGAAAUCAGAUGGAGUACUGGCCAAUGAAUGAGUGAAAUAACUGAAAUGAAAUGAACUGGCCAAUGAAUGAGUGAAAUAACUGAAAUGAAAUGAUCAAUGUAGGGAUUUUGUUUUCAAAAGUCGGAAGUUAUAAGGAAGAGAUGGGCGGAGACUAAAUGAAUGAAUGACUCUAAGUGAGCAAGUAUCCUUUAAAUCUUUUAAAUGAUUGAGUGUUUACUUCUUGAGUGCCUCGAGGCUGUUUAUUAUUGUUUAUCAUUGUGCAAAGUGCGUGAAAUUGUUAAAUGAAAUAUUUCUGUGAUUUGAAUGGUUUUUUGUUUGGAUGCUUGUUUGGGAACCUCAAUGAGCGUAAACUUAUACCAUUAGUUUGUUUUCCUUACAGGAGUUGAGGACCAGUAUGGACAAGCUUGAACUAGAGUAUAAUGAUCCUCUUGCACAUGUACUUUUGGCAGACAGAUUAUAUUAUAAUAUUUGGUGAUGUAUCUUAUGUUUCACUUUUGGUUUGUAACUAUACUUGAACUUUGGUUAAAUUGUAGAACUCUGAUGUUAAAUUUGAAAGCUUGAAAGGUUAUUUUGAAAAUUUAUUGUAGUGAGUUCUGACGAGAGUUAGACACGCAGUUCGCCAAACUCUUGGGUACACCCUAGGAAGUGGUGGGAUCAUCACAAUUUAUGUUGCUGAAGUGAUGUUCUUUGUUAUAUUGGGUAAAUUACAUUUACUUCCCUUGAUGCUUGACUAAAUUACCAAUUAGCCCUUUAGGUUUGGGCAAAUUAUAAAUUCAUCCCUCAAACUCAAAAUUUCAUAACUAUCACACCGCUACCAUUAGUUCAAUAGCGUUGACUAUAUUAUGUUUUCAGAGAUGAGCAAAGAUUUAUCGUGAAAGCCAUGUUUUCAAACUCGGAUCGGACUGGCCAGUCCGAUUGAUCGAAUCGAAAAUCGAUCAAGUGUUUGGUCCGAAUUAUUUUAAAAACUUGGAUUGAUAGAAACUCGGUCAAGUCCGAUCAAAAUUGAAUUUGACCGAAAAAUCGGAAGAACAGUAAAAAUUGGGGCAAAGGGCUAUAGAUGUGGGGGGCCUAUGUGCACUUGUUGAGUGAAGUAACGUGUCGUUGAUGGGUCAUGCUCACAUGGCAAACUCACGUGCUUCAAGUCUCGUGCCGUUUUGGCUGGUCCUUGUAGGAGUAACGUGGUCUCACAACUACUUUGAUAAGAGUCACCUUUCAAAUUAUGUUUUGAUGUGGGUCAAAGCAUUUUUAAUAGGGAUAAUUGCAGAAACCUCCCCUGAGAUUUCUGACAUUUGCACUGACCUCCCCUCUAGGUUUAGAAAUUGCAUUCACCUCCCCUGAACAGUAAUAAUUCGUUGCAGAUACCUCCUUGACAGCUUUUGUAGAAGUGAGAUAAGAAUUUUCUUCCAAUUUUGCCCUUACUUGCUUGACAAUUAUUAUUUGCUUGACAAUUGCUUAACUAAUUAUCUAAUUAGUUAAUAGUUAAACUAAUUAACUAUUAACUAAUUAUCUAAUUAACUAUUAACUAAUUAACUAAUUAUCUAAUUAACUAAUUAACUAAAACUGUUGUCUGUCCGAAACUAACAAACUAUUUGCAUGUUAAACUAAUUAACUAAUUAACUGCUUGACUAAUUAACUAAUUAACUAACUAACUAACUAUUUGCAUGUUAAACUAUAUGCAGUACGCAUUACCUAUUUAAAGUAUCGGCUCUUUAUAUGUAUUUUACUUUCAAAUAUUUAAUUUAUAAUAAAAACAUCAAUGUUUGUAAGUAAAAUUCAAAAAGUAUUACAGUAAUAUUUUUACAAAAAGGGAGGGGUAUAGGGCCAUAAAUUAAAUGUUUGAAAGUAAGAAUAUUGAUAUUACUGUAACACUUUUGAAUUUUACUUACAAACAUUGAUGUUUUUAUCAUAAAUUAAAUGUUUGAAAGUAAAAUACCCAUAAAGAGCCGAUACUUUAAAUAGAUAAUGCGUACUGCAUAUAGUUUAACAUGCAAAUAGUUUGUUAAUUGGUUAGUUAGUUAAUUAGUUAAUUAGUUUAACAUGCAAAUAGUUUGUUAGUUUCGGAUAGACAACAGCUUUAGUUAAUUAGUUAAUCAGUUAAUUAGAUAAACAAAAAUUAGUUAAUUAGUUAGUUAAUUAAUUAGAUAAUUAGUUAGUUAAUUAGUUAAGCAAUUAAUUAGUUUAACAUGCAAAUAGUUUGUUAGUUUCGAAUAGAUAACAGCUUUAGUUAAUUAGUUAAUUAAUUAAUUAGAUAAUUAGGUAGUUAAUUAGUUAAGCAGUUAAUUAGUUAAUUAGUUUAACAUGCAAGUAGUUUGUUAGUUUCGGACAGACAACAGCUUUAGUUAAUUAGUUAAAUAGAUAAUUAUUUAAUUAGUUAAUUAGUUAAUUAGUUAAUUAGUUAAUUAAUUAAUUAGAUAAUUAGUUAAUUAGUUAAUAGUUAAUUAGAUAAUUAGUUAAUAGUUAAUUAGUUUAACUAUGCAGAGAUAGUUUGAUUAGUUAAUAACUAUUAACAAUUAGAUAAUUAGUUAAUUAGUUAAACUAUGCAGAAAUAGUUAAUUUAGUGUAAUUUUUAUUAACAAAUGUUUUGUUGGAUUUGAUGAAAGUACUUAUUACAUUCAUUUGGUAAAAUUAAAUCAUGUCAGGGGUACUUUAGUAAAUUGACCCACUUUUGCCUAUUAAAUUGCCUCCAACUUUUGAUAGGGGAGGUCAGUGCUAUUUCAAAAUUGAUAGGGGAGGUCAAUGCUAUUACUAUAAAAGUCAGGGGAGGUUUCUGCAAUUAUCCCUUUUUAAUAUUAUGUUUUGACUCUUCAAAUAUUUCAUACUUUAUAAAUAUUGUUGUAAAGUUUGGUAAUAUUUUUCAGUCAAAUUCAUAAUUUUAAUUCUAAAUUUAUUAAUGUUCAUUAAAUAAUAUAAAUUGCUACUUGAUCGUUCUAUUUUAUUUAGAUACUCUUGUUAAAUACAUUUGAAAUAUCAAAUAUAUAUAUAUAUGAAUAUACCUUUAUUAAUAUUAAUAUUUUCUUAGAUAUUUUAAAUACAAUAUUUAAAUAUUUAAAUAUUUUUAUUUAUGACGUCAUCCGGUUCAACUCUCGAUUGAAUCUGAUCGAACCCAUUGACUCCCAACCCUUGAAUUUGACCGAAUGGAUACCCGGUCCGAGUCUGAAAAUAUAGCAUGAAAGUCCUAAAAUGCCUAUAUAAACCCUAAUUUCUUCUUUUCCUAAGUUUUCAUGUACACUUAAACGGGCCUUAGAGAUAAAAGUUAUAUAGAGACCUCCAAGCCAUAUCUUCAAUUUGGCAAUAAUGCAACAAAAUUUCAAACAAAUUUCACUAAAAUAGAUCACAAUUCUUCUAGGGAAAAAAAGAACUACAUAACGAAAAAUUAAGUUUAUCAAAAUUUGAGAAGCCCAAAGAAUUUGUUCCAAAAAAUUAUGAAAAUAUAAAGGAAAAAAAUUAAAUAUUUCAUAAAAUAUAGAACAAUAAGGUAUUUAUUCUUUAGAGCAAGUCUUAAACAAAACAUGCAAAUUGGGGAAUAAGGAUAAUCUUUGGGGGGGGGGGGGGAAGAAGAGAGGCAUGAGGUUUAAUAGUGGAUUUUUGCAAUUUCACCGGAGUAUCCAAACUCAAGAUCUCAAAUUGCUGAUCUACUAUAAUCUCGAUCAUAUCCAUCUCAAACACAAAAAAAAUAUUCAAAACACUUAGUAUGAUUUAAUAACAAAUUCUAACAGGCUCUCAAAUUUAUCCAAAAAUCAACUUUACUGUGGUAUGAUUUGUCAACAUGGCAUGCAUUUUGUUUUUUUGUUUUUGUCUUGUGUAUUCCAAUGGAGGCCAGAAAAGACAGGAGGGGAGAAGGUUAAUGGGUGGCUUGGUGAUUGGAGAAUCAUACUCUGCAACCAGAUUUUUAGCAUCUGAGAUAACAUGGGGUAAAGAUCAAGGGGCAUGAAGGAAGGAUCUUAGGAGCCUGAACAGUGUAUCAAGAAUUGCAAGGAUGGAAGAAUUCUUUUGUCUUUAUUCAUUUUUUCCUCAUCGAUUUUUAAUUCUAGCCUCCUGUUUGUUUUCUUGAAGCAAAAUUCCCUGUGUCUUUGGUUUCUAAUAGCUUGUUUACUAAUUUUAUUUUUGCCAUCUUUCAGAUGAGGGUAUUGUUGUACUUUUGCAACAUCCGUUAAUUGGGUUUAAACAAUGUCAUUUAUAGGGGGAUGGCUGUUAUUUGAUUAAAAGUUAAAACUCAAAGUUUUUUUUGUAGUUUGGCUGAACCUCAGGGGAGGUAUAUGUAAUUAACACUUGUUAUAUUGAUUUAAGCAUGACGAACAUUUAACAAGAUUUAAAAAUUUUCUAAAUUCAUAAAAGGUGCACUACAUGCGGUCAUGCAUCAAUGUUUGGACAUGUAAAUUUAGUAUGACCCAAAAAACGAAAAAGGCCAUUGGCCAAACUAACCUGCUGGGUAAACAAUUAUGAGGGCAAAAAAAUCAUUGCACACUCGAGCAGUUAGACUUGGAGCCUUAGGGGACAACCGCAAACAUAAGUUGACUCAGUUGUUAAGUAUAUGUUAUUUUUUCACAAAAGAUUACGUGUUUGAAUCGUGUUUGAAUCCCAUUAUUUAUGUGACAACUAUGCUACUAGCGAUUUAUAAGAACAUUUGUAAAUGAUAUAUCAUUUCGAGAGCAUAAUUUUACCCUUGGUAAUGACUAGAAACUUUUCUCUACCAAAAAAAAAAAAAAGUUGGAGGAUGAUUGUGACACAAUUGUUGAACAUUGUGUUGCUAAAAUUACAAGAAAGUUUCGCAAAACACAACGAAUCUUUUGCCCCACUUCCUAUAUUACUUCCUACCACUUUUUAUUAUAUUUCUAUUUCUCUCUCAUAAACAUUAGUUUUUUAUUUUCCUACCAUCAACAACUACUAAUGCAGUAAAAAAUAAAUACAAUAGUCUCAUAAAAGCAAUAUAUAAUAGAAAAUCACAAAAAACAAUAGAAAAUUCAUAAAAAUUUAUGUUAUUCUGUGUAUUUUGAUUUUUUGAGCUUGUUAAAUUUUGUGUAUUGCUCAAUUAAUAGUUGUUUGAUUUUAAGAAAAUAAAAAAGAAUCAAAAUAUAAUAUUGAUAAAGGAGAAAUAAAAAUAUAAUAAAAAGUGGAGCUAAGAGUGAAACAAGAAAUGAGACAAAAGAUCUGAUGCAAUCAAAAGGGAUGGGCGAAAGGGAUGAACGGGAAGAAAAAGUGCUCUUUAUUACACAUGUAGGAUGAAGAAACGAAGGUGAGAGGAAAGUAUUUUUUUUCCUAUUUUCUUUUUCUUUCUCAUAAUAUUUGAAGGAUUUAAUGGCUGGAACAGAUGUAGAGAUGCCAAUAGUUUGGGCUAACGUAUAACAUGGUUAAUAAGUUGGACUUAUCAUAAAUAAUUUGUAAGUAUUAAAAGUGUACGAAAAUUGUGUAGUAAAAUAAAAUUGUAGUUUAUUAUAAAUAAUUUGUAAAAUCUUACAAGAAAUAUAAAAAUAAGUGUACAAUUGUACAAAUUUUUUUUUUUUAAGAACAAUGCAGGUAUGGAUCAAAGUUUAUAGAAUUUUUCUAAUGGGUGCACAUUGUACACUUAUUAAAACAUCUAAAUCACAUUUAAGUUAUUAUAAUUAUGUAAAUAAACACACAUAUUUAUUGCUCCUUUUGAAUUGUGACGUCUUUUUUGAAUUAACUACACCCUUCUAAAAAGGCUUAAUCCCAAAAUGCCUUCUGUAAUAUUGAGGCAGUAGCAAAUUGCCCUGUGUGUUCAAGAAGCACACAAAUUACCCGUUGUUUCAGUAGGAAAUUACCCCCCAUAUACACUCCAAAUUUCUUAACAAUUAUCAAAACAUUAAGUUUUUUUAACCAAAUUUCUUAUAUCAAACCAACUCUUAAAUUCUUUGAUUACUAUUAUAACUUUAGAAUAGCAACUAAGGUAGACAAGAAAUACUAAUAUUUUAUUGUUAUUGGGUUGGUAAGAAAUUCACGUUUAUCCACUUAACAUCAAUCAAAAAUUGAGUUUAAAUAUAUAAUUAUUUUUAAAUAGAAAUAAAUGAGUAAUGCAAGCCACCAUCUACACCCAUUCAAAGUUCAUUAUAUAUCCAAAUCCACUUAUUAAUGGAUGAGUUUGGCCGUAUCAACAGAAUCAAGGCCAAUAUUCUAAAUAAAAUAAAAUGACAGGAGGUGUAAAUUAACAAUAAAUAAUGGUUCCUCCUAGCUACCGAGUUUACACUAGUGUAUAUUAUGGCUUACGCAACUAAUAAGACAGUAUAUUUGGAGAAAUUAGUUUUAUGAAAACAGAAUACAUUUACUGAUGCAAAUAUAGGUUAGAAGAAUAAAUUAAACAUGUGACGCAUCCUGCCAUAACAUGGCUCCAAGCCUCCAACUCUAAGUUCCUACUCCAUUCUUUUGCCUGUCCUGCGGUCUGACAUGUAUUUUUGCUAAGGAAACUACUCUAUGUAAACUUUUAAUUCUAUAUAAGAAUUAAACCUUAUUUUCCUCAUUUUUCUAACAAAAAAAAAAAAAAAAGAGCGUUCCGAUCAAAUUUUUACACUCUUCGUGAAUCACCUUUUUACCUCACUAAGUUCCUGUUUCUCUUAUAUAGCUGUACCAAUCAUUUGUUCAAUAAAAAUUGUUCUUCUCUUUUCAUUGUGUCUGUUUAUCCAUUAUCUUUUCAGAUAAAAUUGUCAACAUUUCUCAGGUCCAAGUACAAUGAAUAGGCAAAACUGAUUUUGUGUUGUGCCAGUACGCAGAACUACUUACUACCACCUAGUCUGGAAUGUUACGAGAAUCGUACUACUUUUCGAGAUUAAUUACAAUUGAACUAGAAAUUAAAGAAAGAAUGUCAAAGUUUUACUGCACCAGCUGUGAGGAUAGGCAAAAUUAAGAUUUUGUGUUCAGAAGGCAAAACUGAUUUUGUGUUGUGCUAGCGUUUAGUGUGGACUAACUAUCCAUCUAUUGCGUCAAUUAUUGAACUAGGAAGAGUACAGCUGAAAUUUGUGCAUCACUAAAUUUUAUUAUUUCAUGUAUUUAUAUAUUAAUAGUGCUUACAACGCUAAAGAUACAAGCAACCAAAAUUAUGAAGAGAUACAAGUACAAGAAACUAAUUCAGCAGUGACAUAUAUACUUCUGUUUUUUACACCAUAAUUGAUUAGCAUAUUAAUAGUACUUUAGUGACCACGUCAGGCUAUUGAUUUGAAAAUCUUGAAAGUUUGCAAGGACUUGACAAUACCUUGAAUAGAUCCGAUCGUUGCUGCUAUUGAGGUUAGCAGACAGCACAUACUGAGAGUUUGCAUCCACACCCACUUGAAUGAGAAAAUGGGUAUUUUUUUCCUUUCAAUACGCAUCUUGAUAGGAAAAUAUACUGUCAGCGGCCAGAAUGAGAGAGCUCCAGUUAGUCCCACGAUAUCAUUGAAAAAUGGAAACAUCAUAGCUAUGACCGUGGUUAUUAUGACAUACGGCGUUCUCCAUAUCAUCCGGAAGAGGGUGGCUCUAUAAACACCGUAACCAGGCAUGUUAAUGGCAUAUUCAUGGUUAACCAAUCCGGUAUUCGGCCAUCUAUGCCUUGUAAAACUUUCCACAAAACCAAAGACUGGUUGACCACAUAUCUGUAGAAGAUUAAUGCACGAGAAUGAAUUAUUUAGGAGCAAAAUUGGAUACACUUUCUUAAAAUUGUAGUAGGACUUCUAAUUUGUAUCUUAUAAGAAGAAAUUUUACACUACAUAAGUUUUUUUUUUUUUCUACAACCAUGUGCUCUAUUAAUAAACUUACAGCAAUUGUAAAAAGAAAAGGGAUAAUUUCAGAAACUUCCCCUGAGAUUUCUCAUAAUAUCACUUAGCUCCCCUGAAGUUUUUAAAAUCUCACUUGUCUCCCUUGGAUUGACAUUUCUUGUAACAUUUUAACCCCUUUGGAGGAAAUACAAGACAGAUAAAACUUUUGUUCCAAUACUACCCUUAUGUUAUCCUACUUAUGAAAUUUAUAACAACAAUAAAAAAUAAAAUAAGGUUAAAUUUUUAUAAGGUGUAAAUUUCUUGACGUAAACUAUUUAUUUUAGUUAUAUUGGAACAAAAGCAAAAUUUAUGCCUUGAAAAUUUCACAAGUAUGAAGAGAUUAUUUUAGUUUUUAAUGUGAUAAACCUAAUACUUAAAAUAUACUAUACCAAUGGAUUGGAAACAUAUUUUCCCAAAAAAUAUCUUGACUUCCUUAAUUGUAACUGUGCACAAAAUUUUUUAAGGUGUUAAUAACUCACCAAAAUCCUCUUAAGUGGUUGAAUCUUGAUCUAGAUUUAUUUUAUCCACGUCCUUUGCUGUCCCACCAUGACCCCCAAUAUAAAGAAAUAUUGACCAUUAUUAGCUACCAAUUUAUUUUUGUAAUUUACGUUUUUUGGUUUUAAAAUUUUAUUUUGUUUUGGCUUUUUGGUUAAAUAGUUAUUAAGAGCAAGGGUAAUGUUGUUAAUUUGUGGCCUUUGAUAAGAAUAUUUAGUCUGGUUAAGUUGACAAGGGAGGUAAGUGAGAUUUUAAAAUUUUCAAGAGAGUUGAGUGAUAUUAUGACAAAUCUCGGGGGAGGUUUAUAAAAUUAUCCCAAAAGAAAAGCUAUAGUUUGAAUCCCAUAGUCCAUCAAGUUAUGCAUAUAACAGAGACAUUUACCUAUGUCCAUAAUCAAAAGAGAUAAAGCCAGCUAUAACUGCUAUCCAUAGCCUUGGAGUUAAACAAAUAUAUGAAAUAAAGCCCCAUCUUUAGUUUGAACCUUUCAAUAAAAACAGUGACCAAAGAGACCUCUAGUUUCAAACCUAUAAUCCAUCAUGUAUGCAUAUAACAAGAACUUUUACCACUACUGAUAGUUAGAGAAAUAAGGCCUACUAAUACUGAUAUCCAUGGUUAAGAAAUUAAACAAACAAAUCGCAUUCAUUGUUUACCUGGUAAGCUCCUGUGAGAUGAAUCACAACAAAAAUAUUAGCGAGGUCGAUGAGCCAAAAUGGCUCAAAGAAACCAAAUCCAGCUAAUAUAUUGCCUGGUGCUUUAUCACCAAAUGCUCCAUAUCCCAGCAACCCACAUGACAUAUAAAAUAAGGUGGAUAUAGAAAUUCCAGCCAGGGAAGCUUGUUUCAUUACUCUAUUCUCAGGUUUGGAUGACCCUAGAGUGUCCUGCAAAUUAAUCAAAGUACAAAAUUUAAGAAAACAAAAAUCAAUUACUUUUCUGUGAUGCAUAUUGCAACAUACUACACGGAUAUGGUUAUUGAUGCAAAUGUUCAGUCAAAACAGUACCUGAAUUUCAAUAAGCACUUCUGAAAAACCAAAAGCAAAUGCUAAGUUCCCAAGGGCUGUAAAUGUGGUCCAUAAGUUGUUGGUAUUUGACUUAUCUCCAUCAAUGAACACUCCGGUCAAGCUAGUCUUAACAUGUGGUCGUCCUUCGAAAUGGAAGCCGAAAAUUAUAUAAGUAGAUGGUUUGAGAUGAUAGAAAUUGAUAUAAAAUAUGUUACAUUGCAAACUUUUAAGGAGUAUUUUUUAUUGCAUUCAAGAAUCAAAGUCAAAUUGUGAUCGUAUACAUCUACUAUCAGUAUGGAUUUAUAUGAUUGGUCAGUUUCAUUUAUUAAUGAGUUGAUUAACGUAGAACUAGAUUUCAAGUGAAGUAUGAUGGACAAAUAUUUUAACUUUUCAUUCCUUCAAAUCAUAAUAGAAGUUAUCCAAAUAGUGAAUAUGCACUUGAAUAAAGUUGAAACCCAUCUCAGAUUCCAUUACCUGAAAAUCAAACAUCCAACUAAACCUUUCAGUCAAUUUUGGAGAACAAGUUUUAAUUCUUUUCAUUUAGACGUGAUACAUCUUUGGGUAAGAUUACACAUUUUAUCCUAGCACAUUUUCUUCAUUCCAGUCUUAUUUACCUUCAAUGCGAUCAUGACCUCUAUAGUCACCAAAUAGACACAACGUAGAUAACAUACUAAUGUAAGAUACUAGAUAGCAUGUGACGCUCUUUGUAUGUUUAAGUUUAAACUUGAUAGAAGCUAAUUCAAUUUUAUGAACUUGCAAAUUACUCUCAAAAUCAAAAAACAAAAGAAAAUGUAAUAAUAUUUCUGAGGUUGCGCAAAUAUGAUUAUGAACGAUUUUUGAAAUGUAUGGUUUACAGUAAUAAGAACACGGCUUUACUUCAGAAAUUAGAAUUUCAUAAAGUAAUAGGAUGCUAUCUUCGUUGACCAUACAUUGCUAACAACUAGAAAAACAGUAACCAUAAUAAUGGGGAGCUUUUUGUUCUAGACUUGAGAAUUGAUUUUGAGACUCAAACACUGAUUACGGAUUGAAUAUAACAGAGUAUGCACUAAGGAAGAUGCUAAAGGAUAUAGCUUACUAGGCAAAAGUUUCAUAUGGAAAAUCAGUGGUUUUGAUAUAUUAGAAGCAAGGCUUGUCAGUGGCUUGAUGUUUGAAUUUGGUUCAAGCACAAAUGGAGAAUAUCUUGGUUUCAAAUUCCACUUGUUAAAAAAAGAAAAUGCACCAAAACCUUACAAAAAGCAUAAAGUCAGAUCUUGACCAUAGUCUAUUCAACCUUUGUCAAUUCAAGAGAACCUCAUACAUAUCACCUAAAAUUUAUAUACAUUAUUGGCCGUCUUGUCAAGUUUCUCCAUUUUAAAAUUUGUAUACCACCUAAAAAUUUUAAUCCUAACAAUCUUGUAUAGAUUCAAUUAUCUGUCUGCUCAAGCUUGCCAAGUAGAUAUUAUAUACAAUCACAGACAAAUUCAGAUACUGACCUGCAACUUUAGCUAUUGAGAGUCCGAGGCCAAUGGAAGCAUGGCAACAACACAUCACUGUUGUGAGUAGGGACAGCAUCGACAACUCUUGAAUAUUUGGAAUUUGACUUAAAAAUACUUGUAUAACCCCGAAAAUGAUGAUGAAGAGAUUAAUUGGCGUAUGACAACCAAAAGAAUGACCAUGCUUGUGAAAGCAAUAUGAUCUUUUGAUAGCCCUAAGGAAAAAAAAACAAAGUAUCUUAAUCUGCAUAUACAGCUAGGAUGAUGCUUGAAGGAGAAACGUAUAACUAGUAUAAUUUGUAGCAAAAAAAUUCUUGGUGUGCUUACACCAUACUGUUGGCCGAUGUGAUGAUGUAACCAAUAGUAAAUCCAACAAGAUUGCCAUACUGAGCAAUUCCACUGAGUUUGUUAUAUCUUCCGCCUGUGCAUGUACGAAAGUGGUAGUGACUAAUCUUGUGCGUUAAACUAUCAAACUUUUGUAAGCCAAACCUUAAGCUGUAGCUUUAGGAAUGAUAAGCAUUUCAGCAAAUUAAAGGGUGAGAAUGCUGAAUAGCCAACAUAUAACUAGAUAAUCUAAUCAUUAUAAGCCAUAUCCAUGAAAGAUCUUGAUGAAAACGUAAGAAACCCAAAGUCGAAUUGGUCCUUGAAGAAUUUCUAACCUGACUUCUUUUACUAUGAUCUAAAGGUAAUUAAAAAAGUAAAUGAUAAAAAUAGUUACUAAACUAUUUAGAAUUCUACAUUUUCGUCACUAAACUUUUUGUUAUGCCAAAACAGCUAUUUAACUUAUAAAAGGGCAUGAUUUUUUGUUACUCAACUAACAAACCUUCACAUUUAGUCACUCGACCCAUAAAAACAUUUUUUUGGUCACAAAAUGCAUUUUCUAAUUAGUUGAAUGACCAUUUUGACUAAAUAAAAAGCUAAAUAACUGAAAAUAGGAAUCCUGAAUAGUUUACAGAUAAUUUUUGAAAUUUUCUCCAAAAAAAAAGAAAAAAAAUUUAGAUGAGGCAGAGUUAUUUAACAAAGUGAUAUCCACUUAACAAUCUCCUUACUGUGAUUUUUUUUUCCCCUCAUGCAAACCUUCAUGCUCAAAUUGGCAGUACACAUUUCAUUUUUGUUUGACAAAAUAGUAGGAUAAUGGGCAAUGAUGAACAAUUGAUCUGAUCUAUCCUACAAAACAUGGCCAAGGAUCUCUUACCAUUAUCCUCGGUAGAUUAUUGAAUUUUCUAAUAUUGUCAAUUUAUGAAUAUUGAGUGGGGUUACUAAUGGCCAUAAAACAUGAAAUCAAGUAUACCAGGCACGUAUCACAUCAUUUAUAUGAUAUUGAGAUUCCUAAAGUUUAUUUGAUAUACAAGUGCAGCGGUCGAUGGCUGAAGUUUCCAAGAUCUUUCUUGCAGUGCUGAGUGUCUACUCUAAGUUAUAUACAGAUUAUAUUUCUUAAUUCCUUUAACCACGUGAUUUCAGAAACAGCAAAUUUGAGGAACACUAUGCUCGAGUUGCUUGAGUUGGCAAGUGAGUUUUUUGGGUAUUUGUCUAAAAUUUUAGUGUAGCUUAUUGUGGAAGUUUUUAAAAAAAAUUUUUGAAGUGUAUUUUUUUUUUAAUAUUUUGCAGUGUAUAAUUUAAAAUUUUUGAAAAGUUUUUUGAGGUUACUGUAACUAAAGUUUUUAAAAAAUUUGUAGCAGACAAACUUGACAAAAAACUUGUCUGCGAAACAAGGCCAUCGGAUUAAAAUUUUUUUUGAAGUGUUUCCAACAAAUCUUUAAAUAUUUGAAACGCUGUAUGCUAAAUCACAGAGAUAACAUGUAUUGAUUAUUUUGGCUCUCGGGAAAAAAAAUUCUUUCUGUUGCUUUAUAACCACAACCCCCAAUUUGGUUCUCCGAUUAACGUGAUGAAGCCACUCCUGUGCUUUCAAAGACUGUGCUUAGCCCCUAUGUUUUUUCACUUGCUUGCAUCUAAAGUUAAGAGUUGUUUACAUCUGAUUUCAAUAGACAUAUGAAAUGUUCAUUUUUGUUCCAUCACCAGCGGUUUCUAGCUUAUACCUAACCUGAACUUUGCACUGACUACAGUCAUACUGUCCUAACUGUCAACUGAUAGGAGGCUUAUCCAGUCUUGCUUUCCUACUAAGAGGAUCAGACUAGUUUCUCCAUUUUCUUCCUUUCUUUUUCCAUAUUUUAAAGAAAAUUUGGUGGCAUAAAUUGAUGUAGGAGCUCUAGGGGAAUCUUGGGAGUAAUAUCUGUUAUUAGAAUUUUCUUUCAACUUUUCUUGGUCGGCUUUUUUGACAGGUCAGUGUAAGUUUAGAAAUUCAAUAGGUGCUAGGUGAAAUUGUUUGAAACGUCCUUGAAGUUUCUGAAAUUAUCCCUUAGUUUCAUGUCCAACUGUAAUAGGUUGCUCGAUAAACAUGUUAGAGAAGUUCACAAAAAUGUACACUAGCACUUUUUGAAAAUAUCUAUCUAGUUCUAUAAACAUUACUCUAUCUUUAUAUGCAUCAGGACAUUCAUUCGGAAUCCAAAGACUUUUGUCUUAUUUUAUUAUUUAUAAGUCAUGCUUACGGUUUUAAAACAAUUAAAACAAUUAAACACUGGAAUAUUUUCAGGUGCCUCAAUCAAAUGUUUUGAAUUUUCAUAGUAGGAAACUAAAAUGAAAUAAAUAACAACAUCAAAAUUGUGAGUAUCAAAUCCAUGGUAUGCGGUGCAAAAAUCAAACCAAGGAGAAUAUAGUUAGCGGUGGGAGUUGGGAGCUAAUUUAGGGUCAUUUAAAAGUAAUAUUCGUUUAUGAUAAUAUAAUAUGGUAAUAAUUAUGAGUGUGUUUGGACAGGAGAUUAUUUACCAAAAUUUAUUUGCUUACAUCAUCAUUACGAUUUCCAACACACCUUUUUAUCUUCCCAAUUAUCUUUUUAUCUCACAUACAUUACAUCACAAAAAUUGCUACAGUAAAAAUAUCUCAAAUAAUUUACAUGUUUGGGUCUUACAUUUUGUAUUAAAAGAGGUAGUUUUAUGAUAAUUAAUUUCAACUGAUUAUGUAUUUAGCUCACGGUACUCUAAGGAUAGCACUAACUUUCAUAACAAAAAAUGAAAAAAAAUAAGAAAGAUUUUGGCAAAAAAAAGACACGCAUCCCCAGAAGUGAUUUUGUGCAUAAGUGAUUAUGAAGUAGUAGCAGCAAAUUGCUGAGAAAUAUUUACACUUGUCGAGUUGAUGAACGUGGAUACUAAGCCUUGGAAGAUUGAGUUUGAGGGAAUUUUCAUAUGAUGAAUUCUUGGCAUUCCCUUGACAUAUUGACGCCUCAAUUUACCUUUAUAUACUGCCUUUAGCUUAACCCCAUUACAACCUUAUAAAAGCUUCUUGGAUUCUUGUAUUAAAUUUACUAUUGGUGGUGGAGAUAUGAUAUAUAAGCAAGCUCAUAGUAAUGUCACUCCAUGGUGUCGAUUUGAGAGUUGUACUUUGCCCUAUAUAGUUUAGAGAGAUGAGUGCACAUGUUAAACCUCCUUGUGAGAAUGGUUGGAUUUGGUGCGUUCAGAUUUUACUGAAAUUGUGAGGAGGAUUGGAUGCUUUUUGCCACAAAAUUCUUGCUAUCUUGAUUGUAUUUCUGAGUUUGGAUAUGCUUGAGGACAAGUAUAAUUUUGGAGGUGGGGAUUGAUAGGUUACAUUUUUGUUAGUAAUUUUAUGAUUGUUUUCUCUUUUAUUUUACCAAAUAUUGCGUUAAUUGAUAGAUUCUACUCAUCUUUUAUAAUUAGUGUUGAUUGUAAGAAUUUGGAGCAAAAAGGGGAUUAAAGAUGUAAUUCUCGCUGAACUUUUAUACUAUUCAGCGUGAGCGCGUCAAAGUCUAAACCAUGCAUGUCUGAUAGAAUAGAUGUUCCAUUGGAUGGAGAGUUUUCUAUUCCUACCAGGAUAUUAGUUUAUUUAUCUAUUAGGAUUUUUUUCUUUUGGAUAAGAGAUAUUGACUUGUUGGGAAUUUGAUUUCGUCUAGUAAGAGUAGCUUAAUAGCACUCAAACGUGAUUAAAAAGUAAAAAUGUAUUGAAAAACAUAUUUAGAGAUUUUUUUAGUUUUUUUUUUAAAUGUAGAACUCAAACAAAAUACAAAGCAAUGAUGAAUGUGGCAUAAAACUAAUGAAUAGUACUUUAUUGACUCGUGAAAAUCUUGUAAAAGUUGCAAGCUAAAUGAAAAUUAUUAAAAUCAAUCCGUUUACAAUAUAAAAGAAAAAAAGAUAAGCGAUGGAAAACUUGUGCAGAUGUUUUAAGAAUUUUUAAAUUCUUUUUUCUCCGUAAUACAAUUUUUCAAUUUUUUGGUAUUAUACCAUCUUUUAUUUUUAAAAUUUUUCAAAAUCAUGUGACUUUGUGUUUUUUUCUAAUAAGAUGUUUCAUAUUCCAAUUAAAAGCAUAGUAUUAUUCUAAAACUAUUGUGUAAGGGCAUUAAUAUCAUUUUGUUAAAAUUUUGGAUGGAGAAUUCAUCAUUAACAUUUGACUAAUCAAUGAAGGGGGCAAAAUGCAUAUAUUUAAAGUUAAGGUGGGUAAAGUGUUAUAAUGGUUCAACUUCAGGGAGGCAAACUGUAAUUAACCCUUUUUAAUAUUGCUUUUACACAUAAAAGGUAGCAAUGUUAUACAAAUUAUUAUUUGAGGGGAGCUAUGUGAGAUUUCUAAAAUUUUAGGAGUGUUAGGUGAUAUUAGGAUAAAAUUUUGAAGGCGAUAGGAAAAGUCGUUCAUCGAGGGUUUCCAAGACUAGAAAAUGCACACACAUUUUACUAAUACUAAAAUACUAGUUGAAAAUGCUGGUCCGGUUAAGUUGGUUGAAUGCGCUGGUCCAGUCAUCUUUUGACAAGUUGAAAACUAUACACCGCGUAACAGAAAGUCUCGACCAACGCCGUCAACACAUGCAUGCGAAGAAAGACCAUUCCCCAGUCUCCACGGCUUUAUGCUUUAUUUUAACCGCAAGUCCGCAAGGCCAAUUUUCUAUCCUACUCCAAUUCCACAUGAUCCUAUUCUAUUCAAACUCAUCCCGUUUGAUUAGUGUCCAAGCUUUCCCAGCUUUUUAUAAGAAUAUAACUAAACUAGAAGAUCUAGAAUACAAUAAUUAGAUAAAAAGGAACAUUAGCAUGAUUAUUAUUUUUCCUUUCCCCAAAGAAACAAAAGGAACGUCUUUCUUUUCUUUUCCUUCAACACUUUAUCUCAUAUUCUUUGGAGAAUGGUCUCGACAAUUAGUUCAACUAUUUUGCGUGGAGAUAAACUAAUUUUCUCAUUUUAGUCAAGAAGUAACGGAGGAUUUAGUUCAUCUAAAAUUGUGAGAUUAAAUUAAUUAUAUUUAUUUCUUUUAUUUACUAGUAUUCGUAUAUUCUCUAAUUUCAUUUCUCAUGAUUGUUUUGUUGUUUGAAUAUCAAGUGGCCCUGAUAUUUAAUUCAACUUAACAAUCUAAUGCCAAUUAGGAUAGUUAAAUUUGUAAUUAUUUAAUUUAUCUUAAAUUAGUGGUACCUAACGUGAUUGGGUUCAUAUUGGAGAAACAUAUAAUCUAAUUUAAAUAAACUCUGGUAGUGUGUUUAUUGAUUAGAACAAGGCUUUUUAGUUUUUAAUAUAAUCAAGAAAUUAAAUUCUACGAACACCCCUAGGGUUGUUUCUUGGUUAGGGGAGUAGUUAAUGGGCGUACCUUAACUAUCGAGACGUUAAGGAAAAAUUGGUUGUCAUCGCAUGUUUGGCAACUAUAACUUAUUUAUUAGCGAAUAAAUGAAAUAAUUAUUGGAUCGAUGAGCAAUUGUAUAAACCACAUCUGAAGUUAUAUCCUUGGCUAGAACUUGUUUACUAUUGAUUUAAAUUUAAUUUAUUUCAGUUUAAUUAUUUUUAUUUACGAUAAUUAUUUAUUUUCAGUUUCAAUUUUCCAAACCCCCCAAUUAAUUUUCAUUUGAAAAGAAACAAAUUUCUCCUAAUCCUUGAGAAGAAGACCUUACUCACUGCUAUAAGCAAAUAUUUUUGUUGAGUAAGUUUUAUUAUUGUACAGUCUCGACACCUAUCACAUAACAUUCCUAUCGUGCAGUAAGGAUGGAGCUAAGAUGGCAUUUGGUAAAAGGGUUUCAGAAUGAAGAAUUGGAAUAAAGUCUAUAAUUAUUGUUUGGAUUACUAUUAAUGGAAUUGAGACUUUGGAAUCAUACCUAAAAAUUUGGAAUUCCCCAAUUCCCUAGUAAUCUGGAAGGUUUUGAACAAAAUCUAAGUCUGAUUCCCAUUUAGAAACGAGGUUUGUCCCUCCACCCGUUAAAAAAAUUAAUAUAUAAUUAUAUACAUAUAUAUAAUAUAUAUUAUAAUUAUAAUAUUUUAUUAUAAUUCUAUAUUUUAUUAUAAUAUUAGUAUAAUUAAUAUUUGUAUAUCAUAUAAUCAUAAUUAUAUAUUUAUAAUAUAAUAUUUGUAUAAUUAUAUUUAAUUAUAUAAUUAAUAUUUAAUUUAACUAGUUACAAACUUAUAAUAAUGAUAUUAUUAGUUAUAUGUAUUAUAUAGUGUAUAUUAGUGUAUGUAAUAUAAUUGAUAUUAUCAAUUAUACUAAUAAUUAUACAUGUUUACUAGUAGAACUUAUUAAUUAGUUAUACUAAAUUUACUAAUACAUUUAAUUAGUGAAAAUUUCUUAUAUCCCAUUUCGAAAGAGUCAACGAACCAAACAUCAACUAUAGUAAUGAUAUAUAUACCUAGUACUAAAUCAAACAGAUGUAUUGGAAUGACUGACUCCAUUCUAAACCUAGGAUGAAUGGUUCAAAAUCCGAAUCCGAUUCCAUGGUGUGAACCAAACACUACCUAAUAAUUCUUUCAACCAUUCAUGAUGUUUGUCAAGUGUCAUAACAUAUCAUAACUUGAAAAUUAUUUUUCCCUAAUGACAAGAGGCUAUAUGAGGUUUUUUUUUUUUUUCAUAAAGACCAGUUAGUUACUAGAAAGGUUAUAUGAGAAGAACCUACCAAGAUUUACUUUGACAACAUCCAUGUAAGUAUAGUUUCUUCUGCCCGAUACUGGAUCUGGGAAUUGAUAAAAAUCUGCCAGAAUAGUUGAUGCAAACAAUGUGAUUAGAGAAAAGCUAAUCAGAGCCAUAGGUCCUGCAAUCCAACCUAAUUGAGAGAUCGCCCACGGCAAUGACAACACCCCUGAACCAACUACGGUAGUGAUAAUAUGAGCACUCGCGGUAUAAAAUGUUCCUUCAGCAUAAAAAAACAAGGGUUAAUUAACUUCGGAGGUGAAAUUAAGUUGCUAUCCUUCGGGAUAUAAAAUUCAAUUCAAACAUCCACCAAACCUGUUCGUUUUGGCCGCCCAUCAUCAUCUGUUCCAUUGAUGUUGUCAGCGGGUGCUCUUCUCAAGUCAUCCAUGGCUACAAAACUAAAGUGGUGAUCACUGAAAGAAAACCAAACCAACCAGCGAUUCCUAGAGAGUAAAUAAUAUAGGAAAGUGGAUCUUCGUGUGUGAUCGAUUGAAAGAAAGCGAACCAGUACUAAUUGGUGGAGAGUAAGUAAGAAAGUGGAUUUUCAUCCGCUUGAUUGCUGACGACUAGGAGAGGGAUGUAGACUUCCUGCCCUUGUCCUGGUGUUCUCCGGCAUAGAGUAAUGUGUGCAGAGUGGAAUUCAUGUGCAGUUCGUAAUAUGUGCAUGCACGCCACUUUGUUCCUUAUAACUAUUUGAAAAUACGGCACAGGCUAUAUUUACUUUGGAGUCCUCCAUCAAAACACGGGCUCAACCAUUGGACGUUAUUGAGGAUUGGCGACCAAAAGUUGAGGGCUAAAAUGGCCUGUAAUCUCAUAUCAUGAUUCAGCAGCUUGCGUAGUUUCCUUCACAUGCAGUAUAACAGUAUACAGCAUCCUUACUUUGCUAGACUUGUGUACGUUUGUUAAGAACUUUAUUUUUUAUUCUUCUAGCUGAGCCUAGUUUUCAGAUGUACAUCUAAAGGGAGAAGAAUAUAUCUGUAUGUGGAGAUGCUGGAUUGCAGAAAGGAAUCAAUAGUCGAAAGUCUAAUUGUUGUUAGACUUGAAGAAAGUAAUGGGCGUUCUACAUUCCAGUGAUUUUUCACCCUAUUUAGACAUAUUAUUUGGAGUUAAUUUAGAGUCUCACGUGUACUUCAGUCAAGGGAAGAACAUCACAGUUCAUAAUCUGUUUUGACUCUUAAGACGUGGAAUUUUCUCCAUAGUAAAGGCUUGUUAUCACUUUCAUGCCUAAGAUUUCUUUUUGCCAUGACGGGUGAUAGGUUGUAAUUUUACCAUUUAUUUUAUUAUUAAUUUCCCCUAUUAUCUGACCUGAUGUGGAUUAGUUGCUAGAUUCUACUCAUUUUUUAUAUUUCACAUUUAUUUCAGGGAGUAGAACGAAAAUAUGAUAACAGGUGCCAAUUUGAUAGAAAAAGAGUCCAAGUAAUAGAGCUUAACCCAGGGACAUUUUUGGAACAGGAAAACUUAUUCUCAUUUUGGGUAAUUGCUACAAAAAGAAGGACGGUGCAGGUUUUCGUGAAAAAGCUGGAGCGCCGCACAGGAGAGGCUUCUUCCUCUCGGGUGGGAGCCGCCGCCAGAGGAUGGCAAUUUUAGAUAGGAAUAGGCAUUAGGAGCUGGCUUUUCUUUGAGUUUUUCCAUUUUCUAGUUUAGUUAGAGUAGCUUUGACUUUUCCUUUCUUAGCUUUUGAGUUUUGAGUAGCAGUUCUCUCGUGGGUGAUGACAAGGAAAAACAAUGGAGUUCCUUUAGCUUUCUUUGACUUCUCCCUUCGUCUCUUGUGGUUGCCCCCUGCGCAGGCAGGAGCUUUCCACCAAUUAAACGAAUUGAGUUUUUCCUAGUUUUGAAGUACAAUGGCCGCAGUUAUUUCUUUAAUUUUGUGUGGAUUUUGUUCAUCAAUUAUGAACUAAUUUCCUCACUCUAGUCAAGGAACAACGGAUGCUUUGGGUCGCCUAAAAAUUGUGAGAUCGAUUUAAUUUUAUCUUUUCUUUUAUUUAUUGAUAUUCGCAUAUUCCUUGAUUGCUAUGCUUAUGGUUAAUUAAUUAAUUAAUUGUCUUGGAUCCGGAUAAUUAGUUAAUUUGGUAAUCUAUUGUCAAUUAGGGCAUUUAAAUCCGUAAUUGUUUAAUUGCUCUAAAAUAGUGACAACUGGCAUGAUUAGAUUUGUGUCAGGGGAAUACGCGGGCUAAUCUAAAAUAACCCUGGUAGUGCGUUAUUUGGUUAGAAUAGGGCUCCUCUAAUACGUAAGGCAAUUGGGGAAUUAAAUUCUACGGGCGUACCUAGGAUUAUUUCUCAAUUAGAGCAGUGAUUAACGGGCGUACCUUGAUCACCGACACAGUAAGAAGGAGUUGACUGCCAUCGCUUGUUUGGUAGUUAUAACCUAUUUAUUGAUAAAUAAUUGGAAUUGCGUUUGCUUCAAUGAUCAAUUAGGUGCACCAUUGCUGAAGUUAUUUCUUGGCUAGAACCUUAAUUAUCACCCAUUUGGUUUUGGCAAGUGCUUUUGUCACUUGAGAAAUUUACUGGAGACUCCGUUGCAUGCUUGUCGUUGGUUUUAAUAGACCCUGAAAAUUUUCUCUGCUAGACUCCGGGCUGUGAAGGCAAUCAUUAAAAUAAUUUGUCAAGACUUUGCUCUAUUAAAUUUUCUUUUUCUUUUGGGCUCAAAGUCAUGCGCGACUAAUUUUGUCAUGAUUCUCGUGCAUAUCAGAGAAACAUAAACGACAAUCCAGGAGAAAUAUUUUGCAAAACAUAAAUGAUAAUGAAUACUAGUAGGAACCUGGACUUGAAUUUUUGCCUUCCAAAUUGUGCAUAUUUGCUUCAAAUGGUUUUGAACUAACUUGUAUUUGCUAUAAAUGGUUUCGAACCAGCUUUGUAAGUUGGCCACUAAGAAAGGAUUUAUAAUCCCCUUGAGUUAUAGGUUGGGUGUUCAAGUUUCUAUGUCUCUUAGGUAUAAAUCUUAAUAGGAACAAGUAAAUUAGAAAAAAAAAACCAUUAUUAUAUGGGUUAUUUUUAAGAUUUAAAAUUUUUUUGAGGUAUUUUAAAAUUUUUUAAAUCAGCAACUUAAUAUUAUAAGAAUUAAUAAUUUUAAUUAACUUCUUUAAGAUUUGCACUGUGUUUUAAGGCUGUAAAUAUUAGCCAGUGUGCAAUAUAAUAGAAAAUUACUUGUGUUUGUUAUUGUGUCGCUACAAGGGUGAGGCCUACCUAUUAGUUUUGGAUAGAUUUUAAUCCAUUAUUGUAAACAUUAAUUCUUAAAUCCUCCUUUUUAGACGAGUUCCAUGCACGUUAAAUUUUAUUAACCUAGGUUUUUUUUCCUAUUGCUAUAUUUUUAAUUGCAUCUAAUGUACUUAAUAAUUUCAGACAAAAUCAAAUCCAUUAAUUAGGAGUGCGGUGCUUCGAUCAUGAUGGUCAAGCUAAGGAUCCUUUGCAAGUGUAGCCUUUUGGAAUUAAUUUAUUUGGAGAAUUAAAGAAAUUAAGCGAGUGGAGCUGGUGGGAUGUGUGGCAACGGCCUCAGCAAAUUAAUACAGUCCGGAUUUGGAGGCAUAUGGGAUUUGAUGUGAUUUGUCAAGAGACCAUGCAAGACAAGCUUAUGUUGGUUUUGGUGAAAGGCUUGAAGGUAAAAUGUUCCUUCACUCACGGUAUAAAAUGUUCCUUCACUAUAAAAAAAAAAAAAAACCAAGGGUUAAUUAACUUCGGAGGUUGAAAUUAAGUCGCUGCCCUUCGGGAUAUAAAAUUCAAUUCAAAUACCCACCAAACCUGUUCGUUUUGGGCGCCAUCAUCUCCGUUCCAUUGGUACUGUCAUGUCAGUGGCUACAAAACUUAAGUGGUGAUCGCUGAAAGAAAACCAAACCAUCCAGCGAUUCCUAGAGCGUAAAUAUUAAUAAGAGAGGAAUGUGGAUUUUCAUGUGUGAUCGUUUGGAAGAAAGCGAACCAGUGCUAAGUACGAAAGGGUUGUAGAUUUCCUGCCUUUGUCCCGGUGCUGUACAUGUACAUUGGAAAUCAAGGACAGAGAAAAAAAAAUUAACUAUCAUACAAUUGAAAGAAGUUUCAGUCACAGUUUUGAACGCCUCACAUUGACAGUAAAUAGAACAAUAUAGAGUCUAAAUUUUGCACUUUUUCUUUAUACUUGGACUUAAUUUUUUUUUUUAAAUUUCUUAUUUCUAAUUAUUAUCUAUGACAAGCACAUCUUCUGGUCUGAAUAUGAGUGGCAGUUGAACUUGACUUACUUUCGCAUUUUGAUUUGGGUCUGAAUAAUAUUUUAGAUAAAUUGGUAUUCAGAUGUCUCUUAUAUUGAAUGAUAAAUUGUUAUUAUACUUUUGUUCACUUAAUUAAACACCUGAGAUUUAUGUUGUAAUGUCAAAUGGUAUUGUUCAAUACAAAAUGAUCCGUGCAUUAUCACGGGAAACAAACUAGUUUUGAAACAAAAGAACAAAAGCCACGAGAAAAGGAAAAAAAAAAGAAUAGCAUUUAGUAAUAAAUCAAAAAGGAAAACCUUUUACAUGGAAUAUUUUUAAGAAUUUUACAUUUACCCCAACUUAUGUAGAAGUGCAGGAAAUAAUGCAUAAGGUUCCCUAGUCCUAAUGAAAUUGUGGUUACUAAUUUAUCCUCCAUUUUUAACUACGGAAGAGGGAAAAUUGAACUUCCAAUUGUUGUAAUAAAUAAUAUUUAGAUGCUACUCGUCUCUAUAUAUCUUUUUGCUGAACCAAAACAUUAUGAACCAAGAAUCAAGAUAACUGUACAAAUCAAAUCUUCAUGCACAUAGAAACAUAUAUAUAUAUAUAUAUAUAUAUAUAGAACUAAUUUUUGUCGAAUAACAAUCCAGAGUCAUGAUUUUAUUACAAAGAAAAGAAGUAGGAAAAAGUAAAAUGGCCACAACUACAUUUUUUGCAAAUCUAAUCAACAACAAAGGACUAUGAGUCAAAUGUUGACAAUAGCAAGAGCUAGUCUCUCACAUACUCCUCUUAGAGGAAUUCUUCUUCCCAUCGACCAUCAAUCCAGUGCCCAACACAAACUCGAGGGAUAUGAGAAAUUGUCUGAUAAUCUUCACUUUGUUUAUCCAAAUUCUGUACUUUGUGAAUUAGCUCAUCAGACAUAUCAUGCAACGCAAGAUAUUCAAGCCCAGUCAAGUUUUGGAGGCCCAAAGGCAGCCCCUCCAUGAGUUUGCAACCACCAAAAAUAAAUUCUUGUAGACUGGGCAAUGAUUCCUCUUCCACCCUCACCCAUUUCAAUCUUCUUAAUUGCUGAAGCUGUAAUCUCCGGAGUUUUCGGAAUCCUCCAAUCUUGAAACACAAUGUCUCCCCUUCAUAAGCACGAUGGAGCACAAGACAUGCCAGAUUGGGCAAUUGUCCAAGGGAGCCUAUUAUAUUCUCAUCUUCUCUCAACCCACUAUUUUGCAAACUCAAGUAGCUCAAGGAUUGAAGUGAUAUUACCCAUUGUGGUAGUCUCUCUAAACGGCCUCUCAAAUGCAAAACUGUAAGGAAUUCAAAUCUUGGAGAGACUGAAUGUUGGAGAUCAAGGGUCUCCUCUUCUUGAGUAGAGUGGAUGUACAGCUCUUCAAGGUUGGACAGCCUCAAGAGGGAGGAGAGGAACUCCUUUCCAUCUUCUCUUCUUAGCUUUGUGAUGGUUAAUGUCCGCAACUGAAUGAGCUUCCCAAUCUCCCUUACUAUUUCAUCACUGUCUGCUUCAAUACUUCCAAGAUUCUCCAAGGAAAUAAGCUUUCCAAUUCUAUUUGGAGAUUUAAAGCCCCAGAUUGUAAAGUUAUUUGAAUAAUUGCCUAAUCUGCUUACCAAAAGGACACGGAGUUUUCUUAGCUUUAGAAUUUCCACAGGUAGCUCUAUUAUAUUGGUUUCACUCAGAAGUAAAACUUGUAGGUUUUGAAGCUGCCCAAUAGAUUUUGGGAUGAUUUUUACUCUGGUGCCAUGGAGAUUUAGAUACUUGAGAUGAAAUAGUUUGAAAACUUCCUUUGGGAUGUUGUCCAAUUCAGCUCCCUCUAAAUCUAACACCGUUAGGAACUUGGGACCACCACAUAAAAACUUGGAUAAAAAUGAAGUUGUGAGAGGAUCUUCAUACCUGAAGAUUUCCACAGACCGAAGACACUUUAAACUGCUAAAGUCUUGUGGAUUAUCAGUGAAGUUAUGGAUUGCUAGGUGUCGAACUUUGACGGGCCAUCUUGUGCAAUAUCCAGUGGCUAUGGUUGUGAAGUUCUGCUCUUUAGAUUUUGAAAUAAUGAUUUCAUGCAGGAAAUCAUGAAGGCCACAUGCCUUCAAUUGGCCAUAACCCCAUGUGUCUUUAAUUUGGAUUAAGCUUCUGUUGAUGAGUUCUUUUAGAUAUCUCAUAGCAAUAUCAGUGGUUGCCAUUCCUUCUUUCUCUUCUACAAAUCCUAGAGCUAUCCAUUUUUCAAGUAUAUUAUUGACCUGAAUUUCAAAAUCUUCAGGAUAGAUGCUUAGAUAUAACAAGCAGCUUUUAAGAUGGUGAGGCAAAUCAUUGUAGCUAAGUAAGAGUAUCCUUUUAAUUCUAUCAAGCUUACCGCUACCAUCUACCUCGCUACCAAAGCCAUGAAGAAUCAUCGCCCAUUCAUCUAUCCUCUCCUUGUCUUUCAAAGCCAAAACACCACCUAUUGCCACAAUUGCAAGUGGUAGGCCCUCACACUUUUUUAGUAUUUUUCCAGAAACUUCUUCUAGACUUGGAGGACAGCCAUUACUCUGAAAUGUUCUAUUGCAAAAAAGAGUCCAAGCCUCUUCAUCAGAAAGAGGCUUCAUCUUAUGGACAAAGUCAUGGGAUGCUAAACAAGACCCAGAAGCUACGUCGGCUAUUCGUGUUGUUAAUACAACACGACUAGCGACAUGGUAGUCAGGCAAUAUGUAUUUGAUAGUUUCCCAAGCAUCUAGACUCCACACAUCAUCAAGGACAAGGAUGUACCUUCUUUCUUUGAGGAAGUCUUUGACAAAUUCACUCAGUCUAAUACCAUCCAUGGAUUCCACUUGAGAAGGGACUGGCUGUCGGAUUUCAUCAUAUAGUUGUUGAAUUAGGUUCUUGAUGAUGACAUUGAAUUGAAAUUUCUGAGAAACAGUUAUCCAAGCGUGGCUCUGAAAUUGUUUCUUCACCGCAGAAUCAUCAUAGACUUUUUUCACUAGAGUGGUCUUGCCGAGUCCCCCCAUUCCCACCACUGAAACUAUUUUCAAGUGGGAAUGGUCAUCAAGGAUUUUGGCAGUGAGCUCCUCUUUUGGCUUGUUUAUGCCAACAAGUUGAGCUUCUUCAAUUAGGAGUGCUUGAUCACGAAUAUGAAAAUCUGCAUUUGCCAUGUGGGAAGAGCUGGAGCCUCUUUCUUGAGUACCAUCGAGGGACUGGUACCUUUGAUGCCUUGCAGAAAUCUGUUCAACUCUGGCCUUGAUAUCUUUUAUUUGCAAAGAAAUAUGAUGGCGGACUUUCAGAUUCUUUAUGGAGCUAUAGAUCUUUCCUACAUAGCCACAGAAUCCAUCUGUUUGACCACGAGCAAAUCGGAAGGCAAAAUCAUCGAGAACAUCCUCUGUAUCAUAAGCAACUUCUCGAACCUGCUUUACCCAUUCUUGGAGUUGAGAAUCAUUGUCUUCCUUUGCUUCAGCUUUCCUGAGGAAAGCCUUCAUGCUCCCCAAUUCGUCUUUGAUGAACUGAACAUCUGGUUGAAGCUCCCCCAAAAGUGUUGCCUCUUGGGAAAGUAAGGUUGUGAGCUGGUUAAUCAGAAAGCCCACAACACUUUCUGCCAUAUUGCUCAAGAAUUACUCAAGAGUUGGUUUUCUUAUCAAGAAAAUUUUGAGAACUAUUGUAAAUUUUGGAAAAUAUGGUUGGAUGGGAGAGUUGUUUUUCUCUUUUCACACCGGUUGGUUUUGUACGAUAUAGUGAAUUCUAGAGUGAUAUGAAUUCAAACGAACAGCUAUUCAAGAAUGAUAUGAAUGUUUGUUUCUUUUCUCGUAUACAGGGUGAGUUUUAUUUGGCACUUUGCUUUGGUAGUAUGUCCAAAAUGACCAAAAUUUAUUACAAUGAAAAAGUGAAAGAUUAGUAGUCUAGCUGAAAGGAAAAGCAUAAAAAGCAUAACUUAAGAGAUGGGCAAAGAAUAAUUAUUCUCUUGAGAUAAGAAAGGCAUAGAGAAAAUUUAGUAUUUCUUUUUUAAAAUUUAGAUAUUUUUAAGUUGGAAAGGAAGGUAUCAGCCUUAUGGAAUUGUUCUUGAGAUGAUAUUCAAUUCCAUUCUAAUCUUUUCUUAAUUUUCACUAAAAAUGAAGCAACUAGCUAUGAUUACAAGUAAAAUCACUAGACAGAAAAAGAUCAUAUUCGUAACAUAAGGGUAUUAAUCAAGUGACUGUGAGGUAUUUAAUUUGACAAUCAUGCCUUCUCCAUUGUCACCUUGUUCGACUCUCACACCUUUCGUUUUCUUCUUUCUUUUUGUAAGAUUUGAAGAAAAGAAAAAAGAAUAUUGUUUUAAUGAUAUAGAUGAUGCAUUUUUCAUGAUCUAGCUAAUUCGAGAAGGAUAUCAAUUUUAAAGAAAAUUUUUCUUGAAAUUGGUACUUUACUAAUACUUGCAAAGUAAAGAAAGGUUAGUCUACUUGGAAGAAAAGUAUAGUGAGAAUAACCUAAAAAAUGGGCCAAGAAUAUAAGAAUACAUAUUCUCUCAUGCUAAGCAAUAAUAAAAGUUUUAUUUGUUGAGUUAGGAAGGAAGGUACUUGUCAUAUACAAUAUAAGAAUAUUCUUGAGAAUUUUCAAUUUCCCAUUUAUGUUUUUUUGGAUGCUAUAGAAUAUGCAUUUUAUAUUAUUUAACCAAUUCAAAAAUAAUAUGAAUUUCAAAAGAGAUUGUUUUUGAAAUUUACACUUUGGCAGUAUGAACAAAGUUAUAUAAAUUUAUCAUAGUAAACAACUGAAAAGUUAGUCUACGGGGAAAGAAAAGCAUUUUGAGCAUGACCCAAGAAAUGGGCCAAGAAUAUAAGACUACAUACUCCCUUUUGCUAAGAAGGACAAAGACAAUGUUUGACUUGUUAAGUUGGAAAGGAAUGUAUUUUUCAGAAGCAAUUCAACAACAUUUUUGAGUAAUGCUCAAUUCCCCUGUUAUGUUGUUUUGAUUGGUUCUGAAAUAGUUAAGAUUCUCAAUAAAAUCAUAGAAUAAAAAAAAUAGACAUUACAAACCUUCAAAUUGUAAGGAUUUUGGUAUGAUAAUAACCCCAUCAUACUACAUUACUUUAAAUGCAAUGGGGAAUUGAAAACUAAACAAUUAAAAGAUAUAUUUUACUAAGGGUCUGUUUGAUAACAUAAAAAAGUGCUGAAUCUGAAUUUUUUCAGACAUUCAGAUGUUUUGAGUGUUUGAUAAAUGAAAAUCUAUUUGCUGAACCUGUGUGUAUUUUUUUUAGCACAAGAAUCCUAACUGAAUGCUUAAUUCUGAUAAGAAUCAAUAGAAUUACUUCAACUACUUUAUCUUAUCUACCAAAUCUAGCAUUGUUUGUUAAUUACGUUCAAAAUUCUUAUCUAAUUAAAAAACAUAAUAUUCUCUAUCUAACGAUUUUUAGUUUCUCUUUUCUCUCUUUUUAAUGACUUUCACAUCUUUUCCAUACUCCUCAUAUAAUAUAUUUCAUCUUUUAUAUUAAUUUGAUUUAAAAAAAAAUAUUUUCAUUUUCAUACCUAACAAUUUUAAACUAAUUAAAUCGUAGAUUCUAUUUCUUUUUUGAAUGAAAGGAUAUAAGCGCAAAAUUGUCAAAUUAAACUUAUUAAGCAUUCAGUUAUAAAUAUUUAUCAAACAACAUAAAUAGGUUUAGCAUUAAAAUUCAGACAUUCAUAUAUUUUUUUCAGUGCUUAAAAUUCAGCAAAUUAAUUGUUUCAGUAUUCAGAUUUCAGAAUUCAGACUUCAGAAUUCAGAUUCAGUUUUAUCAAACGGAACCCGCCUUCUCUUAAUUCUACACAAGCAUGUGAUCUUCACCAGCAUAACCAUUUUUUUCCGCUUUUUCUUAUAUCUCUUUCUUUUUUUUUUUUUUCAAGUCAAUUGCCAUUUUCUUAAUAAAUGGGUAUUAUUGAGUAACCCACCAAAUCCAAUUAAUCCAUUUAGAAUUGUAACCCAUCAAAUUUCCUCUCUUCUCCCACCCUUUUUUUUUUAGAUUUUUCAUUUUUUAUGAUGUUAACUACUUUUAUUUCGUUAUUAUUAUUAUUUGUUGGUUUUAUCUUAUCAUUUUAUUUUCUCUUAGUUUGUUAACUUACUCGUUUUUCAACAUUACUAAUUUAUGACAAGUUUUAGCCUUUUUUUUUACCUUUUCAAAAUAAAAUUUUAAAUUUACAUACAAAAAAAUGCUAGGGUUUCAAGAUUUUUGAAUGAAGUUUUUAUGUUAACUUUUAUAGUACUUAGUUCAAUUUUUAUAUUCUUAUUGUUUAAUUAUUAAAUAGUAUGUAAUUUUACGAUAUAGAAUACGAAUGGAAAAAAAAUUGGCAAUUAGGCUUAUUGAGUAUUAUAAGUAAAUAUUUAAAACUAAUGAUGGGUGCAAAUGUGGUGUAAAUUGAUAAUUUAGUUUGCAAAAUUGAAUUUAAAUGAGUUUACAAAAAGUUAAAAUAAAUAGGUUAUAAAUGGGUAAUUGGGUUACCCAAUUCAAUUUUUGACUUACCAUUUAUAUUCAUCUAAUUAAAUGGAUAUAAAUGGGUUGACUCACUUAUACCCAUUAUCCAUUUUAACUAAUAGAAACCUGCCCAAGUCACUCAUUUUGACACCUCUCAUAAAGACCAAAGAUGCAAGAAAGGUAUAAUUGGUCAUAGUUUAGCGAGCUUUGAGUAAACCAAUUGAAAUUUCACUUCAUCAGAAAGGAAUAAUUUGUAAAUAAGCUUGACUAGAAUUUUGUACAUAAUGCUCUGCAAUUCUUCUAUUGAUGUUUUUACUCAAGUACAAUAAUAUUUUUCAUGUUUUCUGGGAACCUGAACGUUUUGUCUAAAAAAUUUGUUUGCUUCCUAAGAGCUCUAGUAGAUUCUGAAUAUUUUUGAACUAGGUAUGUUAAUUUCAAGGCAACUGCAAUUUUAUCAGAGUGUGCUAAGUAAACCUGUUCAUUCACUAAAGGCACUUAAAUCUCUUGCCAACGUUGAGACUUUUUCUUUUUAUUCUUGCACUGCGGCAUCAUGACUGUCAAGUUAUAAGAUUGGACAAUCCCUUACUCAACUCUAAUAUAACUACGCAAGGUUCAAGCCAAACACCGUUUAAACAUAUGAUUGCCACAUGAUAGUGUAGGAUCACCUCCUCAUAACUUAUACUGGGAUUGCCAUCUUCACCUAGUUAUGAAGGCAAAAGUCAUCUUUGAACGUAUUGUUUGUGGCCCUUUUUCGAGCAAGUGUCACUAGCAAUAUCAACAAGAGUUGAUGUUGGUGCCCACAUGCAAUGUUCAGCGUUUGGGGAAAAAAAAUUAGCGAGUUUGAACAGGUGAACAACAUAGCAAUCGCAAAUUUUAGUAAUUAAUGCUGCAACUUAGAAUGUAGGUUUCAAGGAAGAUUAUGUCAAUUAUGUCAAUGAUGAACAGAUUUUCCAUUCUCUUAGCUGUGUUUGGACUGUUCAAAUGUGUGCCUGGACUGAGAGAAUUCUAAAUUUAUUAUGAAAGUUAAAAUUCAUUCCACAAAUAUGUUCACAUUUUGUAAUUGUGAUCUGCCAAAUGCGAGAUCACUUUGGAUUUGGUUCCAAAAAAUUUAAGUCUAUCACCUGACACUUGCCGAUUUGGUCCUGCCAAAUCACAACCCAAACGUCUCUAGAAGAAGUCACAAAUAAGUGAAAGCCUUGAUGUAGUGCAGAUGAGGGGACAAGGAUGAGUGAUACCCUGUUCAUUCAAUCUAGUUAGGAUUUGAGGUUGUAGUGGUUGUUCUGACUCUAUAAAAGAAGCCUUAUCAAUUACAACUAAGAGUCCUAAAUGAAUGGAGUUCUUUCUAUUAUUUUGUGAGGUAAGAAUUUAAGUUGACACCACGUUUGCUAAAUGCGAUGCCUGGGGAGUUCGCAUUCAUAGAAUGCGUAAACCCCCCUCCCCCCCAACCCACAGCAGAAAGGAACACUAGAAAGGCCCUUAUUAUAAAAUGUUUUUAGAAUUUAUUAUAACAUUGGAAAUUUCUCAAAAGAUAACCGAGCUUAUGGGGUAUUAUGCCAUCAAAGAAGCUAUUAUGCAGGAUUUUCUCAACCAUGUAAUUGAAGGAAGCUCCACAUUUUCAGUAAGGGCAAGUUUAAGGCUGUCUCGCUUUCAUCAAAAGAACUGUCCCAAGAAGUUAAGAACUACAAAGAGUCACUCUUAAUUUGAAUUUCGAUGGCAAUUAAAGCUUGCCAGUCUCUCUAAUUUGAUGAACUGACUAAAUUGCUGGCUGUACUAGGUGUCACUAAUGUUACAGAGUUUAGAAGACAGAAUAUAACACUUGAAAGCAUAUGAGUUUCAAAUUGGACCUUCAUUUCCUAGGUGGAUGGCCUAUGCAAAUGCAAUGUGUUCAGUAUGGCCGGGCAAAGUUUAGCUGCAAUCUUGUGUAGAUUGUUGUUGGCAUUUGUUGAAUAUUUUAAAACAUCUUUUAUGAUUUGGGAUAAUUUUAUUUUUACUUUCACUAGAUAAUUUUGAACUAAUCUUGUAGAGAUAAGUUUUCUAGAAAUUCACCAUUAUUUGGCUGUUCAAUAUAAGAAAUUUUAUCACAUAAAAUUUCACUUUUUACUUUUUACUAAAUAAGUCUGGACUCAUUCUUCAGCCAAUGUAUUACUUGGUCCCAACAGAUAAGAGUUUUUUUAUCGCAUAAAAAUUUACUUUUAACUUUUUACUUGAUGAGUCUGGACCCAUUCUUCAACCCAUGUAACGUUAAAAUUUGUUAAACCUCCCACUAAUGUUAAAAUUUGUUAGCAAAAUUCCAUCUAAAACAAUCUACACCUAACAUUAACUUUUUAGUAGCGCGCCUUUAAAUGGUGGUCUUCUCACUCCUUAAGAUACACAUAAAUUUGAGUAAACUUUUCUUUUUACCCUCUUAUGUUGUUCUCUCUUCCUCUUUACUGUUUGUUAGUUCUCUGAAUUUUCUAUUCAUGCUUGCUAUUCACGCUUCCUCUCAAUUUGGUGUGAUCAUAAGGCUUGUUUUAUCUCAAAAAAAUAUUUUGGUACCUCAAAAUAAUUUUUUUUAGGACAAUACUGAUCACCAGCAUGACUCAAGUUACAUGUUCUUAGCAUUUUUGGUUCGUAUCCUCUUACAAUCUAAAUAAAAUGCGGCCUCCAACAAUGGUAACACAUCUUCUAAUACUGCUUAAACAUGUCAAAACCAGCUUACUGCUAUACUAGUCUACCAUAUGCCAAACCUUUUUCUGAUGUAUCGAAGAUUGAAGUUUUCACAAAUGAAAUUUUCAAAAGUUGGAAAAAACGUGUAUUUUCUCUGCUUGAUGUUCCUUGAUGUCCAUGGAGUUACCUAUGCUCUAGUUCAUCCACAACCUACUCCAACUGCUGAUGUUAGGACAUAAGAAUCAUGGCUGAUGCUAGGACAUAAGAAUCGUGGCAACAUGACAGUAAGAUAUGUUGUCACACUAUUUUGCAACUAAUUCUAACGAAUAGUUUGACAUCUACUAUUUCUAACGAAUUGUUUGACAUCUACUGCAGCUAUAAGGUAGUCAAAUGAUUUGGAAAGCACAAGUUCAUUGUACAAAAUAGUAUCACUGGCAAAUAAAUAAUGAUGAUAAGGAGAUAAAGUUCAAAUGACUGAUGAUAAGGAGAUGCAGGUUCAAAUCAAUGAGUUCCAAAAAUUGCUAGAAUAUUUGAAAAGCGAAAAGAUCUACUAGAAAAAUUUGCUAUAUUGAUUAAAAGAAACCAAAAAGGUGAUAAGAGAUAUGACAAUAAGUCCCAAAAUUUCAAGCCUAAUAAUCCCAAUUUCAAGAAAACAAAAGGCAUUUGUUUGUGAGAAACUAGGUAAUCAUGGUGCGCAGUGCAAGUAUAAAAAGAGAAAUGACAAUGCAAAAGCAAAUCCUCGUAAGGCUAACCUAGUCGAAGAGGAUCAAAUUAUUGGUGCAGUUAUUGUUUGGCUCUACUAUGAUUUUGACGAUAUCAGGGUGAUGCAUGUAGCAAAUUAAGAAUUGAAUAUAGGGAAGAAACUGGUUGGAUUCUUGAUUAGUAAGGACUUCAAUACCUUCAACACCUUGAGGGAAGUGGCAAAUAACCUAAAUCUUGAUGUUAAGGCACUCCCCUACUGGCAUCUUGAUGUCAAGGCGCUCCCCUACUAGUAGAAACUAAAUGCUGAGUGAAGGGUGUAUACCAUACCCGAAACUGUGAAAUCUAGAAUUUUUAGGUUCUUCACAUCAACUUUGGUGGAAGAAUUCAACUUUCUGCUAGAAAAGUUAAAUUCCGUUGAAAUGAUGCAAGGAUGGGAAUGAACUAAUGAAUCUGAUAUCAAGCUAGUGAUUGAUGUUAACAACCACUUUCAAAUGGAUUUGUCGGUCUUUAUCGCAGAUGUUAACAUAAAUCUAGCACAUUUACGUGAUACUUGUAAUUCUUCGGGAAUUGUCAAUAGUACCUUCACCAAAAUACAGAAUCCUCCUCCAAUUCCUCAAAAUGUUGGAGAUGAUGGAGUGCUGUUGGAGGCGAAUCAUCUGUCAUUGGCAAACUGGUGCUAUUUUUCUGACACCUGGAUGAAAUUAUUGGUGUAGUCAUUUCUCAACUAAACAUUGCAGCUAAUGCGAAAGAAUGGGUAUUAGAAUCUAGGGCUACUCAACACAUACAUGCCAAUCAAGAAGUAUUUACCUCCUACACUCCAAUAGGGAUGAUAAAAAAGUGAUCUACCUUGGAGACUCAAGAACUACUAAGGUUCUGUAUGAGGACAAAGUAUUCCUAAAACUCACUUCAAGAAAAACCUUAGCUCUUAAUGAUAUGCUGCAUGUCCAAAUAUUAGGGCAUAUCUCAUUUCUGAAGCUCUAUUAGGAAAAGUUAGGGGUGAAAGUGUUAUUUGAAUCUGGCAAGAUUGUAAUGACUAAGAAUAAUGUAUUUGUAGGAAAAGGCUAUUGUAAUGAGGGAUUUUUUGUACUCAAAAUUUCAAAUGUUAUCAAUGAAAAUGCAUCUCUUCUGCUUAUAUUGUUGAUUCAAUUUCUUUAUGGCAUGCUAGACUAGGACAUGUUUAUGUGAGCUAUGUAAAGAAAAUGCAAUCAUUUGGUUUAAUUUUCGAUACUAAUAAUAAUAACAUGGAAAAUGUGAGAUAUGUGCAAAAGCCAAAAUAACAAAAAAAAACUUGCAUAACUAGGAACUAAAUUACUAAAUUUAAUUCACACAAACUUAAGUGAUUUAAAACCAAUAAUGAUUAGAGAUAGUUAAAUGUAUUAUGUUACAUUUAUACAUAAAUAUUCUAAAUACUUUAAAAUUUAUUUACUUAGAAUAAAGAUGAUGCUCAUACUACAUUUUUAUCUUAUAAAUCUGAAGUAAAAAAUCAAUUUAAUAAGAAAAUAAAAUAAUUAGAUGGCAUAAUUGAUUCCAUAUAUGGUUUUUUCAAACAAGCUAGCAUAAUUGAUGAACUAACAUCUCCUUAUUUACCUAGGUCUAAUAGAAUAGUUGAAAGAAAAAAAUAGAACAUUGAAAGAAAUGAUGAACUAUACGUUAAUCAGCUCUUAUGCUCCUAAUAAUUCGUAGGGGUAAGCUAUUUUAGUGCAUUGCCAUCUACAUGACGCUGGUUUUGAGGGGAGUCCUUUCCCAUGGACUAAUGGAUCCUUGUGGCAGCGGCUGGAUAGGAUCUUAUUAAAUGGAAGGUGGUCAGAGAGUUUCAAAUUCACUAGAGUCUCUCACUUGUUGCCUAAGAUGGAUCAUGCACCAUUACUUGUUCGUUUUGCGUCAGGAACUAGAGGGCAGCUUUUCAUUUUUUUAAAUUGUUGGACGAAACAUGUAGGGUUUCCAGAUGUAGUGAAGCAUGCCUGGGAGUAGUCUGCGGUAGGAGUAGGGAUGGGUAGGUUUUUUAAUAAAUUGGUCACUACUCGGAAUGAGUUGAAGGCUUGGAAUCUCUUGGUGUUUGGAAAAUUUUUUUUCUCGGAUAAAGCAAGCUAAAGAGGCUUUGAAGUUAUGCGAAUGGGAUUAUGACGCACUCAGGAAUGAGUCCUCUAGAAUUGUGUUGAAUGAGGCUCGUGCAAGGUAUACUCAGUCCUUGGCAGUGGAGUGCCAGUUCUGGCAUCAGAAAUCUGGGAUUGGGUGGAUUCAAGAAGGGGAUGCAAAUACCAAGUUUUUCCACACUUUUGUUAGACAAUGCCGUAAUGCAAACACUAUAUUUUGGAUAAAGGACGACAGUGGAGAAUGGUUGGAAAAUGAGCAGUAGGUGCAGGACUCGGCGGUCCAAUUUUACUCUAAAUUAUUUAGCUCGGAAUGCGAAGGUCGCAGACCACCGAUCCUCCCAUUUCAAUUUUCACAAUUGGGUCAAGCUGACAAUGAUCUCCUUCAAGCUUUGCCGACUCUGGAGGAGGUGCGCUCUGUAGUUUUUUCGUUAAGUGCUGAGAGUGCUCCCGGUCCUGAUGGUUUGGCGCUAGAUUUUACCAGAGCUAUUGGGGAAUAAUUCAAGAUGAUUUAUAUUGACAGUUCAAGAUUUUGUUAAGGGAGCUCAACAACCUCGAGAUCCACAAGUACUUUAAUCAUUCUUAUUCUUAACGUCUAGGGGGCCUCCCAAUGGCAGGAUUUUAGGCCUAUUAGUUUAUAUAAUGUCAACUCCAAGAUUAUUUCCAAGGUUUUGGCUAAUAGGCUUAAUAUGUUAUUGUCCAAGAUUAUUUUGCCAUGGCAAACUGGGUUCGUGCUGGGAAGAGAAAUUAUAGAUAAUAGUCUUUUAACUCAGGAGUUAGCAUUAGACUUGGAUAGAAGAUUGGAAUGCCAUAAUCUAAUGCUUAAGUUGGAUACGGAAAAAGUAUACAAUCAAGUCGAAUGGUCUUUUUUGUUGUUUAUGUUAAGGCGGUUUGACUUUCAUAAAUGGGCGAUUGAUUUACUUUUUCAUACUGUAUCCAAUUGUUAGUUUUCUGUGUUGAUAAAUGGAAUCCCUGUUAGGAAAUUGGUUUAAUUUCUUUUAGUCAAGAUUCCUAUUUGGUGUGGGAAGUAACUAGUUUCCUAAUUGGAUUUAGUUACUUGAAGUAGUAGUCAAGUGAAUUCCUAUUUAGCUAGAUACUAUUUUCUACUCUAUAUGAGUUUAGGAAAUAGUAUUGGUUUCCAAUUGUUAUUUGAUUUUUUGGCAGUAAUGUUCUCUAUAAAUAGGUAGAUUGGCAUACUACAAAAACACACAAGAAAGGAGUGAGAGAGUUCUUAGUGGGUGAGAGGGUUAUAGAAGAGUUGGGGCUUGGAAAUCAAGUUGUAAUCUUGUGGUGUUUUUUUCAUAGUAAGAACAAGUUUUUCUCUCCGUGGAUGUAGGCUUGGUGAUUAAGUCGAACCACGUUAAUUCUUGUGUGUUGUUCAUCGUUCAUGCUAGAUAUUAUUUUCUAUUAAAUUAUUGGUCUUUUCCUUUUCAAAUAAUUGGCCUGAUACCCUAACAAGUGGUAUCAGAGCUCCGUUGGGAUUUUGGUUAAUUAUUUGAAAUUGAGUGGGUGGUGGUAUACCAUGGGGUUUGGAACUAUACAGUUUCCAAUUCAACCGUUUAAUGGAACUACAAGUUUCACUCUUUGGCAAAGAAGAGUGAAGGAUGUUCUAGUUCAACAAGGUUUGGCAAAAGCGUUGAAUGGAAAGAACAAGAAGCCAGAGAGCAUAAAUGAUGAUGAGUUUGAAGAGUUGGACGCAAAGUGUGCGAGCACGAUUCCGCUCUAUGUGGCGGCCAACAUCAUAAAUAAUGUGAUAGAUGAUGAAGAUUCUGCAGCAGACCUCUGGAAAAAAUUGGAAAAACUUUAUCUGGCUAAAAGCUUAUCCAAUAAGUUGCAUCUAAAGCGGCAACUUUAUGCACUAAAUAUGGUGGAGGGUGGCAGCCUCAUGGAUCACAUGAAUACGUUCAACGGAAUUUUGGAUCAACUCCAAAAAGUUGGAGUAGAUAUUGAGGAAGAAGAUAAGGCCCUUUUACUUUUUACCUCAGUCUCUGAUUCUUACGAAAGUGUCGUGACAACCCUGUUGUAUGGGAAGGACACUUUAGAGUUCGAGAAUGUGCAGUCUUCUUUGUUGGAUCAUGAAAAACAAAGGAAGGCAAAUCAGGAUGUGACACAAGAAGCUGCGUUAAUUGCUCGAGGUGAGAAUGAAAGAGGAAAAUAAUUUGACGGUGAAUCUAAGACAGGUGGUUCAAAGGCCAAGAGAAAGGGUGGAAUCCAGUGCUUUGGUUGUCAUGAGUUUGGCCAUAUCAAAAAAUAUUGCCCUCAUCGAAAGAAAAAUGAUGAGAAUGACUAUGAUAAUGUUGCUGGAUAUGCAUCGGGUGGAGAUAUUCUCACAAUCUCCAAAGGUAAUAAUACUUCUUCUCGUGAUGGUUGGAUUUUAGAUUCUGGAUGUGUUUCACAUGUUUGCUCCAGGUUAGACUAUUUUGAUACUCUCCAAAGAAAGAAGGCAGAUUUUAUGUCCUUGGGUGAUGGAUCUACUUGUCAAGUCAAAGGUGUUGGAGUGGUGAAAAUCAAAAUAUUGAAUGGAGAGAUUCGUUCUUUGGGUGGUGUGGCUUAUGUCCCAAAGUUACGAAGGAAUCUAAUUUCUUUGAGCCAGUUAGACUCCGAGGGUUACCAUUUUUCGCUGCAGGUGGAGUUUUGAAAAUCACACAUGGCGAGACGGUCUUGUUGAUGGGGAAGAAGUAUGGUAAUCUGUACCAUUUGAAUACCUCAAUGGAUUGGGAGCGGAAAGGGAUCCAAGAAUACUCUCAAAUUACAAAUGGUGGUGAGAGGAGAAAUCCUGCUAUAGGAGAGGGUGAAUUGAGGCCCCUCUCGUGAGUCAACUAGAUGUUGGACUCGAUUAGCUACACACGGUCAUUUGCCGAUUGAAUCAAUUGAAAACAAGACCGUAUUGAUUUAGGUGUGUCGCUAGACACCAAGGUACUUGGUGGGAAAAGGCAAAUGGAGUUUUUUUUUGGAUGGUUUGCUGUGUUUGCUAAAAGAAAUAUUCGCCAAGGUGAAAAUUUGUUAGGAAAUUGGCUUAAUUUCUUUUAGUCAAGAUUCCUAUUUAGUGUGGGAAGUAACUAGUUUCCUAAUUGGAUUUAGUUACUUGAAGUAGUAGUCAAGUAAAUUCCUAUUUAGCUAGAUACUAUUUUCUACUCUAUAUGAGUUUAGGAAAUAGUAUUGGUUUCCAAUUGUUAUUUGGUUUUUUGGCAGUAAUGUUCUCUAUAAAUAGGUAGAUUGGCAUACUACAAAGACACACAAGAAAGGAGUGAGAGAGUUCUUAGUGGGUGAGAGGGUUAUACAAGAGUUGGGGCUUGAGAAUCAAGUUGUAAUCUUGUGGUAUUUUUCUCAUAGUAAGAACAAGUUUUUCUCUCUGUGGAUGUAGGCUUGGUGAUUAAGCCAAACCACGUUAAUUCUUGUGUGUUGUUCAUCGUUCAUGCUAGAUAUUGUUUUCUAUUAAAUUGUUGGUCUUUUCCUUUUCAAAUAAUUGGCCUGAUACCCUAACAGUCCCUACUAGUUUUUCUAAAUCAUCACGUGGGGUUUGGCAAGGAGAUCCUUUAUCUCUUGCGUUAUUUUUAAUUCUUGCGGAACUUUUAGGGAGAGGUCUCAUCAUUUUUGUAUGGAGGAUGAGCGGCGAUUUUAUGUUUCUGGUGGGUCUCGGAUCCCUUAUUUGGCUUUUGUAAAUGAUAUUUUAAUCUUCUCAAGAUACUCAGUGGGGUGUUUGGAUGACAUCAGGAAUUUACUGGAGGAUUAUCAAGCAUUUUCAGGGCAAAAGGUUAACGGCAGGAAAGCUCUUUUCUUGUCUCAAAUAGGGCCUCUGAGAACAAUGUCUCCAUGGUGGUUUUGAAAUUAGGAUUUCAACAUCAGCAAUUCCCUUUACAUAUCUGAGAGCACCCAUUUCUAGAGAACGAAUUGGAUGCAUUUUGUUUGAUGGCAUUAUAGAUAAACUACGCAAUUGUCUCUUCAGCUAGAGUUCAAAGCUACUUUCUGUAGGUGGCAAAAUCAUUCUUGUACGGCGUGUUCUGUCCUCAAUGCCAUUAUACCUGCUCCAAGUUUUAUAGCCGCCCAAACUAGUUCUUAACAGAAUAAGGAAGAUUUGUAAUAGUUUUUUGUGAGAUCGUAACUCCAACAAGGGGAUUCAUUGGUCCUCUUGGGGAAAAUUAUGUUAUCCUACGGAGGAGGGAGGUCUCGAUUUUAGGGAUUUUGAAGAUAUGGCUAGGGCUUUCUCGUGCAAGUUAUGGUGGAAAUUAAGGGCUGACAAUACUAUUUUGGCAAACUUUAUGCAGAAGAAAUAUGUCAAGAAGUGUCUCCCGUCUCAUAGUUUAGUUGUACGACCUUCUAGCAUCUGGCGGAGGUUAGAGCAUCUGGUGUAGGUUUUUGGUGGGAUAGGUAGUUGUUAGAUGUUCCACCAGUAGGAUUCCUAGGGACUGAUCCCCCCAUACUCUGUUGGCGGAGUUUUUCUGCCCCUCCAGGUGCAAAGUGUUUGGCUUACGAUAGUUCUUCCCUAGCAAUUUGGUGGACAAGUAACUGACAUAGCUUUGUACUUCUAGGCUCAGGACUGUAUAGUAUAGGUACCAUCGGCAUUAGAUUCAUUCUCGGUAAAAUCUGCUUGGAUGGAGCUCAGGGAAAGAAGGAAUAUUUCAUAGGUAGAUAAGGCCUCUUGGACCUCUAUUCUACCCCUUAAGAUUUCCUUUCUUGUUUGGCAACUGCAGAGAAAUUUCCUUCCUUUAGAUGCGAUUUUGCGGUGUAAGGGAAUGGUAAUGGUCUCUUGGUGUUCAUGUUGUUUCACGAAUCAAGAGACGCUACACCAUUUGUUUUUGGAUGGAUCUAUAGCUCUUCAAGUGUGCUCUCAUUUUGCAAGGUAGUUUGGUAUGGUCCAACUCAUGCACUCUUCUGUAUCUGUGAUGUUUAGCUCGUGGUUGAUGUCAAUUUCAUCAAGAUCUCUUGAUCAUAUCUGAGUUGCUGUGCCAGCGGCCAUGUUUUGGUUCCUAUGGAAGACUAGAAACAAUGCACGCUUUCGAAGUGAGAAGUUCAGUGCAUGGCGAGUGAUUUGCUUGAUUUUGGAGCAAUUGGGUUCUGCGAAAACUUUUAGGAGGUUGCAUUUUACAGGAGAUUUGGAUUGUAUAUGGCCAAUACAGCAAUUCUGUUUCCCUUUAUCAUUCAUUGGUGUCUUGUCACUUAAAGUAAAUGAGAGUUCUCUCAACUUAAACUAAACACAGAUGCAAGUGUACAUAAUGGGUAGGCUUUUGGUGGCGGCAUUCUUCGUGACCAUGAAGGUAAAUUGAUCUUUGCCUUUUUCAAAGAGCUCGAGGAGGAAGAUGUGCUUAUGGCUGCAUGUUUAUCCCUGCUUCAUGGACUGCAGCUAUGUCUUGGGAGGAAUUUGGUUUUUUUUUUUUAGGUGGAAACUGAUUCACGGAGUUUGGUUCAACUGAUAAAUUGUAAUGCCCUAGCUACAUGGCCCUUAUGUAACGCUCUACAUCGGGUGAGGCAAUCUCCUUUUAUAGCCAAGGCAUCUCUUGCUCAUAUUUUUCUCAAGGCAAACUCCGCGAUUGAUAGACUCGCAGCACUUGAUUUAUCUAUAGAUAUGGUUUUCCAUUCUAUCUCUGAGCUGCCACCAUCUGCAAAAGCUACUGUACUUUUGGAUGGUUUGCAGGUACUAUCUAUUAGGGGCUUAUAAUGUAAGGGAGUAGUACUCUUCAUUUAAGAUUUUUUGUCUUUAACUAAGGUCAGGUCAAGCCCUCCUUGUGAGGACCCCACCUCCUCCUAGGCCAUACCCAAGGGUUUCGUGGACCGCUUGCCAACUCUCACCAGGACUCACUACAUUUAUUACAAUAAAUUCUCAAAAUAACCGUUCAAGCCUCCAAAUUAACAACAGAGUUCUACAAUUCAACCAAUAAUUCAAAUUUAAUUACAACCCAAAAGUGAAACAUAAGAUACACCAUCAAAAAUUUAAAAAAAAGAUAUGUCUACCAAAAGUACAUGUGCAAGAGGAUCAGUACACGUUAGUUCAAUCUUAUCCGUUUCAGACCUCAACUCCUAUAAUGAAAACAAACUAAUUGGAUGAGUUUACGCCUAGUGAGGUUCCCAAAAGCAUCCAAGCAAAACACCAGUCAAAUCAUAAAAACUAUUGCAUUUAACAAUUUCACACACUUUGUACAGUAAUAAAUAGUUUCAAGGCAUUCAAGAAGUAAACAUUCAAUCAUUUAAAGGAUACGAGCUCACUUGGAGCCAUUCAUUCAGUUAUUUAUUCAUUCAUUUAUUCAGUCUCUGCCCAUCCCUUCCUUAUAACUUUCAAUGUUUGAAAACAUUUGAAAACAAAAACUCCUACAGUGAUCAUUUCAUUUAGUCAGUCAUUUAUUUCAGUCAUUGUAUUGCAUUCACUGGCCAAUACUCUACUUGAUUUCGUGGUCAUAAUCGAGUAUACCAAAACAUUGUCCCAGGGUCACCAACUUACCUGACCAAGUCCACUUUUGGCUAGAGUUGACUGGCAACGAAGGGCAAGGGUCCAAUCAAACCAUGUGAUACAGUACACAUGGCUUACAUUCAUGCAUAAGUAAUAUUCAAUCAUUUAAUCAUUGAAAUUUUACAUUCACUUAGAUGGAGUCCGAUAAAGUACACACUCAACCCUGGAUCAUUGAAAUAUUCCUGGAUCUGUUUAGGAGUAGUUCUAUCCACUUGCUGUACGUUCGACCUCUUUGAUGCUUUCUUGGGCAGUUGUUAAUUUGAUGGUCAGUAUUCCACAAGCCAAGUGUAAUGAUCCCACAUCGGUUAGGGAGGAAGUCCUGGAUGGCUUUAAUAUCCUGUUAUGGUUUCUCCCACCUGACCGAGGCCUUUUGGAGGGGUGCUGGGUUUCUUGACCUGUGGGUUUGGGUUCUUCACUUGUUGUGGGUUAUAACCCCACCUCCAGGAACAAAACCCACGGCCCAAUGGGGCGGUUAACUGUGGGACAAUAUUGGUCAGAGGUGUUAGAGUUGGUAUCAGAGCCGACUCUCGACCCCGGUGUGCCAGCGAGGACGCUGGGUUCCCUAAGGGGGGUAGAUUGUAAUGAUCCCACAUCGGCUAGGGAGGAAGUCCUGGGCGGCUUUAAUAUCCUGUUGUGGUCUCUCCCACCUGACCGAGGCCUUUUGGAGGGGUGCUGGGUUUCUUGACCUGCGGGUUUGGGCUCUUCACUUGUUGUGGUCUAUAACCCCACCUCCAGGAACAAAACCCACGGCCCAAUGGGGCGGUUAACUAUGGGACAAUAUUGGUCGGAGGUGUUAGACCAAGCACUUUCGCCCCUUCACCCAACAUUCAUCCUCAACGUGAUUUGUCUUCCCACAGUAUCCACAAGCCAAGCGAGGAGCCACUAUUUGGCAUUCUCGAGAGAUUCUCUCUUGUUGCCCUUUUCCCACCUGAAAUCCUCUUGAAGAAAUUCCUUCUAAUUUUUUCAGUGUUCAUGGUGGGUAAGGUUGAAGAUCCACUCUUCUUACUUUGUGAGGUGAUACGUUUUCUCUGGAUUCCUCAAAAUUACUACUAGGCGCACUUCUUUUUCGUGCUUGAAAAGCUCUUACCCGCACCUUCGUGUUCUCGAUCCUUUGGGAUUUUUCAAGAGCUUCCGUAAUGGUAUUAAUUUGAACUAGCACUAAAGUUUCUUAGAUUUCUACUUUCAAUCCCUAUACAAACCAUCUCACUCACCUUUGUUCCGUAAUCACCAGCUCAGGAGCAAAUUUGGACAAUUAAUAAAUUGUGUUUUAUACUCGACCACAUUUAGGGUUCCCUAACAUAACCCGAUAAAUCAUCUUCUCCCUUCUUUUGGAUUAGAGGUGGGAGGUAUUUUUCAUUAAAUUUCCUUAUAAAGUUUAUUCAAGUCCAUGCCAUCUGCUCUCUCUCACACUUUACCCUAAUAACAUUCCACCAUACUCGGACCAAUUUUUCAAAUUGAAAGACAGCAAAAGUCACUUGCCUUUCCAUCGUAUAAUUCAAGAUUGCAAAAAUGUUAACUAUUAUCUCCAACCAACUCUCAACUAUCUCUGAAUCAGGCCCUCCUAUGAAUUUAGGGGGAGCAAACUUUUGAAAAUACUCUAGAGCCCUAUCCUCUCCUAUCUAAGGGUCCCUAAACUGGUUAACAGGGGUUUAACUCUAUUGCUUUACUAAUCGUGCUAAAAUAUCAGUCAUUUGUUGUAUAGCCGUCGCUACUUGAUCCCCUGCUUCACCCUCGGUCCACGAUCUUGCUCAGCCGCUGAUUCUCUUUCAUUCCUUGGUUCUUGCAAUUGCCUAGCCCCACGUCCACGAUUUUGUCUUCCCUCCAUUCUCUCUCUCUCUCUCUUAUAAAAAUAGGUUAUAUAUACAUAAGCAACGCUAAAUCGACUACAGCAGCAAAAUAAAAGUAUUUUCAAAUCAUGAAGUCAAAGACAAAGAAACACAUUUAAUAUAUAUAUAUAGCACACCAAAUUCAUAUAUCAGAUCACAAUAAUACUAUACAUAUCACCAUAUUCAAAGUCAAGUACAAAAGGUAACAACAAGUACUAUACACCUCAGUCUUAACACGUCACUAACAAAAAUACAUGCAGUGGAAAAACAAGAAAAUGACAUGUCAUCCCAACUACCUAAACUCACGUUCUACAACCUCAAGUCUCUGAUUUAGUUCAUUACUGAACUAGUUGAUUCUACUUCUCCUUCAAGCAUAAGUUGCCCUUCGUCAGGCUCGAGAUUAGAUUCAUUAGGAACUGCAUUCCCUUGACCUCCCUGUAGACACCAAAUUUUUGGUGUAAUUUCAUUUUUAGUUUUUUAUUUGUCGUGUUCGUUUUUUAGUUUUAGUUUCUAGUUUUAUUUUUAUUUUUAUUUUAAAGUUUUUAUCAUAGAAUUUCUUGAAAAAGGGAAAGAGAAAAAAAAAGCAUUCAAAAAAUAUGAUUUAGUCAUUUGUAAUUUAAAUUCAAUGCUGUCUUGAAAGUGAAAAAAAGGAAAAAGUGAAAAAUGAUGAAAAAUGAAAAAUGGAAAAAGAAAAAAAGAAGAAGUGGAAAAAGAGAAAAAUCUUAGCUUUUUAUUUUAUCUUUUGGUUAUUAAUUCUGUACAUUUUAUUUAAGUUUGUUUGAAUUAUUAUUAUUUUUUAUUGUGAUUUAAAUUGAGUGAUUUAAAAAAAAAAAAAAAAAGAGGAUCCGCGCAUGCAAGCCGCGUAUUGUCGCAGCUUGCAAAGAGAAGACUGGGCAGCUCCUUUAGCUGCAAUUUCAGAGGAAGUGGCUGGGGGUUUUAGGGUUGAGUGCUUCAUAUAAAUAGGACAAGAAACAGCAGCAGCCGCAAAGGGGGUUUUUUUUUGAGAGAGUUGACGGGCUAAGGAAAAAACUGAGGGAGGCGUGAGAGGCUAAACAAAAAGCAGAAAAAGGGUCUGAGAGCCGGAGAGGAGGGAACCAGCAACCAAAGGAGAGAGCAACGGAAAGGGAGCUGGGGGUAGAGUUGGCGGCUGGGCUAGGUAGAAGGAGAACAGAGGAAAGAAAAGGGGAAGAAGAGAGUGGAACGGCUAGGCUUCUAGGAGGAGAAAACUGAGGAAGAACCAUCGCAGGGGGAAAACCGAGAAAGAGAGUAAGCUUCGGUUGGCGGCGGAUGGGAGAAAAGGAAAGGAAAACUGAGGAAAGAAAGAACGAGUGAAGAGGAAGGGAUUGAAAGAGGGUUUCAACUAACAAAAGAAAGCAACAAGGGAAAGGAAAUUGUUGUGGAAGGAAGCUGCAGCAGCCAUUGAAGUCGAGACUCCAUCACCACUGCCAUCGCCGCAGCCCCAAAGCCCACAGGCGCACCUUCAAAGAGCCGGCAGAAACCACUUGUGCCUUAUCUUUAAUCAUCAUCCCACACCUUGCUAUGUGUCUAAGGUAAAACCCUCAUCCUUUAUGGUGGAAAGCUGCUUUCUUUAGUUAUUAUUUGCUUUCUUUUGCCGUUCGAUGGUUCUGCGUUUGCCCCAUGUUGGCCGAUUCUCUUCCCCUUGUUGUUUGUAUGUUUGGAUGUGGAGCUUUGUCCUUUCUUGCUUAAGAUUACGGUGUGAAGUUUGGGUUGUGAUGUUGACUGUGCUUGGAUGAAAGACCCAUUCGAUGAAAAAUAUAGAGAACCGUAGCUGGAAAAUUGCAGAACUGUGUCUUUUCUCUGUUGUCCGAAUUUCUGGUGCUUAAAAAUUGCAGAACUGGAAAAAUUGUCUGUUGGAAAAUAGGAGGAAUCUUUGAUAUUCUUGUUGCCUGUUUUCAUGUUUACAUUGCGCUUGAGUUUGCGCAUAAGAAUCUGCUGCAACAAGCUAAGCUUGAAGCUCUCGGCUUGUUGCAGCGGCAUGGACAGAUCCUUUCUCCAUCCUUGGAUUGCUGAAGUUUUGUUUCGUUCAUAUUGUUCUCCUUUGUGUGCAUUGUGUUUGAGAUGUCAUAAGUCUGUCUAGUAUCUCAAGACCUCCUCUCUUGUUGCAUGAAACCGUGAGUUCCAUGAUUAGCUGGAACCAUUCUUCUCAAGAGGCUGCACUACGGUUUGCAUCUCAUGAAGCCCGCAUUUCCUAAAGCUGUUAUACAGCAAUUCACGAGCCCACACUCACUUGCAUUUGUUAGCAGUGAAGUUUAUCAUUUGUGUCAUCAUAUUAGCUUCCAUUUCCUCCAAGUGCAUGAAGAGCAUGUUGUUCCAUUUCCAUUUAGCUCACCUGCUGUUUUCAUGCUGAUUCUCAAUAAGCUGCUAAGGAGAUUGCAUCCCUGUGAACUGAAUCUUGUUAUUCAUUCGAACGUUAAAAUUCUGUGUUUAGUUGCUUGAAUGAAUAUUUGAUGUUUGAUUGGGGUUUCAUGCGAAAAGAAAUUUAUAUCAUGAAUUUAGAAUAAGAUUGCAAAGGCUUGCGGUUGCAGAGGCUUGAAAGCUUAGUUGCAGAAAAUUUUGUGUCCUACGUAUGCAUGCAUGAAAUAAUUUCCAGAUUUUACACUUUGGCCCCCCAAGUCUCUUUUUGUUCCACUAGGACCCAAUCAAUUAAAGAAUUUCAUCAAAUUGGUCCUUGAUAAUAUUAAUUUGUGCAACCUCAUUGCUUGUUUGCUUCAAUUAACUACCAUGCUUUGUUUCAAUUGCGCUUAAGUCAUGACUUUAGGGGCUUUACGAUUAAGUGAGCUUGUGAUUGUCUAUUUCCUUUAAUUUUCCCAAAUAAAUUGGUACCUUGACCAUUUCUUUUAUUUUGGAGGAUAAAUAAGUGACUUCACCCCAUUAGAGCUCCAACUCAAGGGAGGUAUAACUUCUUUUAUCUUUUUUGUCUCUCCUAUGUGAUCCAACGUGCUACGUGAAAAUUGCAUGUCUACUUGCUUCCCUUGUUUUUCUUUAAUUCCUUUCAUUUACUUUAUUUACUUUUGCUUUUUAUUUAAGUUAUUCUUUAUGGGGUAUGUGUACACCUCUUGGCUUGUAAUAGAUAGGGCUUGGAAAGCACUUGAUGAAGACCUAUUGAAGACGUGUGCCUAGCUAGCAAAUGUAAUAGGUCCAUUAGUUUGAUUGCUUGCUUUUGUGGCUAUGUGUUAAUUUGCUUUAUUAGGCUUUUGCAUCUAGUCGAGCAUGCUAAGUGUUAUGUGCUACUUGUUUACGAGUGUUUGGCAUGUCUACUCGCUUUCCAUAGCCAUGAAUGAAUGUGAUGGAUGAAUGUACGUUUCCACUAGUCCAACGCUAGUAGGAAUUCAUGGAAAGGGCUAGUCCAACGCUAGACCCAAUAGGCCGUCCCCCUUUCGUUAUUGCAUACUUGCAUGUUCACUACAUUUCAUGCAUUUUUCUUAGUUUUUAUCAUUUGGCAUGCUCCUCGAACCCCUUUUCCCCUCAUUUUAGGUUUUUUUUGCACCUCAUACUAGUUAUAGGGUACAUUUGCCUGAAGUGUCCCCUUUCGAUAAGGGAAACGAGCGAGUGUGGCUCCACAAAUAGCCUUAGCACGCUAGUUCCCCCUUCUAAUCAAAGGGAAGAUUAAAGUCACAAAGUUAGGACUCCCCGUUCCCGUCUUGAUGCAUUCCUAUAGGAUUCAUGCAUUUUAUUCAUUCACUAUCACAUACACUUACUUUAUAUUCUAUCUCUUUUUCUACAUUCUCACUUCACACUACUUUUGGACGUUUUCACUUCACUCACACACAUGCACUUUAUGUUAUUUUCACUCACCUUACCUUGUAAAUACAUUUGCACACCUCCACUUACAUCCUAUUAUUUUUAUCACUUUUUUCACUUCACACAAACUCACUUUUUCACAUGGCAUGCAUUCCACUCAUUUUUACGUCAUUUAGGAUUAUGUGUGACCUCUUCAAAGGAUCAUUAUUGGGCUUCACAAUUAAUGUGAUUGGCACCACUCAACCUAUGAAGAGAAAUUUCCCCCAUGUCCCCUUAGGUCUAGGUUUUUGCAUUCAUAUAGUCAUGUCCAACACGCGAUACAUACUUGGGUAGAAAAAUUAGGAAAGGUGGGGCUAAAUCACGCAACUAGCCUUGGCUAGGUCGAAGGGGUGCCUUGGAUUUUUAUCCUUGCCUUCCCCUUCGUCAAAUGUGACUCCCGAACCUUUUUCGUUGGUUUACGUGGACUAGGAGUCGUUCAAAAGGGGUUUCUUUCUAUCUUUCCUUUAGAAAAUUUCUUUUUGGGUGACUUGGUACACCCUAACUCUAUACCAAGUGGCGACUCCAUUUUUCAUUAAAAACCCCCUUUUGAACUUUGUUUGGUCAAAUCGUCGCAUUCUCAAGUCCCAUGGCCUUUUACUUUUCAUUUACACACGUUCACAUUCCACUACACACUUCCACACGCACACCAUCAAAAAGUGGGGCGCGACACUCCCUCUGCUACGUUCACUAGUACUACCUCAUCCAUAAGCAUCCUACACUCGGUUAAAAUGUUCUCCGUUUGGUCUCUCACUUCUCUCACUACACGAAUGAGAUGACCAUUGACCUCCUACACUUGCUCUCAUAAAGCAUUAGGCCAUUCUUGUUUCUCGUGAAUAGAGGUCUCAAGUUCUUGAAUUCUAUCAUCUUGCAUACUUAACAUUGCCCUCAGGCAUUCAAUCUAAGUUUAGCCCCUACUAUUGGCACUAGCCAACUUUUAUCUUUCGUUGUCUAUCUCUAGGACCACCCGAUCAGGAUACGAGUAAGUCCACCAGCAAUCACAGUGUCUCACUCUAUGCCGCGGACCCCAAAGACGAAUAGGUCUUCCUGGGCGCUCUUGGUAACUAAGGACUCAACGAGAUCACUCAGGAUUUUCGUUUCCACUAUCUCCGUUCACUCUUACAUUACAACCAAGUAUCAAGAACAUAAGCAACGUAGGCAAAUGAAGCAAGAUUCGCCACCUAACACUUUAAGCCGUCCCAACUACACUCACUCAAUCCGCACAGGUCAAUUCAAACCUAGACUCUGAUACUACCCGUGACAACCCCCAUCUUCCUCUAGGGCGUACCCAAGGGUGGCGGAUUGCCUGCCCAACUCUCGCCAGGAUUUACUACAUUCAUUACAACAAAUUUUUAAAAUAAUUGUUCAAGCCUCCAAAUUAACAUCAGAGUUCUACAAUUCAACUAAUAAUUCAAGUUUAAUUACAACUGAAAAGUGAAACAUAAGAUACACCAUCGAAGAUAAAAAAAAUAUAUAAUCUGUCUACCAAAAGUACGUGUGCAAGAGGAUCAGUACAUGUUAGUUCAACCUUAUCCGCUCCAAACCUCAAUUCUUGUAAGGAAAACAAACUAAUGGGAUGAGCUUACGCUCAGUGAGGUUCCCAAAUAAGCAUCCAAGCAAAACACCAGUCAAAUCAUAAAAAAUAUUGCAUUUAACAAUUUCACACACUUUGUAUAGUAAUAAACAGUCUCAAGGCAUUCAAGAAGUAAACAUUCAAUCAUUUAAAGGAUACGAGCUCACUUGGAACCAUUCAUUCAAUUAUUCAUUCAUUCAAUCUCCACCUAUCCCUUCCUUAUAACUUUCAAUAUUUGAAAACAUUUGAAAAUAAAAACUCCUACAGUGAUCAUUUCAUUCAGUCAGUCAUUCAGUCAUUCAUUUUUAGUCAUUGCAUUUUAUUCAUUGGCUAGUACUCCACCCGACUUCGUGGUCAUACUCGAGUAUGCCAAAACACUGUCCCAGGGUCACCAGCCUACCCGACCAAGUCCGUUUUUGGCUCUAGUCAACUAGCAAUGAAGGGCAAUGACCCAAUUUAGCCAAUGUGACAUAGUACACAUGACUUACAUUCAUGCACAAGUAAUGUUCAAUCAUUUGAUCAUUAAAAUUUUACAUUCACUUAGGUCGAGUACAAUAAAGUACACACUCGCCCAUUUAAAAGAUAUUUAACAGUCAUUGGAAGGCAAUUAACACUCGAACAAACAAUCACAACAAGUACUACCACUACAUAGUCAUUUAAUACAUAAACAUGUAAGGAACACUCACCACUGGAUCACAAUCAUUUCACUUCAAAACUUGUUCGUCUUCUUGGAUAUGCUCAAAUCCUCUGAUCAUAUAAUAUAUUAAGAAUCUAACCACUUGAGACCCGUACAAAUGACAAAAUGUAAGUUUCAAAGCUUUACUUAAAAAAAAUAAAAUAAUUUCUAGAUUUAACCCCCAUAUAACUUAUCAAAAGUGCCACGGUUUCUUAUUCAAAUCAAGGUCAAAUCAAGGUGAAAACCACAUGUAUUAUAGAUUAAUGUUUCAAGUAUAAUGUGGGAAAAAAUAUGCCACUUAUAGUCAAGAAUUUUGAGGAAAACUAGUCAAGACUUAUAAUGUUCAAAGCUGGAAAUUUUCAACUCUAAAACAUUUUGGGAAAAACUCAUUUUCUUUCACUUAAACCUCUUCCUUUUGAUGAUAGAUUAAUGUUUCAAGUAUAAUGUGGGCAAAAAUAUGUCACUUAUAGUCAAGAAUUUUGAGGAAAACUAGUCAAGACUUAUAAUGUUCAAAACUAGAAAUUUUCGACUCUAAAAUAGUUUGGGAAAAACUCAUUUCCUUUCACUUAAACCUCUUCCGUUUGGCUCAAAAUCAACACACAUGUAAAGAUACAAGUCUUGGCAAGUUUCUAGAACAAAAGUAGAUCAAAAUUAGCAUACAAAUUCCAGCACUAAAGCUAAAAGUCUCUCCCACUUUUAUCCCAAGUUCGAGCCAAAAUUCCAGCAAAAUUUUUAGCAUGACAAUGUUCACCUUGUUCUUACACAACACACUAGAACAUGGCUAGUAUAUGAUGUAUCAUGUGGUAUAUAUGCUUGGCAAGAAAACCAUCAAAAUGACACAAAGAUCAACUUGAAACUAGGCUAUGUCCUUUCUGUACCAAAACUAGAAAUUCCAAUAUAAGCUUGAAAACCAUGAAAUCUUCUAUAAAAGUCAUACCUUUUCCAUCCUAAAGCAACAUACAUCAAGUAAAUUCAAAACCUAAUAGAAAGAGCUAGUAGUUCAUCAAGUAAACUUAGGAAAUCAUUAUAUAUCAAGAAAACCUAGUAGUUCCUCAAGUAAAACUAGUCGAUCAUCAUAUAAACAUCAACAAAGUUAGGUUUUCUACCAAAGUUUACCUCUUAACCUCCAACUCCAAAUAUGACAAGCAAAUCAAGAGGGAUGCAAGAUUUUCUUCUUCCAAAACUUCACCAAAAGCUUCCUGUCAAGCUUACCUCAAGAUUGAUCGGAGUGGAAUAGGAUUGAUCUUCGAAUUUCUCACAAAUCAAGCAAGGGAAUUAAGAUGAAAUUUGAAGGUUUCUUUCUCUUUUUCGCUCACAAUGGUUUGGCCACUAGCAAGCAAAAAUGGAAGCAUUUUAGGCUAAUUUUACAAGAUAAAGUCUAAAGAAAGUCUUAGUCAACUAGUUCCUUGUAUCGCCGACAAGUGGCGGGAAAAGGUUUCAUUCCUAUCUCUUUUUCUCUCUUAUGUUUCUAAUAGCCAAUUCAUCUUGUGUUCCUCUAAUUCACUCUUAACACUUCUAAUCAUAUAUUUUCUUUUGCUCCACAUCCGUUCUUGUCCACCCAAUAUAAUGCACAUACCUCACUAGUUGAUCACACUAAUAUAACAUACUAUGAAAUUUAACAUGCACCAAAUUAUGAGAGGAAAAAGAUAAAAAUCUUGACUCAACCAUGAAAAACACCAUAAAAUUAAGGCAAGUAAAGUAAAAUAAAAGAAAAUAUAACUUAACUUUUUUUCCAAAAAUAAGAGAAAAUAUAAAAUAAUUUUCAGAUCCUCACACUCCUCAAGCGUGUUUUAUUUUCCUUGGUGUGUUAAUAAAAAUGGGGUUGACAUUGCACCCCGUAUACGGGGGGUUUGCUGCUAAAAAAAAUGCCACUAAUAAAUUAGGAUUCCAUAUAAUAGAAUUGGCAAAACACUUUGUAAAUUAUGAAAAGGUUAUAAACCUAAUUUGAAAUAUUUGAAAGCUCUUGGAUGUCUUGCUAAAGUUUUAUUACCUAAAUCUAAGAAAAGAAAAAUGGGUUCUAAAACUUCUGAUUGUAUGUUUCUUGGAUAUGCUGAGCAUAAUUUUGUAUAUAAGUUUCUUGUAUCGAAAUGUGGUGUGCUUGACUGUAAUAUAAUAAUUGACACAAAGAAUACUGAAUUCUUUUUCCAUAUUUUUUCACUAUCUAACAAAAUUUUGCAUGCACCUAUUGAAAUAAACAAAGAAAUAACCUUUAGUGAGGAAUUAAGGAGUAAAAGGCUUAGGAAUUUUCUUAUGGAAAUGAUAUUCAAACUCUUCAAGUUGAUAAUGCCCCGUUUAACUUAUUUUGAUGUUAUUUCUUCUUUUGAUGCCAAAUUGUAAAAAGAAACAAUUAAAUAUGAAAUGCAUUAUACUAUGAAUAAUGAAACUUGGAAUUUGGAAGAGUUAUCGCUUGAUGCAAACCUAUUGGUUGUAAAUGGGUUGUCAAAAGAAAAUACAAUCUUGAUGGCAUUAUAGAUAAAUAUAUAACUUGUUUAGUAGCAAAUGGUUUUUUAAAAAUAAAAUGUUGAUUAUUUUGAUAAUUUUACAUCAUUAACUAGAAUUUCUUCUAAUCGGAUCUUAUUUACUUUGGUUUUUGACCACAAACUUUUUGUUCAUCAAAUUGAUGUCAAAAUAUCAUUUUUAAAUGGUGAUUCAGAAGAAGAGAUUUAUAUGGUCCAACCUAAGGAAUGUGUUGUUUUUGAACAAGAAAAUAAACUUUGUAAAUUGAUUAAACCUCUUUAUCGUAAAAAAAAUCCUAAAUAGUGGCAUGAGAAAUUUGAUCAAAUUUUGAUAAGCAAUGGGUUUUUAUCCAUAGAAGCAGAUAAAUGUCUAUAUAUUAAAGUUGUAGAUAAUUAAUAUAUGAUAAUUAGUUUGCAUAUGGAUGAUAUGCUUAUAUGUGGUAUUAGUGUAGAUAUUGCAAAAAUUACUAAAUAUUUUUUAUUUUUUAACUUUGAUAUGAAAGGUAUCAUUUGCAAUAGUUUUCAUGCUUAACAUAUAGUUCAAAUGUUGAUAUUCUUUGGGGUUUUUCACGUUUAGUUUUUUUAAUAUUACGGUCAAUGUAAAAAUUAUAGUCAUGUUUUAUGAUAUUAUCUUUUAUGCAAUUAGUGUAUAUAGCAUAAUGCAGUGUUAGGUCUAUGGUUAGUUUCAUUUAGCGUGAGUUUUCUUGGUUUCAUCCUUCUUUCCAUUUUCAUCAGGAAAAUUAGCAUAAAGGGCAUGCUAGGAGAGUUAAUUAAUAAGGAGGGCCUAACCAUUAACUAUUUAUUUUAGAUGCCAAUUUCAAUAAUUGGAGAAACGCAAUUCUGUUCCACCAUAUUUGGUGGGUAUAAAAAAUUCUGGUCACUUGUUUCAAGAGAAUAUCUCUUGUGCAAUUAGUAUAUAUAGCAUAAUACAAUUUUAGGUCUAAGAUAAUUUUCAUUUUGAUGUAAGUUUUUUGGUUUCAUCCUUCUUUCCCUUUUCAUUGGGAUUAUUAGCAAAAAGGGGACAUUAGAAGAGUUGAUUAUAAGGAGGGCCUAACUGUUAACCAUUUUAGGGAUUAAAAAAUUCUUGUUAAUAAAAAAACUUGUUUGAUAAAAAAGUGGAAUUCUCUCUCCACUUUUUAGGGAUUAAAAAAAUCUUGCUAAUAAAAAAUGCAAUUCUUUUUUUGUUUGAUAAAAAAGCCUUGUUAAUAAAUUUGCUCAAAAUAAUCUCCAACAAUAAUUGAUUGACAAAAGUGAAGAGAGAAUUCCAAAGAGUUUCAACAAAAUCAGAAGAUUCGGCCUAAAAGCCUGCUUAUGAACUACUUUGUUUGCUUCCCUUGAGCCCAGUCUGCAUCAAUAAGAUUGUGGCCUGACAAAACUAGUCAAAUAGCAUUAAAUAAAGGCAUGGUAGUAGAAAGGACAUUAUUUGUGAAGGCAUGGUAGUAGAAAGCCUCUUCCAAAUUAAUAGCAUAGCAAUUGCUUUAGCCACUUCCUUUUUUGUUAUUCCCUUUCUAUUAAAAUCUAACAUUCCAAUAAUAAAGUUACAAAUAUUUACUUCACGGCCAUGCAUAUCGAUGAUUUUAUUAAAUGAAUGAAAUACUUUUGAAAAGUUCUAUUUUAAUUGAAACUUAAUUUGUAACCUCUUUAAAUGCUAAUAAAAGAAAUAUUAUUAAAGGAUCGACGUAAUUUAUAUAGUUUAUGCUACUUAUAUUUUAAAGGAAUAUUUAAUUGAGUGUCUAAUUACCAAUAUAAGUACAAAAUGAUAAACAUAAUUAUCAGUUUCAAACAUUAAAUACUUAUAUCACGCGAAAUUUGAGACAAUAAGAUUGCGCAUAUAAAAGCAUGGAUUCCAACUAUGAAAAAGAAAAGAAACAUAUAAGAAAUUAGUACCAUUCAUAAAUGAAAAUUUUCCACAUGUUUGUUUAAUAAAAUUCCGAGUACAUAUCUAACUACAUUUUGGUUAUUUUGACAACUAUACAACUGGAGCUAUGUCUAAAAGUAGAUUCAUGCAAACAGGGGCAAAAAAAUUAUGAAAUAGUUUUGUCUUCGUUUUGUCUAAUGAUAUCUUAUUUGUAUUAUUAUUUUGAAUCUUUUAUUGUUGAUAGAUAGAUACAAUAUUCAGAAGUAGAGGAACUUAAUCCUAUAGGUUCAGCUUUGUAGGCAUAAUAGAUAUUACACAUUAUGUGUAUAAUAAUGUCACGAGGAUUUAUAGUGUUGGCAUGUAAAUGUGUACAUGUAUAUUUGUGUGGGAUGUUGUUGUUAGUUUCAACUAUAAUUCUGAGGACAUUUCAGAUGAAUUUUAGAAUUUUGAUGGGCCUUUUCAUCCUUAAGUGGAGUGUUAGGCCACUAAAGCAUUGAAGUUUUAUUUAGGGGAAACAAUUGGUCACAUUUGCGUUGUUCUUGUGUUGUGUCGGAAAAUCUCAACUUGAACCUAACCCACUAAAUUUUUAUGCCAUGUCAUGUUAUGAUUUGCCUGUUAUCCAAUUAAUACGACCCAAUCCAUUUAACAAAUUUAGCAUUUUGUGUGACAACAAUUUGUUGUAAAUUGAAGAACUUUCGGUGACAAAAUAUACAAUAAAUUUUCAAAGUCCAAAAUGGAAAAGAAAUCCAAAUUUCAGAGUUAAUUUUCAACAAAAACAAAAUAUCAUAUUGAAAUACAUAAUAAAACACAUAAUUGAGUUUGUGACGAUUUUAAAGAUAUAAAACAUAAUAAAUUCUUCAAACAAUGUUAUUGAAAUCUCAAACAAUGAAGAAUGUCAUACCAUAAUAGAAAACAUGAUAAACUCUUUUAGAUUCUCUCAAGAAAACUUCCUAAAUAAUGUCUUAUUUAUAAUCUACCAGGCUUGUUAGAAAAGAAACCGCUUGCAUAAGAAAUUACCAAAUAAAAAACAAAUUCCUAAAUCACAUAACUACUAAAAACCUGAUCCAAUAAAACUAAUAAAUAAAUACUUCUAGACUUGGUUUAGUUUGCAAACAUUACCUCCCUUAAACCAAAUUCUUUGUGGCAGGCCCAACACCAUCUCAAACAAUAAUUUCUGUACAAAUCUCUGUCAUUGUAUAGCUGACAUGUAACUCCAUCUUGUUGCCGGUUAUUAAUUUCAUCUUUACACGUGGUAGUGGAUGUACUUUGUAUUUUGCAGAGAAUUUCUCAGCAAUUUCUUUUUUAUCAAAGUACUCAUUCAUACAACCCCAUUUAUCACCAGAAUAACCAUAUUUAAGUACCACCAAUGUAAGUGCCCAAAAAUACAAAAUCAUAGAUUACUUUCUUGCCAAAAUUAUCACCACUAAACAAUUUAUAAAUUCUACUACCACAAUUACCAAAAAGUUUCAAACUAUUAAUAAACUCUUUAGGAGCAAAAUCAUUUUGACGUCCCAUGAAAUCCGUAUCUAUCAAAUCAAACAUUUUUCCAUCACCUUGAAGAAAAUCCAAGCCAACAAUAUUUUCAAUAACAGUUUCUUUUUCUUCACAUACCAAAUCAGACUUAUCUUCUUCCUUUACCAGAUUAAGACAUUCUUUUUCUUCAACAAAUUCAUCACUUCCAAUUUCUCCAAACAAAGUAUGCAAAUCAAAACUAUCAACUGAUUCAAAAUUUUCAAUAUCCCCUAUACCAUCAACAAAUUUAUCAUUCAUUAACAAACCAUUUCCAACAACCAAACUUACCUUCCAAAAUCUCUAAGGUAUUUUAGUACGAUGAACAAAAGUUUUGUAAAUACUUUUUGUCAUUGUUUUACACAUCACUUGAAAGAGUAAUUGUACCUUCUUCUUGAAAACAUGUUUUGGUAACUCACUUGCAUCAACCCAACAAAGAAUAUCAUCCAAAUUACAUUGUUUGAGAUUUUUUUCACUAUAAAAAUCCAAUCAAAAUAUGUAUGUCUAUUUAUGCUUAUAGGAGUCAAUAUAGAAAAUUUUUCACCAUCAAUCAAAUCUCUAUAGUAUUCCAUUAUUUAACAAUUCAUAUACCUGAAUAAAUUUUUUCUUCCUUCUGUCAUGUUUUCCUGGCCUUCCUAGUUGAUUGACCAAUCAAAUCCUUCAAUUUGACAAUCCGCAGCAAUCAAUAAAUCUGAUAGGAUUCCUCUCUUAUCUCUGUCUUCACACAUGCAACAAUUUAACAAUUUUCGAACCAAUCUUAUGGUUGAAUUGUUCACCAACUCUUGAAUGAAUUCCCACAAGUGCUAGUGCUCUGUGGGUCUCUCCUUGCCCAUGCAAGACUCCUUCUUCCAUAGAUGCUUAAUGGAAGUUUUUGCUUUUCAUCUUCUUUUUUUUCGUUCUGAUUUGAACCCACCUCCCGCUAUUGCUAUUCCAUUCAUUGCUCUAAAAUCUUAUUUCUUCAUCAUUAUUUAAAUUCCUUUUCUUUACUGAUCUGUUAGUUCUUUUCCCUCAUCACUUUUAUAAUCUAGUGUCUCUUUGUAUUUUACAGGUACACAUUUUAAAUCAUUCAUCCUUUGGCUACUCAUUUCUCCUCUCUGCAGGCUGAAUCAAUUAUCUCGAAGCCAUGGCUCAAGGAUUAGAAAGGUUGUGCCAAAAGCUUACACUAAGAUAUGAUGAGGAGGAGAUGGUACUAUUGCUUGAUGACAAUAAUGGAGACUCAACUUUUCCCAGCGAUCUUUGCAUUCUAGGAAAGCUCUUCAGUUGGAAGCCCUUCAAUGCAAAAUCUAUGAUGGCUACCAUGAAGAAAUCUUGGAAUCCAUCUAAAGGACUUGAGUAUUCAACUGUUGGGGACAAUCUUUUCCUGUUCAAAUUUAAUGACAUCGUUGACAAAAAAAAGGUUAUGGCAAGAUGUCCUUGGGCUAUUGAUGGAAAUUUGCUAUUUGUAAGUGAUUACAUUGGUAAAUUCAGAAAUCAAAAGUAAAGUUAUAUCACUAUUCUUUCUGGAUUUGAGUAUACAAUCUUCCACUGGUAUGGAUGAAUGGAAAAACGGCAGGUUCUAUAGGUAACAAACUUGACAUAUACGAGGGAUUCGAUUCAAAGGGUGAGCUCUUUGUUGGUAGAUUUUUGCGAAUAUGGGUUAACGUAAAUCUCAAUAACCCCCUCAAAUAGCUGAUGAAGCUUUUAAUUGAGGGCGAGGUAUGUGAAGUUCACUUUCGUUAUGAACGUCUUCCUACGCAUUGCUAUUUUUGUGGUAGAAUUGGGCAUAGAGAAAGGGAUUACGAAGCCAAAUUGGAAGUUAUUGCAGUAAACAAUGGAGAACCUCAAUAUGGUGGAUGGCUUCGAGUCAGUGACGAUGAAAGGAGGUCCAUGUAUCUUUGUUGUAGAUAAGAUUUCUAAUCCUAAGGAGGCAAUUAAUUUUGAACAUACGAAAAUCUAGGCUUCAAAAUCUCCAAAUUUGGCUGGCAAUCUUGAUCUUACCCAUAAACCAAAGUCCAAAUCUACAACACGUUGGUGAAGAACCAGAGCUCUUCUCUCUCUCUUGAUAAACGUAAAUCAAUUUUUUCAACCGAAUUGGUUUUUGAUAAUUCAAAGACAGCACAGGCAAUUUCCACUUCUUUUCCCUUAACCAAUAAUCCUCCCCAGACAAUCGUUCAAGAUAGGCCCUCAAGCACACUAACAAAUUCCAAAGCAAGUACUCUUGGCCUGAAACCCAUUGAACACCCCAAAAUCUCAAACUCUGGAAAACUAAUUUAGCCCAACACCACCACCAACUCCAAAAUUCCUUUAAUCAAACCCACUGUAUCCCAAACAAAACAAAUUUCUAUAACCCAGCCUAUCAUCAUGUCCCCCAAACUGCAACUGCCUAUUCACCACACUAAUCAAACACUCAUCUAUUUUUCAUUGAAAAAUUUAAACCCCAACCUUGUCUCUUCUUUUCGCCCCUGUACUAUUGAGCCAAAAACCCAGUCAUAUAAUCACUAAUCCCAGCUCACCAUCCAAACAACUAUCUAUUUCAACAUCUUUAGAGUCAACCAUGGAGAAUGUGUUUCGAGCUGAUGCCACCUUAACACAGCAAAAUAAAGUUUCAAGCAUUCAAGACAUGCGAUCCAUUGCUUCUGCCAUAAAACUGAAAGGAAGCAAAUUUUCUUGCUAAAAAUCAACAUCUUCAAAAUUGAGCCUUCAUCCUAUUAAUGCUAUAUCAGGUCACAAGAUGAAAAGGGAGAACAUGGAUAUUUCUCCUUCAGGGGAUGGCGCAAUGAAAGGUUCUAGUCCAAAGAAACUGAAAUCUGCUAAAUCAUCAGCACCUUCUCUACCAGAUUCUAUAACAGUGGAGACUGUCUCGCAGUCCCACUGAGAACCAUGAAUUGCUUGAGCUGGAAUUGCCGGGGAUUAAAUAACCCUCGGACAGUUUGGGAACUCCGAAACAUCAUCCAGAGAGAUAAAGUCUCAAUUAUUUUUCUAGUAGAAACAAAGUGGUCAACAAGCUAAAAAAUAGUAUUGGGUGGUUUGGUUUAGAAGUAGACUUGCAAGGAAACUCAGGUGGGUUACCUCUUCUCUAGAGAAAAGAUUUGGAUGUUGAACUCAUGCAAUUCUCUGAAAGUUUAAUUGAUGCUAAAGUGCAUAUGGUUGAUUCUCCCUAGCGUUUAACUAGCUUCUAUGGUCAUCCUAAGGUUUCUAAAAGGAAACAUGCUUGGGAUAUUUUGUGCAAGUUCAGUAUAUUAUCAUGUCCAUCAUGCGUUUGCAUGGAUGACUUCAACAAGGUACUUACUCAAUAGGAAUUUCAAGGUGCUGCUUUGAGACCGAAUUGGCAAAUUAUGAAUUUUAGAAAGGCACUAUCAAACUGUAAUUUGUUUGAUUUAGGCCAUGAAAAUCAUCUUUUACUAAGUGUCAAAAUUGCUCUGCUCCUGAUACAACUAGAGCUCAUCUAGACUGUGCAUGUGUAUCUCAUGAUUUUCUUGAUUUAUUUCUUGGAGCCAAGAUUUAUCAUUCACAUGUUCUUUUUUCAUAUCAUGUUCCUAUUGUUUUAAGAUUAUCUUGUUCACAUGAGUUAUUAAAGGCUGGCAGAAAAACUAGGAGAGACAAAGGUUUUAUGUUUGAAGUAAUGUGGAUUAAAUCAGAAGAUUGUGAAUGAAUAAUUCUGGAAUCUUGAGAGUACAGCUCAACAAACAAUGCUUGUGAAAACUUGGUUAUGAAAACAAACAAUUGUAGGUUGGGCAUUCUCCAAUAGAGUAAACAGUCCUUCAGUAAUCGCGCUAAGGCUGCGGAAGAACUUCAGCAAAGGAUUUUUUUGACUCCAACAAGGUGUUUUGACAGACUCUAUAAAGGCUGAGAUUGGUUCUUUAACUAAUUAGUUAGAGGACCUUUUUGACGAGCAAGACAUCAUGUGGAAACAAAGAAGUAAAGCACAGUGGUAUAGAGAAGGUGAUCGAAAUAUAGCUUAUUUUCAUGCUCUAGCUUCAAAUGACGGAAACAUAACCAGAUUGUUGGCCUUUUUGAUAAAAUGGGUUCUUGGUGUCAGUUAAAAGAGGAACUGGAAGCUAUUAUCUUGGAACAUUUUGGCACAAUGUUUUCUACUUCAAAGCCUACUUCUGAGGCAAUUGAUACAAUCAUUCAGUGAGUGCGAGUAUGUAUUUCCAAUGAAAUAAAUGAUUAUCUUCUGCGUCCUUACAAUUCCAUUGAGGUAACAAAGGUUUUAAAUCAAAUGCAUCCUUUUAAAUCGCCGGACCUGAUAGCAUGUCACUAGUUUUCUAUCAAGAAUAUUGGCACGUUGUUGGUUUGGAUAUCACUCAUUGGGUUCUUAAUUUCCUAAAUGAUGGUGCUCUACCUACAAGUCUUAAUCAUACUUAUGUUGUUCUUAUUCCUAAGUGUCAAAGUCCAUCCCACAUCACUCAGUUUCAUCCCAUUAGUCUUUUCAAUGUAGUUUAUAAAUGGGCAAAAAGUCCCAGUGGCCCUCAAACUAUUACCCGGAUGAAGUUUUGGCCCCCAAACAAUUAAAUGUAAAUUUUUGGCCCCCGAUCUAUCCAAAGUACAAAUUGUUAGACCUUCUGUCAAAUUCAUCAGUUAAUACCGAUGGAAUCUACGCUCACGUGAGAAGCACGCCGAAAUACGAAGGGCAUUUUUGUCCAUUAAAGAGCUGUCAUCCACUUGGUGAAAUGGAGCGAAAAAUGAUUUUGACGAAACUGUUUACUUUCUCCACUAUCUCUCCCUUUGCCUGCCAUUAACGGUCUGCAACUUUCCGACUACAAGCACUACUACCAGCACCGUGGAAGUAGAUAUUGAAGCGAAAUGGAGUGGAAAAUAAGGAAGCCAGACGUGUACUUUGAUCCAUUUCUUUUUUACGGUAAGUGGUCUGACCCUAUUUUUGUUCCAUUUUCUUCUGAGCAGUGAUGAUUUGUAUAUAAUAGAGGAACAAAGCGUGUCAAUAACAUUUAAAAAGAUGGUAUUAGUCAAAUUUUUCAGUUUGUCGGGAAGAUUGGUGGUCCUAUAUGUUGGUAUCUUUUACUGUAGAAAUUAAUAUUCGCUUUAGUGGUCCUACAUUGUUUUUUAUUUUACCCAUUAACCAUGUCCGACAAAAAGGGGCCACUGAAAUGUUGGUAUCUUUUACAUUGUUUUUUUAAAUAUUAUAUUGACCUGAGGCUAAAAUUGCUGCAGAGGCUGAUUCUGAAUGGUUUACUAUACGUUUGCAUCAUGGGGGGACAAUAUGUGGGGUAUGUUGAUGGAGACGUAGAUGAUAUAGAUGUUUGCAGUGCCGAGAAAAUGUCCAUGCUUGAACUGAAUAAGAUGGUGGAAAAAUGAGGACAUCGUAGAGCUGCUAUACUGUAUUACUAUCUUGAACCAAAUAAAGAUCUAUCCAAUGGUUUAAGGGAGUUAUGCACUGAUGAGGAUGUUAACAAAUUUUCAGAAUGGGCUUACAAGUUUAAGGUGAUGGAGGUAUUUUGUAACCACCUGACACCUGAAGAAAUUGAAAAUUUUAGGUCUCCUUUGAUUGUUAAACCAGUAGAAAAUAAACGUUGUGGUGUUGUGAUUGAGGAGUUGGAUGAGCAGGGAAGAAUAAUAGAGGAAUCAUGUUCUGGAAAAGGUUUUAGAAUGGGUCUGUUAUUUGAGGAACAUACUGGUACAAAAGAUAAUCGAGAUGUGUUACAGAACUCAGGUUUACAGCAGAAACAAAUUGGAUCAUCAGAGCAGCCUCAUAGUGCUGGACAUGGACAGAGCAUCCAGCAGCUUGCUAGUGCACUAGAUCUAGAAGGGAGAGCUACUACCUCUGCUUCAACAGACCAGCAUCAAGGCACAUUCGAACGAGGUGCUGCCUCUGCUUCUACUAUCCAGCAUGAGCAAGCUAGUGAACUAGAUCCAGAAAGAGGUAUUGCCUCUACUUCAACAGACCAGUAAGAAGGCACAUUUGAAACUUCUACUAUCCAGCAUCCUAUUGACCAUAAUAGCAGUGAACAACCUUUUGAGGAAGGAGUCAUAGAAGAUGUUGAAGAAUCAGAAUCAGAGCAUGACUCUGACAGAUUUAGCAGUGGUGACUACUGUGGCGAUGAGGCACUAUUGGAUGGUUUGAUACCAGAGACAACAGGGGGUGGAACUUCAGAGCAGCAAUUUGAUGAGCCACUAACAGAUGAGGUGCAGCCUGAUUCACAGCAAAAUAAUGAAACAACAGGCACAUUCUCUUCACAACAGCAUGAUGCACAGCAGCCACAACAGAAAAAAAAAUAGGUUAGGAGAAGGAAAAAUGUACAAGCACAGCAGCAACAAGCUCAAAAUGAACCAGAAGCUGCUGAUACAUUGGCUGAAGAUGUAAUCCCAGACCACCUUAGCAGUGAUGGUGGUUCAUCAGAAGAAGAAGAAGAUGCUGACCAAUUCCAAACAAGGUACAAAGAUUUUUGUAUGGAGAAGUUCAAAAUUGAUACCAGAUUUGAGUUGGGUAAGAAAUUUGGUUCAAGAGCCCAGUUUAAGGCAGCUGUUCAAGAAUAUGGUAUCAAGAUGGGGAGGCCAGUAUACACCAAAAGGAAUGAGAGUAAAAGGGUGAGAGCCAAGUGCAAGGCCCCAUGCCAAUGGUUUGUGUUUGCCUCAAUUGAAAAAGCACUUGGGAGUACUGAUUUGGUAGUUAAAAGCAUGAAUGACAAGCAUGAAAAUUGCAAUCACGCCUGGAAAAAUAAAAACCUGAAGUCUAAGUGGUUGUCUGACAGGUACAUGGAGAGGAUUAGGUCGAACUCUCGAAUCCCAGUUAGGGAGAUCCGGCAAACUGUGAAUGAGGAGUACCAAGCUCAAAUUUCCAGAUGGAUAGCAGCCAAAGCAAGGAAACUGGCACUUGAAAUGAUAAAGGGAUCAGCUGAACAACAGUAUAAGAGAAUUUGGGAAUAUUGUGCUGAGAUAAAAAAGACACAUGAGGGCAGCACAAUGGAGGUGAUGUUUACUCCAUUUAGAGGGCCUGGGGGCAACCCAAAAUUUAUGAGACUCUACUGCUGUUUAGGGCCAUUGAAAAAAGGAUUUAAAGAUGAUUUGAGGCCAUUGAUAGCAUUGGAUGGGUGCCAUUUGAAGGGGACUUAUAGAGGGCAGUUAUUGACUGCCAUUGCAGCUGACCCUAAUAAUGGGUGGUGGCCCAUUGCCUGGGCAGUUGUAGAGAGAGAAGCUGCGGAGCAGUGGGCGUGGUUCUUGAAAUACCUCAAUGAUGAUUUGGAAAUUGAAAAUCAAUUUCAUUAUACCUUUAUUUCUGACCAACAAAAGGUAUACACAUGUACACUUUGCAAUAAUGUGAACAUGUGUAUGUAUGUGUAUGUAUAUACAUAGUACCUUCCUUGAUAUUUUGUUUCUUCCUUUACAGGGGUUGGAUAGAGCAUUAGCUGAAGUUCUUCCAAAUUGUGAGCAUAGGUAUUGUGUCCAACACAUGUAUCGAAACUUCAAGAAGAAACAUCCAGGUCUGCCUCUUAAGGAUAGGCUGUGGAACAUUGCCAACAGCACAACAGAGGAACUCUACAAUAAAGCAAUGGCAGAACUCAAAGAUUUUGAUAACGAGGCAUAUCAGUGGGUAAAAAAUGCUCCAGCUCCUCGGCAUUGGUGCAAGGCCUUCUUUCCGACUCACACAAAGAGUGACAUGCUGGUCAACAACUUGUGUGAGUCUUUUAAUGCACAUAUUCUUGAGGCUAGAGACCAGCCAAUUAUAACAAUGCUGGAAAUGAUCAGGGAGUACCUUAUGGAUAGGAUCCGGAAGAGAAAAUCAGCAAUGGAAAGAUAUGAUAGCCCAACUGGACCUCUAAUCAACGAAAUUAUUGAAAAUAGAGUAAAAAUUGCAAGUCAGUGGAUGCCUAUUUGGAAUGCAAUGCAUGGCUACCAGGUGAAAGGACCAAGAGGGGCCCAAUUUGCGGUAGAUAUGGAGAAAAAGAACUGUAGUUGCAGGUUAUGGGAGGUUAGUGGCAUUCCAUGUUGUCACGCCAUUGCUGCCAUUCUUUUGAGGAAUGAAGACCCACGGCAGUACUUGAAUGUUUGUUAUAGUAGGGGGCUAUUCUUGAAGCUUUAUGAGAAUGUGUUACAACCAAUUAGCUGUGAGGAUCAUUGGCCCCCAUCAACAAUGCCUGAAUUGGAGCCCCCGGUAUCAGUAACUCAACCUGGAAGGCCUAGAAAGGCUAGGAGAAGGGACACAACUGAAGGCAAGAAUCAUGGUAGAAGACUAAGAAGAAGGAUCAUUAUUCAUUGUCGAAAAUGUGGGGAGGCUGGUCAUAAUGCAGCAACAUGCAAGCAACCAACCAAUGAACAAGGGCGGCAAGAUACUUCAACUGAACCUGUGACGCAGCAAUCAAAUGUAAGAAGGAGGAGACAAACAGUAAGUACAACCAGACACUUGUUCACUUUUAAUUUUUCAUGUUUUGCAGCUAACAUGGUUCAUGAAAUUUUGGAGGUUAUGCAGUCAGAAAUAUCACAGCAACAGCAGGUUGAUGAAGCUGCGCAUGAGCAGCCACAACAGCAACCAGGCCAGCAACAAUCACAUGAAGUCCAUGAUCAUGAACCUGGGCACCACCAACCACAACAACAGCAACAAACAUCUACUCCAGGCCCGAGUGAAAAGACUUGUCCACCAACCCGUAGCAGGAAAACUUCAACUCGGAAACCACUCACUGAUGCAGAAAAAGGAGCCAUAAAUGCUAACUAUGCAUAUUUGGGUAAGGAGCCACCGUACACAACGGGUUCUUGGAGAGGAAAGUGGAGUGGAAGAGGUAGACGGAGAGGAGGACAAACCACAAAAGAUAAGGGACGGGGAAGAGCUAAUUAAAGAGGAGCAACAGUCAAGAACUACUUGAAGAGGGACCUCUAAUCACAUUUUUUGCCAACUGUUUUUUGUCUUACAAUCUUGAAUCUCGUUGGAUGUUAGUGGAUGAAUUCCAAUCAACUUUUGUUAGUGUUGAUUACGUUUUGUAUUCUGGCUAUAUUUUUGUACACCAUUGACAUCAGCAUUGGUUAUGUAGGGUCAAUAUAAUAUGAUGGUCUUUAUAUUUGCUUCACUUUUGCAAAUGUUCAUGUCUUUGUCUGGUUAGUAUAUCUAGUUAAUGGAAUUGUGCUGCGUCUUCACAUUGAGAGCCACUGGGACUCAAUUGAUCUUCACUUUGUCAUUCCUUUCAAGCAGGGCAGUUCUUUUACAAGUGAAACAACAUUACAGAGUAUUUCACCAAACAAGUGAAACAAUAAAGCCUUGCAAAUAUAGUCUGAUUUUUUCCCAGCAAAGCAUGCCUGAUUUUUCAUUCAACAAAUCAAAACUUACAUUUCAUUGCACAUCUACCGAUACAGUCAUUACAGAGUACAAAAACAAUAACGUGCACCCACUUAAUUCAUCUUCAUACUGCUCCUUCUAUUUGCCUAAAAACUGUGAGAUUUCCAUUUUUUUUGCCCCAACUAACUAAGAUUAUAGUUGUUAGCAUCCAUGUUAACAAAAACAAUCUCACCAGACACUUGUUCACCCACUUUUUGCUACGGAUUUCUUUUUCUAGUUCUUUCACUUUGACCUUCAACUUUGCGACUUUUCUUUCUUGUCUUCUUACUUCUUCUUCAUACGCAUCUCUUUGCUGUUCAGCUACAUUAAUUCUUUUCAGAAGCCCAGGUAUGAUCUCCAUUGACCGGCUGCACAUCUCCUUGUCGAUCCACUGCCAAAAUCUGCAACCACCAUCCGUGCACACCGCAAAUCUCCGUCCAGGAUUUCUUGAGGUCCACGAAGUUAUGACUCUCGACAUUUUCUCACACCUGCACAAUGGGAAAUCCGGAUUGUUGGUUUCUCGCAUGCUUCCAGUUCAGCAACUUCUUUGGCUGCAAUUGAGUUUUUCUUUGUUCAAGUUCCGGAAGAAGUCCCAUUUCACCAAGUGGAUGACAGCAAUGGACAAAAAUGCCCUUCGUAUUUCGGCGUGCUUCUCACGUGAGCGUAGAUUCCGUCGGUAUUAACUGAUGAAUUUGACAGAAGGUCUAACAAUUUGUACUUUGGAUAGAUCGGGGGCCAAAAAUUUACAUUUAAUUGUUUGGGGGCCAAAACUUCAUCCGGGUAAUAGUUUGAGGGCCAUUGGGACUUUUUGCCCUUUAUAAAUUAGCCUCUAAGGUCUUAGCUAAUAGAAUUAGGAGCUAUCUUUCUAAAGUCAUCUCGCCAUGUCAAUCUACUUUCAUCCUUGGGCAUCUUAUCAUUGAUAAUAUCUUAAUUGCUUAUGAAAUUAAUCAUUCUCUUAAGCUGAAGUCUUCUGGGGAGGAGAGAUCUAUGUCCGUUAAGUUGGACAUAAGCAAAGCUUUUGAUAAGGUUGAAUGGAUUUUUCUUAGACAUAUUAUGUUAGCUUUAGGUUUUCAUUCCGAUUUUGUGGAUAUUGUUUUACGUUGCAUCUCUACUGUGUCUUACACUUUCUUACUAAAUAGAUCUCAAUUUGGGGACCUGCAACCCCAUCGAGGUAUCAGACAGAGGGAUCCAUUAUCACCCUACUUGUUCUUGAUUUGCACUGAAGGUUUUUCUUGUUUAUUGUAGGAAGCUGAACAUUAUGAAAGCAUCUCAGGUUUUCAUAUAGGUUCACAUGGACCGAAGCUAUCUCACUUAUUAUUUGUAGAUGACACUUUAUUAUUUGGAAAAGCAUCACUUUAGGAAGCGCGGCACAUAAAGACAAUCCUUGAUCUCUAUAAAGCAGCUUCAGGUUAGGAGAUUUAUUUUGAUAAAUCAACAGUGGUCUUCAGCAAAAACACGGAUUCCACAAUUUGCCGUAGCAUCACACAGCUUCUUAACAUUAAGGAAGUUCCUACUCAUGACAAAUAUCUUGGCCUUCCUACCAUUGUUGGUCGCUCUAAGUCCAAAGUCUUUUCGUCAGUAAAAGAGAGAAUCUGGCAGAAGAUGCAAGGAUGGAAUGAACAACAACUAUCAAAGGCAAGGAUGGAAUGAACAACGACUCUCAAAGGCACGUAAACAAAAUCAUGGUCAAGGCUAUUGUCUAAGCCAUUCCAACAUACUCAAUGUCUUGUUCCAAGUAUCUGGAUUCCUUGCUUUCAGAUAUCCAAUCUAUGAUGAGUAACUUUUUUGGAGUGAUGGUACAAAACAGAAACCAAUUCAUUGGGUAAGUUGGGAUAGAAUGUGUUCGUCCAAAAACGAAGGUGGCAUGGGCUUCGGACAACUUAAGACUUUUAAUUUAGCUUUACUAGCUAAAUAGGUAUGGUGCAUUGCAACUCAACCAUCCACUCUAAACAGGUAUGGCACAUUGCAACUCUACCAUCCACUCUUCUACGUCAGGUUUUUAAAGCUAAAUAUUUUCCUAAUUCAGACUUUUUCCAUGUGAGCCUAUUUCCAAGCCUUUUUACUUGGACGAGAUUGUGCGAAAUUCGAAGAUAUCUAGUCUCUGGUAGCAGUUGGCAAGUUGGAAAUGGGAAUCAUAUCAAAAUUUGGAAAGAUAGGUAGAUUCCACGUCCUUCUACUUUCAAUUAUAUCUUGUUCUGAUGCGCUACCUAAAGACUCCACUGUAGAUAGUUUAAUUGAUGAAAAUGACAGGAAAUAGAAAUAUGAGUUGCUUCAAGAGCUUUUUUGGCAGGAUGAGAUUGAGCUAAUUAUGAGCAUUCCAUUGGGUGACACUCAAAAUCAAGAUAAGCUCAUAUGGCACUAUUCUAAAAUUGGCUCCUUCAUAGUGAAAAAUGCCUACCAUCUUAUCAAAACACAAUCUACAAACUAGCAAGACGUAACUUCAAGUAGUAAUGGCUCUGUGGAUGAUAUUUGGCCCCGCUUGUGGAAACUCAACAUACCAAGUAAAGUUAAAAUAUUCUUGUGGCGAAUUUGCAAAUGUAUUCUACCUAUAACAUCCAAGUUCAAUAGUUGUGAAGUCUAUCUUGAUCUACUUGCUCUUUAUGUAAGGUUCUUGUGAUUACUCCACCUCCCCCUAGGGUGUACUUUAGAGUUUGGCGGACCACCUGCCCAACUCUCGUCAUAACUCACUCACGAAUUUCAGAAAAAAAUAAUAAUAAUUUCCAAACUCUAAUAGCAUUAACGCCAAGGUAAACAUCAAAUUCCAUGGUUAAACAUUACAAACCAACCAACAUUCCAUAUCUAUACUUAUAUAUACAACCAAACAGAUAAAAACACAAAUCCCAAUCAUUUAAUCAAUUGACUAAGUAUAACUAAUAGAGCAAGUAAAGUAGGAUAUCAACUCUCGAGCUGUCUAUUUCCCUGAUUCCACAUUGCCAAUGCCUGUUAAGGAAAACAACUAAAGAAAUGAGUUAAAAGCCCAACGAGUUUCCAAGAAACCAUGCAAACAAAAUAGCAAGUGAAUAAGCAAAAUAGCAAUUUAGCAAACACGUAGGUUAUAUUUUCAAAGCAUAACUAAUACAUGACAAUAAAGUAAAAUAUUAACACAUCAAAACACUGAGCAUUUUCAAGCAUAAGGAUACAAUUUGCUCUCGCGAGCCAAAUUCAGUUGCAUCCGUUUGCUCAAAAGCUGUUGACACUCCGUCGACCAUAACAUACAGUAACAAUAUCUUGUAGAUCACCACUUCAUGCCAAUCUCCAUCCACCGAUCAUCUCCUUUACCGGGCCUAUACGCCAAACAAGAGACACAAGGGGUAAUACUCGAGUAUACCAAUUCAAGUAAAAAGUAACACAACCCAUGGUUCGUUAAUCUCCUCGACCAAGCUCUUGCUAACUCGAUUCGACCAACUAGCCAAUAGGGUUUGGGGCUCCAAUCACUCAGUAUGGUCGAUGGGAUAACAUACCCAAACGACUUGUAAGUCAAACACAUGUAUAUCAUUUCAUAUGCAAACAGUAUAAUAAUGAACUAGUCAAAUUAGGUCGAGUGCGAUAAAGUACACUUUUGUCUAGCCAAUAUCAAUUCAAGAGAGCUAGCAUUUCAAUCAAUCGAUACUCUCAUUAAGACAACAUUCAAAUCAAGUACAAGUCAGAACAUGCCAUUGAAACACUCACCAAUCAAACAUGAACUUUACACUUCAGCCCAAGCCUAUCUUCUCGCCUAUUUUCGAGUCCUGCCAUCAAAUAUAAUUACACACAUGUACAUCAACUCCAGCCAUCAAAUAUAUCACAAGAAAGUUAAACUCGUCCACUUUUCUCAAAAGUUCUACUUAUGUUUCACUCUUUCAAAUCAAGAACUCAACAUGUAGUCCAUCACAUGUUUAGAAAACAUCUGAAAAACAAUAGGACAUUAAUAGUUCAUCUAAAUUUAAGGUUUAAAUCAUAAAAGUCAGCCCCAAAGUUCAUGGAUACAAGGUUUUUCUUGUUUAUGACAAGGAAAAAGUCACAUACAUGCUAGUUCAAUGUUUCUUUUCAGUGGUAUGUGGGUAAAUACACAAUAGCUAACAUAUCUAACAAUGAACAAGACAUAUAACAUGUUUCAUAUGCUAAGAAAAGCAACAACAACUCAAGUAUCAAGUCAUCCUUCACCCGCUCAAAGAAACUUAGAAAACACCAAGGAUGAUGAACUUUUUCCUUUUCAAAUUCACCAAGUUUCCUUGCUUAAAUCAAGUGAAAUAUAUUAUGCAUGCUAAGGUUAACACACCACUAAGUAUUUAAAUUCAAAAUAUACAGGAUUUAACCAAAGAAAGUUAGGUUUAAAACCCAGAAAAGUUUUCCAAGUCCCACUCAAUCCAUUUGAUAAAAUUUCGAGCUUCGGUGACAUUCUUUGAAAAUGUAUAACUUGAGUUUUGUGGGUCACAAAAUCACAAAACUUACACCAUUAGAAAAUAGACUUGAAGUACUAACAGGCUUUAGAAGAAUCUUCAUGAAAUUCAGCUCAUAGAUUAGUCAAAUUUCAGUUUAAAAAUCAUUGCUAUCACAAGUGCAGAAACAGAACAGUCAUAAUUUUUAAAAAAUUUUGCAGAUUUGUUAGUCUUUAUAGAAAUUGAACCAAACCCUAAAUUUUAUAUCAUUGGAAGUUCUAUGAGUCUUGUUUCAAACACAAUAAACAGAACUCAAUUCUGACUUUUCUAUACAAAGUUAUAGCCAAUUUCCCAAAACUACAUAGAGCUUCCUGCGAAAAUUUUCAGAUUUCCAACAACUUAAGAAAUGAAACUUUCACUAACUAUCUCAUUCUAUUGGCUCAAGUUCAACAUAUAAUUGAAGGAAAACAUGUAUAAAGUAAGAAUUGACCAAGAAUUACCAUAAAAUUGGAAAAAAAAGGUUCAAAACCUGCUCUCCUAUUCGGACAACUUAACAGAGCUUCUAGCUAAUUCUUACAAAAUUCUCAUUCAAGUUUUUCAACUUUGCUCUAGAUUUUCAAAUACAACAAGAGGGUAGACAUAUAACUUAAAUUUCUAGAAGAAAACUUCUUCAAAAUUUGGAUAACAAGUAGCAUAACCAAUUUCCUUCCUCGACCAAAUAGAAAAUUUUCCAAUAACAUAUCCAACUUUUAAACAAGCUUUACUUCAGCAAAAUGCACUUUCUUAGCUAAAAUAUAUCAUGCAACAUGAAUAAUCAAGUUUAUUAGAAAUAUGAGAGGUUUUAUAGCAGUUUACCUCCCUUUUCACUCAUGGUUCAAGGCUGGAGUAAUGGAGAUAGAUUGCUCCUUCCUCUAUCAGCUCCUCAAGGUUGAAUCACACCAAGAACGUAGAGCUCCCUCACUCUUUCCUUCCUCUCUAACUCUCUUUCCCUCGACUUCAACUGAUAUGGAGAUGAACUAGAAAAUUCUCUUAGCUUCUCUCUCUCUCUCUCAAUUGGAGUAGAAAACAGGGGAACCAGCCUUGCCCUUUCUCUUUCUCACUCAUUCGGAUGAUUUGGGUUAGGGGGAGGUAGAAUUUGUUUCUUUUACUUGCUUCUCUCAAUUAGGCUUUGAAGGGAAACGGGGAAUGUAUGAUUUGCCUCACAUUUUCACAAAAGGAAGGCUAGUGAGUCUUAGUCAAAGCUUUGGUUGCCCAUUUGACAAAUGACACAAAUACAAAUGAUAUAUAUCUAAUUUUCCAAAAUAUCUUUGGCCACAUCACAUCCCUAAGUACAAAAUAUCUCUUAUUGUCACAAAAUAUCCCUUUUGCACACAAAUCCCUCUUUAUCACUCAAUUUAUGCCACACGCCCUACUAGUUGGACUAGGUAGUAUAUCACCCCAUGAAAAAAAUGCGCAAUAAAUUAAAAGAGGCAAUGAAGUACAACAAUCUUUUAUCGUUCACCAAAUAAAAACAUGUAAUCCAAAGAAAAAUAACACAAUAUGCAAAUUUCAGGUCCUCACAGCCCCCUAUUGAAGAUGUUAAUCGUCUUUUCUUGUACUGUCCAAUAGCAAUUCAAGCUUGGGCCCUCAACUUCCUUAUAUUGAAGAUAAGGUUAGACUCUGCUGAUCAAGUUUCAUCUUGGUUGCUUGGCCUUCUUUGUCUUUUGAAAAAGCGGGACAUGGAAUUGGUAGCCAUAAUUCUUUGGAAUUUAUGGCUUAAUCGAAAUAGUGCAUUAUUUGAUGGUUCCUAUCGUGAUCUUCUCAGUUUGGUCUCUCUCUCUCUCUCUCUCUCUCUCUCUCUCAAUUUCCUAUAGAAAUAUCAUGAAGCAAACACAUCUCCAAACAUUCCAAUUAGCUCUUCUACUGCUCAACUUCAUUGAAAAAAGCCCUCAGCAAGUUUUCUAAAGGCCAACUUUGAUGGUGCAAUAUUCUAUGAAAAUGACUACUCUGGAGUUGGAGUUGUUGUGAGGGAUAAAUGGGGCAAUUUUGUUACAGGUAUUUCUCACAAAAUCUUAGGUAUCUUUUCUCCUAAAGUAAUUGAAGCCUAUGCUACAAAAUCCACAAUUUCCUCAUUAAUUCAGUUGAAGGUUCCUAAGAUUAUUUUGGAUAGGGGUGUGGAAAAUCGAAAAAUUCCGAUAUACCGAUCGAAUUCGAAUUGAAUUCAGAAUUUUUGAAAUCAGUAAUUCAGAAUUCGGCACUGAAAUCGAAAUUUCCGAUUUCUAUGCGAAUUUGGUUCGAAUUCGUAAUGGAGUUUUGGAAAUCAGAAUUUCUGAUUUCAAUUUCAUUUUAUAAUAUAUAUAUAUUAAUAUUUAUUUAUUUAUAUAUAUAAUAAUAUUUUUUAUUUCAAUUUCAUUUUAUAAUAUGUAUAUUUAUAUAUAAUAAUAUUUUUUAUAAUACAUUUAUAUAUAAUAAUAUUUUUUAUAAUAUAUGUAAUAUAAAAUUUAUAUUAUAUAACAAUACAUCUAACAAAAAAGAAAAAAAAGGGGGGAAAGGUUUCCAAAUUCUGUGAAUUUGGAAUUUACUGAAUUCCGAAUUGAAUUCGGAAUCGAAAUCGGAACUGGUUAAUUCGAAAUCGAAAUCAAUCGGUAAUUCCUAUGCCAAAAUUCUGAAAAAUUUCGAAUUCAAACUUCCGAAUUACUGAAUUCGAAUUCGAUGCACACCCCUAAUUUUGGAGGGUGACUCUUUGAAGAUCAUCAACAUGCUUAAAAAUAUGGAAUCUAAUGAUUCAACCUAUGGAGUGCUGUUAGAUGAUAUCUUUGUUGGUUUAUAGAAUUUUGUCACUUGGGAGGCUAAUUGGGUUCUUAGGAAUCUAAAUGUGCCUGCUCAUUUAUUAGUUAGGAAUGUUAGUUCUAUUUUAGAUAUUUGUAGUUGGAGAUUUUCUCCACCAUCUUUUCUUUCUUUCGCACUUACUGAGGAUCUUCUUAAUAAAAUUUUCCAGAUUUGCUAUCCAAAAAAAAAAAUUCUUCAUCAACUACACACUUCAGGAUCAACCUCGUGGUCUAAUUCAAUUAACUGAAUACUUUUCGACAAUUUUGUGCCCUAAUUCGUUGACAGCGGAAACGCCCAGGACUAACCUCAUAGUCUGGUUUUGAUGCCAACUAUAGAACCCAAAUUUUAGGGUUUUAAUAAUAAUCAAUGGGUAUAGGUUUACAAAAUUAAAGGGAUAAAACAAACAUUCAAAAUAUAUGUGGGAGAGAAGAAAAUAAUAAACUCAACUUACAAUAUUAUUGAAAUCUCAAACAAUGAAGAAAGUCACACCACAAUAGAAAAUCUGACAAACUCUUCUAAACUCUCUCAAGAAAACAUGCUGAAUGAUGUCUUAUUUAUAAUCUACCAAACCUGUUAGGAAAGAAACCCCUUGCAUAAGAAAUUAUCAAAUAAAAAAUAAAUUCCUAAAUCACAUACUACUAAAAAUCUAAUUCCAAUAAAACUAAUAAAUAAAUAUUUCUAGACUUGAUUUAAUUUGCCAACAGUUUAGUGGGGUUUUUUUUGGGGGAGGGGGGAAGAAGGGGGUUGGGGAGGGUUGGAUUGGAUUAGAUGGUAAGGUGAAAGGGAUUGAAAGUAGAAUGUUGUGGGUUCAAAACCUCUCACUUGAAAAAAAAAAAAAAAGCAAUGAAUUUCAUGUUAAAAAUUGUGUCAUCAUUUAUUAUUUCAAUCAUACCUUUUCAAGAUUCAACAUAUAUACCCAUCUAUUAAAUUUUCUACUCCUAUAUAAUUACUGCUAAUGUACUGUUUCUAUAAACAUUUCACUAUACUUUUCAAUGCUAGACCUUUACUAAUGACCUCCUUUUUUUGGAAGAAAAAAACUGCCAUUUAUGAGCCUAAUAAAAUUUUCAAUAAUCACAAACAAAUAAUAUCCUUUUUAAGAAUAUUUUUUUAAUGUGCACACGUAUAGCGUGUGCCGUUCUCACUGGUUAUAAAUUAAAAAUGCGCAUUUUUUGCCUUUUAAGGUGAAUUAAAAUAAGAGAGAGCAUGGACUAUACUACUGUUAACUUUUUUCUUUGUUUGGAGAAAGAAGUUCCACUCUCAACACACUGCCUUAGCUCCACAAUUCAUAAAAAAAAACCAAACAUAAAAGGAGAAACGAAAAUGAUUGCCACUCCUAAGACUCUUAUUGGAUCCUUGAUAGGAUUUUUCACUUGGGGCAAAUAUUUGGUUUAAAUCCAUGUAUUAACUGAUUAUGUGUUAACUAAAAAUAUUGCUCAAUCUAAAUCUAAUCCCGCAUUUUUGGUAAUUUGGUAGAGAAUUCAAUUGUCAAAUUGUUUUAUUUCGUUAUUCUAGAUAUAUUUUCCGCGAAAUAUGUACUCUGUUUCUCCCUUUUUCCUUUCCCUUUUAUUUUAAGGGGUAUUUGUGCUUUACUUGGUCUCCAAAGCUACUUGCUGUACUUUUCCAGUGUAAUAUCAUACUUUAAUUCAUCUUUUUCUUUCUUGUGCAGAAUCUAGUAAUCUCAACAUGUUGAUACAAAUUAGAACGCUAGACACUUAAUAGUACUAUUGGAUUAUCCGUUUCAUAUUUCAAUUUGGGACUUGCCAGCUCUCUAAACUAGCUGCAGCAGACACAAAUAUUUACUACUUCAAAAGAUUGAAAGCGAAAAGUUGGAUUAAGAAGGUAUUCUUGCUUAGACCACAUACAACAUUCACUUCCGACUUCUUAAGGUACAAGACAUUGAGAUUUGGUUAUAAAGAUAUGCUCCGAAGCAUAUAUAUUAAAAUCAUAAAAUGAAUGCCUUACCUUCAGAAACAGAGGGUAUACCGGCAUAACAAAUUUCAACCAAAAUAUUAGUAAAAAUUUACGGCUAAGUAACGAAUUAAAUAGACAUGAAUAGUCACAUGCGCAAAAUAAGUCAAGACAAACACAUUCAUCUGAAAUUACAAGAAACACAAAAAAUCAGCCU